CCAUCCCUGCUCUCUCUAUUCGGCUUACAGUCAUAAGUCAUCAACCAUGUCCUGUUUAUCUGUUUCCAUGCUAUGUUUCCUCCUUGCUUUGCUAACUCCCGCCAACCUCACUUCAGCCACCGGCAAUAUCGGAUUCAGCCUGCCUCUCGUGUCCAGCCACCACAAGCUCAACCACACAACCGGUGAAAUCGGGGAGCUCUUGCUGCCUGAGGGUGAUGUGACCCAUGAACGUACGACCCAAGGUAGCCCCUGCCGGUUGGCCGAUGUUCAGUGUCGUCGUCGGAGUCGGCAGCGGCAGAGGCCAGCACUUUUAUAAGCUCGCGCUGGACUUCGUGGGCAACCUCACAUGGAUCCGGUGUAAGCCUUGCACCCCGGAGGAGCAGCAGGAGGGCCCAAUCUUCGACGCUGCCCUCUCCCCAAAGUAUGCGUUUGUCCACACAACCAGCUUCUACUGCAAGCCCCCCUUUAUUGGCCACCAUGGUGACAAGUGCAGCUUCUCCGCCACCACUUCGCUCGCUGCCGCGCAUGGGUACCUGGCCACCGACUUGUUCAUUUUGGUGACACCAACACCGGUCAUAAGAGGGUGGAGGGACUCUUAUUCGGGUGUGCGCAUAGAGCAGAUGAGUUCUGGAACCACGGCAUUGUCGCUGGUGCCAUGAGCUUGAACAAAAAGUCGACGUCGUUCAAGUACCAGCUUGGCGAGCGCGGGUUCGCCACUUCAAAGUUUUCUUACUGCCUCUUCUACCACGGCCAACACACCACCAAGCAUGGCUUCCUCAGGUUCGGCAACGACGUCCCAAACCACGACCAUGCCCACAGCACGCCAUUGAUGCACUAUUGAAACCAUUGUACUACAUUGGCUUGGAAGGUGUUAGCCUGAACGAGAAGAUGCUCAUGAGAAUCGACCCAGGUAUGUUCAAGAGGGACUCGGCGAGCAAUCGCGGCGGCACCAUCGUCGAUGUCGGGACACGCGCGACCCGGAUGAUCCGUGCGGCGUAUGACAUCCUGGAGGCCGCGGUCAUCGCAGACCUACACCAUCGCCUCGGGGUGAGCCGUGCCGGAUACCGAGUACCGGGCUCCCGCCUCUGCUUCAUCGUGUCGAUGCAGGGGAUCUACCAGAAGCUCCCAAGCAUCACGCUCCACCUGAAAGAUGGCGCCGAGCUUACGAUCAAGUGGGAUCUGUUGUUUGUGACAAAAAUGCACCACGGAGCCCAACAUGUCUGCUUCCUAAUCUUUCCGGACGAGAAGAUGACGGUUCUUGGCGCCGCGCAGCAGGUGGGCACGCGCUUCACCAUUGACGUCGACAAUAAUCGACUCUACUUUGCUCCGGAGAAUUGCGCGAACGACAGUAGCUAGAUCAAUAUGUCUUUCUUUCUGAUGCACAUACAUGUCUGGUGCAAGAACUGCAUGCAUGGGGACAAAUAAAUAAUAAUUGAUCAGAACUAUUGGGGUGAUUUUCUCUCGGUGCUGGUUUUGGGCUAGAUGUCAAGAAAAUAUCGUGCACCCUUGUAAAAAUUGAUGCGAUUUGAUUUCAUACUUGCAAGAAUCAGCGAUGAAAAAAAACAUACACUCCCAAUAUUCAAGGACAUGACGUAUUGCUGUUAGCCUGUUAGUGUACACCUUUGUUUGUUGGAUAUGCCUGUCAGCAAGAUGUUCUUCGAACAUUUACCUUAUUUUUCAUUCUUUUAACAAGAUGGUGAUAGUAUCAUAGGUGUAUAUUCGAUCCCUCUCACCCAAACAUUAACCAGUUAUAGCGACCAUCUAGUGCACAGAGGGUGGUGCUGUUUGGUUGGUGGCCUGAUGUAGCGUAGGUGGCACUCACAGUCGCUAAAUCGGCUUUAACUUGUUGUCCUCUCCGUGGCGUUGAUGCAGGCUAAGAUGGCGACUUUGUCUCGUUGGGUUGGCGGAACCGCUCGUCUAGAUUGGAACGCUGUGUCAGGUACCUGAUGAAACUGGAGAAUAUGACAUGUGCUAGUGUUUCAACAGCAUAGUCGCGUGCGUUUAUGCUGUCCUGUUAUCUCAGGAUCUGACACAGAACGCUGUGUCAGGUACCUGAUGAAACUAGAGAAUAUGACAUGUACUAGUGUUUCGACAGCAUAGUCUCAGAGGCCUACCCUUCUCACCAUAUUGUAUCAUUCGGCCAUGUAUCCUUGGUGUUUUUGCUUUAUAUAUAAAGCGGGGCAAGAAUCUGUAGAGACAGGAGAAUAUGAUAGUAAUACUUGAAGACUGAAGUUGUGUGUUGUUUCCUGUCAACCGGGGAAGUCGUGCAUCGGACGGUUGAAGAGCAACUUACUUAUUCGCCGCCCCAUCUACAACUGCAACCGCAGAUCAUCCGUCUAAGGGCUCCCAGCGCUUCAGUUCUCCCUGUUAGCACUAGCUAAUUUAUAAAUUAUUUUUUCUUCUCCUUGCUUUGUAUCGUGUAAGGCUAUAUGAGCGAACACACCGAUCCGAGAGAUCAGUGACGAGCCCUCCAUAAGUGUUGACAUGUCACAGAUUGGUCACGCCGUUUUCUUGACCGUUAAGUUGGACAGAGGGCCCACCCUUUAGCAUGGUCAUCUCUCUCAGACCUUCUUCUCUUUGAGGGCAUUCCAACGAACACCUCGGGUGCAUGGGAAGAGGUGGGUGGUCAAACGUCAAGGAAAGGCCAUCGAGGCAACAUGGGUGGCCGACGCAGUGGCGUGAAGAGCAGCGAGACAACGACGCAAUGGCCUUUCCCGUUGGCAACCAACUCGUCAUGGAUUGGGUGGGGCGAUAGGAGGGUGAGCAUGGCCAUGCGGGGCAGCGGUGACCGGGAGGAGUGGGGCAGCCGAAUGUCCUUCUCUCCGCCUCCCACCAACAGGAGAUGGUGAGCACCAGUGCCAGUCGGAGCAACUCGAGCUACUCUGCUCAGAGAGGUGGCCGCGCUAUCUCGGCAACCCACGGGCGCAUCGCAUGUGAUGGGUGGCCUCUGGCCCGUCACUGGAGCAAGUCACCCGCAAGAAGCAGCGACAGAGUAUGCACUGGCAGCGAGCAGCACCGGCGGCAAUCCAUGACGGCGGGUGCAUGCGGGAAGGAGAGGUGUGGCAGUGAGGAAAGAAGGUGGAUGGGACCCACAAGUGGGCCCUCCUUUUAAUUUAAUAGUCAAUGUCGUUUGAGUUGACCAUAUGACCUGACCUGCUUAGCUGGCAUGCAAAUUAGGAUCUCUUUUUUUGUUUUGCGGGCAGACGUACAACUUGAUCACAUAUGUCAGGAAGGCUACUGUAGUAAUCGAGGAGCGCCUGAAUAAUGCUGAAAGGACGGAUUAGACUUGAUUUGGCUCUACCAGACGGACGUGAGAAGCUCUUUGUCUUGCUGCUGCUGAGGUCAUACCUGUUCACGUUGUAACAUAGAGUGUAUACCAAUGGAGCAUCGACGUAGUAUAUGCAGUUUCCGUCCACGGAUGGCAGCUUAUCUGAAUCAACAGAUCGACACCUGGCACCCAGGAAGAGCGCCCGGCUGCCAAUGUUCGUCACAGGUUCUAGCAGUUUCCGCUCAAUGCUGACCCUGAAAAUUUCCACGACGUCAUCUAUCUCGUACCCAUGAUUAACAAGGAUCAGUUCCCCAGCAGACUCUGUCAGAAAGUAGUCACGGUCGCCGCAGUCAAAUGGCUUGGCUAACAGCUCACCACGAUAGUCCGGUGCCGUGCCCACGACCUUGAAUAUCCUUCCAUAGUAGUCCACCGUGUAAGAGUGGCCGGCGUGGGACAGUAUGCUUGUAAGGAAGACCUUGUUGUCCUUGAAGCCUUCGAACUGCACCUUGCAGAGUUGGCUGGUCGUGUUGGCACAGUAAACCAGGUGGUUGUCGAAGUAGUCUGUAAAUGAGAAGACAAGCGUUGGGCUGGAGCCGACCACGGCAGUGAGCACAUUGCUUUCCUGAGGAAUGGGCGCCGCGAAGGGGAUCAUGUCACCAGUGAAGGGGUUGAGGAGACGGGCAGGGUGUCGGCCCUUGAUGUCGCCGAGGAUGAGGAGAUCAUCCGAGGCACUGACCAGGAUGUAGCCCUGGUCGUCGAGCAGAGGAAGGCAAAGCCGGAGGCGGCGCCCCAUGGAGAGGUUGAGGAAGAAGCGAUUGUCGACGCCAUGCACUGGCUUCGUUUGGUCGAGCAUGACGCAGUCGCGUGGGAGAAAGCGUGGGUCAGCACAGCGGAUUCUGGAGAUGGCUUGGGGAUGGAAAAGCGCAAGUCGUGGCAGAUGGCCCUCGUUUCCAGUUAGGAAACGACAGCGUCGGUGGUGGACAACAGCAUGUCAGCGACGACGAGCAGGGGAUCCAUGGGGAGGCACGACCACCCUGCCAUGAUGUACUCGUGCAUAGCUUGAAUGUGCGAGGGGAGAGGAGAGGACAGACGAGAGGAGGGGAAUGGAGGCACUGGUGGUAGGAUGAAGUGGUGUGCCGGUUGCAAGGAAAACCAAAUGUCCAUGCGGGACAACAGUGACCGGGAGGAGUGGGGCAGCCGAAUGUCCUUCUCUCCGCCUCCCACCAAUAGGAGAUGGUGAGCGCCAAUGCCAGUCGGAGCAACUCGAGUUGCGCUGCUCAGAGAGGCGGCCGCGCUAUCUCAACAACCCAUGGGUGCAUCGCAUGUGAUGGGUGGCCUCUGGCCCGUCACUGGAGCAAGUCACCCGCAAGAAGCAGCGGCAGAGUAUGCACUCGCAGCGAGUAGCACCGGCGACAAUCCAUGACGGCGGGUGCAUGCGGGAAGGAGAGGUCUGGCAGUGAGGAAAGAAGGUGGAUGGGACCCACAUGUGGGCCCUCCUUUUAAUUUAAUAGUCAAUGUCGUUUGAAUUGACCAUAUGACCUGACCUGCUUAGCUGGCAUGCAAAUUAGGAUCUCUUUUUUUUGUUUUGCGGGCAGACGUACAACUUGAUCACAUAUGUCAGGAAGGCUACUGCAGUAAUCGAGGAGCAUCUGAAUAAUGUUGAAAGGACAGAUUAGACUUGAUUUGGCUCUACCAUACGCACAUGAGAAGCUCUCUGUCUUGCUACUGCUGAGGUCAUACCUGUUCACGUUGUAACAUAGAGUGUAUCGUUGUGGAGCAUCGACGUAGUAUAUGCAGUUUCCGUCCACGGAUGGCAACUUAUGUGAAUCAACAGAUAGGCACCUGACACCCAGGAAGAGCGCUCGGCUGCCAAUGUUCCUCACAGGUUCUAGCAGUUUCCGCUCAAUGCUGACCCUGGAUACUUCCACGACGUCAUCUAUCUCGUACCUACGACUAACAAGGAUCAGUUCCCCAGCAGACUCUGUCACAAAGUAGUCAAGGUCGCCGCUGUCAAAUGGCUUGGCUAACAGCUCACCGCGAUAGUCCCGUGUCGUGCCCCCGACCUUGAAUAUCCUUCCAUAGUAUUCCAUAAUGUAAGAGUGGCCGGCGUGGGACAGUAUGCUUGUAAGGAAUACCUUGUUGCCCUCGAAGCCUUCGAACUGCACCUUGCAGAGUUGGCUGGUCGUGUUGGCACAGUAAACCAGGUGGUUGUCAAAGUAGUGUGUAAACGAGAAGACAAGCGUUGGGCAGGAGCCGACCACGGCAGUGAGCACAUUGCUUUCCUGAGGAAUGGGCGCGGUGAAGGGGAUCAUGUCACCAAUGAAGGGGUUGAGAAGACGGGCAGGGUGCCGGCCCUUGAUGUCGCCGAGGACGAGGAGACCAUCUGAGGCACUGACCAAGAUGUAGCCCUGGUCGUCGAGCAGAGGAAGGCGAAUCCGGAGGCGGCGACCCGUGGAGAGGUUGAGGAAGAAGCGACUAUCGACGCCAUCUGCUGGCUUCUUCUAGUCGAGCAUGAUCCAGUCGCGUGGGUGAAAACAUGGGUCGGCCACAGCAAAUUCUAGAGAUGGCUUGGGGAUGGAAAAGCGCCAGUCAUGGCAGACGGCCCUCAUUUCGAGGUAGGAAACAACGCCGUCGGUGGUGGACAACAGCAUGUCGGCGACAACGAGCAGGGGAUCCAUGGGGUGGGACGACCACCCUGCCAUGAUGUACUCGUGCAUAACUUGAAUGUGUGAGGCGAGAGGAGAGGACAGAUGAGAUGAGAGAAAUGGAAGCACUGGUGGUGGGAGGAAGUGGUGUGGCGGUUGCAAGGAAAACCGAAUGUCCAUGCGGGGCAGCGGUGACCAGGAGGAGUGGGGCAGCCGAAUGUCCUUCUCUCCGCCUCCCACCGGCAGGAGAUGCUGAGUGCCAGUGCCAGUCGGAGCAACUUGAGCUGCGCUGCUCAGAGAGCCGGCCGCGCUGUCUUGGCAACCCACAGGCGCAUCGCAUGUGAUGGGUGGCCUCUGGCCCAUCACUGGAGCAAGUCACCCGCAAGAAGCAGCGGCAGAUUAUGCACUGGCAGCAAGCAGCACUGGCGGCAAUCCAUGACAGUGGGUGCAUGCGGGAAGGAGAGAUGUGGUAGUGAGGAAAGAAGGUGGAUGGGACCCAAAUAUGGGCCCUCCUUUUAAGUUAAUAGUCAAUGUCGUUUGUGUUGACCAUAUGACCUGACCUGCUUAGCUGGCAUGCAAAUUAAGAUCUCUUUUUUGUUUUGCGGGCAGACGUACAACUUGAUCACAUAUGUCAGGAAGGCUACUGCAGUAAUCGAGGAGCAUCUGAAUAAUGCUGAAAGGAUGGAUUAGACUUGAUUUGCCUCUACCAGAUGCACAUGAGAAGUUUUCUGUCUUGCUGCUGCUGAGAUCAUACCUGUCCACGUUGUAACAUAGAGUGUAUCGCUGUGGAGCAUCGACGUAGUAUAUGCAGUUUCCGUCCACGGAUGGCAGCUUAUAUUAAUCAAUAGGUAGGCACCUGGCACCCAGGAAGAGCGCCCGACUGCCAAUGUCCGUCACAGGUUCUAGCAGUUUCCGCUCAAUGCUGACCCUGAAAACUUCCACGACGUCAUCUAUCUCGUUCCCACAACUAACAAGGAUCAGUUCCCCAGCAGACUUUGUUAGAAAGUAGUCACGAUCACAGCUGUCAAAUGGCUUGGCUAACAGCUCACCACGAUAGUCCGAUGUCGUGCCCACGACCUUGAAUAUCCUUUCAUAAUAGUCCACCGUGUAAGAGUGGCUGGCGUAGGACAGUAUGCUUGUAAGGAAGACCUUGUUAUCCUUGAAGCCUUCAAACUGCACCUUGCAGAGUUGGCUGGUCGUGUUGGCACAGUAAACCAGGUGGUUGUCGAAGUAGUUUGUAAACAAGAAGACAAGCGUUGCGCUGGAGCCGACCACGGCAGUGAGCAGAUUUCUUUCCUGAGGAAUGGGUGCGGCGAAGGGGAUCAUGUCACCAGUGAAGGGGUUGAGGAGACGGGCAGGGUGCCGGCCCUUGAUGUCGCUGAGGACGAGAAGACCAUCCGAGGCACCGACCAGGAUGUAGCCCUGGUCGUCGAACAGAGGAAGGCGAAUUCGGAGGCGGCGCCCGGUAGAGAGGUUGAGGAAGAAGCGACUGUCAACGACAUCCGCUGGCUUCUUCUGGUCGAGCAUGACCCAGUCACGUGGGCGAAAGUGUGGGUCGGCCACAACGGAUUCUGGAGAUGGCUUGGGGAUGGAAAAGCGCCAGUCGUGGCAGACGGCCCUCAUUUCCAGGUAGGAAACGACGCUGUUGGUGGUGGACAACAGCAUGUCGGUGACAACAAGCAGGGGAUCAAUGGGGAGGGACGACCAUCCUGCCAUAAUGUACUUGUGCGUAGCUUGAAUGUGCAAGGGGAGAGGAGAGGACAGACGAGAGGAGGGAAAUGGAGGCGCUGGUGGUGGGAGGAAGUGGUGUGCCGGUUGCAAAGAAAAUCGAAUGUCCAUGCGGGGCAGCGGUGACCGGGAGGAGUGGGGCAGCCGAAUGUCCUUCUCUCCGCCUCCCACCAACAGGAGAUGGUGAGCGCCAGUGCCAGUCGGAGCAACUCGAGCUUCCCUACUUGGAGAGGCGGAUGCGCUGUCUCGGCAAUCCAUGGGCGCAUCGCAUGUGAUGGGUGGCCUCUGGCCCGUCAUUGGAGCAAGUCACCUGCAAGAAGCAGCGGCAGAGUAUGCACUGGCAGCGAGCAGCACCGGUGGCAAUCCAUGACGGCGGGUGCAUGCGGGAAAGAGAGUUGUGGCAGUGAGUAAAGAAGGUGUAUGGGACCCACAUGUGGGCCCUCCUUUUAAUUUAUUAGUCAAUGUCAUUUGAGUUUACCAUAUGACCUGACCUUGGUCCCUGUUUCCAACUUGCUUGACAAACCUUACCUGUGUGACUGUAGGUUUUCAACUUGUCCCAAUGUCCAACUUUGUUCUUUUAUCCAGUAGGAACGGAAGUUGUCGAAGUUUGAGGUUUCGUGUUAUCUAGUCUCUAUGUUUUUCAUUGUUUAAAACUGUCUGUUUGCUUUACCAAGAGAGUACUAUAAUCUUCACCCUUUGUGUCUGUGCUAGUAUUAGUAGUACAUCUUCAAUCAGGUUGGACCUUGGAGGCAGACUUGAGAUGAGGCAGUUGAGUCAAACCUUGCUAAGCUUAGAAGUGUCCUUCUCUCUGUCCCUUUUCCCAAUUUUCCUUGAAUGCGGGUUCUGACUUGUGAUGUCUCAUAUAUCAUGUUGUUCUUUUUUCUAGUAGGAAUAUAAGUUAAAAAAGUUAAGGUGUUGUGUUGUUCUAAAGAAAUAUGCUUUUCUAGUACUAGUAUUUGUUUUCUGCUUGUGUUAGGAACUUAGGAUGAUUCACGGGCUGUUGUCUCAUGUUUUGUGUGCCCACCCCUGUCGAGCUGUGGUGAAUCUCAUGCUGGCCAUCUAGCAAUGCCAUUUCCAGCGUUUCGGGUUUGUUGGUCACCGGCCUGUGGUGAUCCGUUAUAAUAAUUAGUGUCAUCGAUUAGUGGAUUACAAUAUGUCUUAGAUAGAGUAAGUGGUAGCAACAGCAUGAGUCUGCACUAAAUGAUGCAUGCGAGAACCUUUAAACGAGACACUUAUGUGGAGGAGUAACAUCAGGUAAUUUGUAACAUUUGUUUGUGGAUUCGUGAAAUGACUGGUCGUUGUUCGUGUACAUAUAGCAGUGUUUAAAGCUGACUAUUUGCUUUGCCGAGAGAGUACUGCAAUCUCCACCCUAUGUGUUUGUGCUAGUAGUAGUAGUACAACUCAGUUAGGUCGGACCUUGGAGGAAAACUUGAUAUGAGGCAUUUGAGUCAAAGUUGAUGAGGGAGUCCUGGACUAGGGGGUGUCUGGAUAGCCGAACUAUCAUCUUUGGCCGGACUCCUAGACUAUGAAGAUACAAGAUUGAAGACUUCGUCAUGUGUCCGGAUGGGACUUUCCUAGGCGUGGAAGGCAAGCUUGGUGAUACGGAUAUGUAGAUCUCCUACCAUUGUAACCGACUCUAUGUAACCCUAACCCUCUUUGGUGUCUAUAUAAACCGGAGGGUUUUAGUCCGUAGGACGAACAACAAUCAUACCAUAGGCUAGCUUCUAGGGUUUAGCCUCUUUGAUCUCGUGGUAGAUCUACUCUUGUACUACCCAUAUCAUCAAUAUUAAUCAAGUAGGAGUAGGGUUUUACCUCCACCGAGAGGGCCCAAACCUGGGUAAAAACAUCGUGUCCCUUGUCUCCUGUUACCAUCCGCCUAGACGCAUAGUUCGGGACCCCCUACCCGAGAUCCGCCGGUUUUGACACCGACAGCUGACUUCUUCUGGAUUAAAAUGGUAGAACAGGUCUCUGGAAAGAAUAAAGAAGUAAGCUAUCCAAGGGUUCAGUUCACUGUGCUGCAAACAUGUAAAAUUCUUAUUUUUGUGUAUUCAGAAAUAAUAGUUGGUUGUUGCUACAUCUUGAGCUUGUGUUGGUUUUCCUCCAAGAGGAGAGGGUGAUGCAGCAAAGUGUAGCGUAUGUAUUUCCCUCAGUUUUGAGAAUCAAGGUAUCAAUCCAGUAGGAGGCUCCUCAAAAGUCCCACGCACCUACACAAACAAACUGAGAACUCGCAACCAAUGCAAUAAAGGGGUUGUCAAUCCCUUCACGGCCACUUGCGAAAGUGAGAUCUAAUAAAGAUAGUAUGAUAAGAUAAAUAUAUUUUUGGUAUUUUUGAUAUAGAUGCAAAAAGUAAAGAAGCAAAUAAAAGUAGAUGAAAGCAAAUAUGAUAAGAGAUAGACCCGGGGGCCAUAGGUUUCACUAGAGGCUUCUCUCAAGAUAGCAUAAGUAUUACGGUGGGUGAACAAAUUACUCUCGAGCAAUUGAUAAAAAAGCGCAUAGUUAUGAGAUUAUCUAGGCAUGAUCAUGUAUAUAGGCACCACGUCCAUAACAAGUAGACCGACUCCUGCCUGCAUCUACUACUAUUACUCCACACAUCGACUGCUAUCCAGCAUGCAUCUAGAGUAUUAAGUUCAUAAGAACAGAGCAACGCAUUAAGCAAGAUGACAUGAUGUAGAGGGAUAAACACAUGCAAUAUGAUAUAAACCCCAUCUUGUUAUUGAAAGUGCGUUAUAUCGACUAGAGGGGGGGUGAAUAGGCGAUUUUUAUGAAUUCUUCACUGAGGAAUUUGCUGGUGAGGAAAUUCCUUAGCGAAGAACUACUUGCAGCGGAAUAAGUACUCAGAAGUAUGCAUAACAGAAUACAAGCAUAGUCAUCAUGAUGAAAUGAAGACAAGCACAGAGUACAGAAAGUGUAAUCACAAGAUAACACAAGAUGAAGACAAACAGACUGAAGAAAUUGAACUGAGGAAAUUGAGAAAGUAUUCAGUCAAAGUCUUCAAACACAGAUAUGAACAAACAUUCAACACAGUAAUGAGGAAAUGAAAGAGUUGAGGAAAUAGAACCAGUUAGGUUGGUGAAGACAAUGAUUUGGUAAACCAGUUCCAACUGCUGUCUCAGUUGUCCGUCUGGUUGGAGCGGCUGAGUAUUUAAACUCAAGGACACGCAGUCCCGGACACCCAGUCUCUGAGCCGCAACUCAGGACACCCAGUCCUCACCGUAUUCUCCUUGAACUAAGACCACGCAGGUCUCGUCCAAUCACUUGUGGUAAGUCUUCAGGUGACUUCCAAACCUUCACAGACUUGGUCACUCGGCGAUUCACAAUUCCUCUUGGAUGCUCUAGACCUUGACGCCUAACUGUCUGGAAGAAGCACAAUCUUCAAAGGUAACAAGCGUCAGAUCCACACAGGAUCAAUUUCUUCAGUGAUGCUCAAUCACUUUGGGUUUGUGGGGGUUUGGUUUUGGGUUUUCCUCACUUGAUGAUUUUCGCUCAAAGUCCUCGGAGGAUGGGUUGCUCUCAGAUGACAAGUGUCUAGUUCUCUCGGAGCAGCCAACCAACUAGUGGUUGUAGGGGGCGGCUAUUUAUAGCCUAGGGAGCAACCCGACAUGAUAAGACAUAAAUGCCCUUCAAUGAUAUGACCGUUAGGUGGAUAAGAUAUUUUGGACAGCCGACGCGCAGCACAACAACGGUCGGAAAUUUGACUCUCAAAUUCCUCAGGGCUAUCAUGUUCCUCACUGUGUAGGCAAUUCGCACUGGCGAAUUCCUAACUCCUCAGUCAGAGCAAAGUCCUCAGUGACCAGAAGAACUGUGUCUCUGUCACUGAAGAAAUUGACUGAACUGUAUGAGAUUUCCAAUGGCUUCACUCGAAGGGAUUGGUAGGUGUAGGAUUUUGAGUUGAGCAUCACAUGGAAAUUUUUCAUUAGUAUUUCCUCGACCCCCUUUAACAGUACGGUGUUUCCUAUGACUCAAGAAAGAGAAAAUGAAACUUCGAAAACAAAAGUCUUCACGCUUCAUGUUCCUCAAGUGGAUACCAAGUCUUCAAGGUCACACCAAUUUCUUCACUUUCAAAGUCUUCAGAAAGUCUUCAGAAUAUCAAAGUCUUCAGUCGAAGAACUUCAUUUUUAGGGGUCGACUUUCUCUGUAAAUCUCAAACUCCUCAUAGACUUAUAGACCUGUGUACACUCACAAACACAUCAGUCCCUUAUCUUCAAUACACCAAAAUCACUAAGGGGCACUAGAUGCACUUACAAUCUCCCCCUUUUUGGUGAUUGAUGACAACAUAGGUUAAGUUUUCAACGGGGAUAAACAUAUGAAGUGUAAAUACUGAUAUUGAGGAAUUUGAUUGCAAGAUAUAGAAGAACUCCCCCUGAAUAUGUGCAUAGUGAGGAAUUUGCUUUUGGGGCAAUGCACAUUUGAAGAGUUGAAUCAUGGAGAUCUCCCCCUAUAUCUUGUAAUUCAUACACGCAUUUGAUAUAUAAUAUGAAGAAUUUGAAAUGCAUGAUGAAAUAUGGUGCCUAAUGAGAUUCAGCAUGCGUGCAAUAAUAUUAACGAGGAAUAAGCAUGCAGAAUAGCACAUCAAAAGUAUCAGAGCUCGGUGCAUCAAAAGCAUCAGAGCACCAUUCAAAAGUAUCAAGGCACCAUCGGGUUUAAGAUUACAACUCGAUCCAAUAAAAGUUUCGAAAGAACGAGAGUUGUAACUUAAAAAACGCCCUUAGUAUAGACCCGCUUGAAGACUAACUCAGAUUUCUCCCCCUUUGUCAUCAAGUGACCAAAAGGAGUGAAACUAAGGACUAACGCCCCUGAAGAAUUUCAAGUCGAUGGAGGAGCGCCAGCUUUGUCGGGGUUGCUUGUUGUAGUAGGGCCUGCCGCAGUGUCGUCCAAAUCUUCAUACUCAUCAGUAGCACGCGAUGAAAAAUAAGAGCUGGCCACCAGUGGAGGAACUUUGACCAUCUUGAAUUUCUUCGGAGGAGGUGCAGACCAGUCAAAUUCUUCCUUAAGACCCAUAGUCUUCAGUUCUUCAGCGCUAUAAACAUGAGUGAGAACAGACCAGGUGCGGUUGAGGGUUUCAUGAAGGUAGUAGUGGUUCUUAUUCACUGCAUUAUGUGUUGAGGUCAUGUUGUGAAGAAUUGCACCAAACUGACGCUUUACCCAUUUGUGAUUGCGAUCAACCUUCUGAUGAAGACUGAGGAGUAACUCAUGAUCAGUCAUCACCCUGGGUGCUGUGGCUUGAGGAUUUUGCUUGGCUGAGGUAUUUGCGGCAGUGUCAUGUGUGGCAGAGUCAUCAUUGGUAGAGUAAGAUGUAGCCAGACGAAAUUGACCAUCCAAUGGACGAGUGCCUUCAUCGAUCACAGCAGCUGCCUUGCCUUUAUCAUCAGAUGAUGAAACUGGUCGCUUGAGGACUUCAAUGGGAGGCAAGUAGCUACCAUGGUUUAGAGUGUCAGCCUUGUAAUUCAGUGAAGAACGUGCCCUUGUGAAUCUCAUAAUCCCAGGUGCAUAGGGCUUCAGCUCGAAUGGUGACAUAGCAACAUUAGCAAGAGUCCUCAUGAAGAAAUCAUGGAAGUUGAUAGGAACGCCAUGAAUGAUGUUGAAAAGCAUGUUCUUCAUGAUGCCAACAACUUCUUGAUCAUUUGAAUCGUGGCCUUUGAUAGGACUUAUUGUCUUCGUCAGAAUGCGAUAGACAGUCCGAGGCACAUAGAGCAAUUCCUUGACGAGGAAUUUGGUUCGUGUGGCCUGCCCUGGCUUCAAAGGCUUCAUGAGCACUUGCAUAUAAUGAUUUGUCAGUUCAGGGUCAUUGUAGAUGCAAUGUGCACUGUCAUGGGGAGGAUCAAGUGGAAGGACACGAAGCAAUUCAGUUGCUGGUGCCUUAUAGUGAGUGUUUUCAGUCAUCCAAUCCAGCACCCAUGAAUUGACAUCUUCAGCAUCUUCGGUGAUAUGCAGUGUGGCGUAGAAUUGAAGAAUGAGUUCUUCAUUCCAAUCACAGAUGUCAGUGCUGAAAUUGAGUAGUCCUGCAUCGUGAAUAACACUGAGGACUGGCUCGAAGCAUGGAAGAGAUUCCAUAUCCACAUGAGGAAUAUGUUCAUGAUCGAAGAUUUUGUCCUUGUCAAACAGCACUGAGGAAUAGAAGUUGGCUUGACUAGCAGUCCAGAAACGCCUCUUCCUUAUACGAGCAGAGUCAUAUGGAUUAUAAUCAGUGAACAACACAUGCUCAGAGAAGAAGUCUUCAGCCUUGAAUUUUUGCUUGCUUGAGAACGGAUUCUUCAGUUUGGGCAGAGGAGUGUCAGUGAUUUGCAGCACAACCUCAGGAAUCGCGAGCUCAGGUUCUUCAGGCUGAGGAAUUUCUGGUUCCUCUUCUUGUGCAACUUGAGGAUCAGCAGCAGCAGGUUCUUCAGCACUAGCGGCUGGAAUUUCUUCAUGAACAGAAGGAGUGGGAUGAGUUUCUUCAGAGCCCAUCUGAACUGUGGUUUCCAGGGACUGAGGAAUUUGUUGGAUAGGUGUGAAUGGAGGAGUAUUGGGAUGCUGACUUUCCCAAAAGUCAUCAUUCAUCACUGGUGUAGUGCAUCCAAUAUCCACAUAUUCAUCUUCAUUUUCAAUUUCCUCAACACCAGCCUCUUCAGCUGUGAACUGAGGCAUAGGUGAGGAAAUGAUUGGUGUUGAAGGGAUUGCUUCCACUUCAAUUUCUUCAUCAAGCUGCUUUGACGUAGCAGCAGAAUGAUUUUCUUCAUCUGAUCCGCUUGGGAUCUUGUAGUCUUCUCCAUAAGGAACAAUUUCCUUUGAUGACAUGGAGGAAAUUGGAACAGCAUCAAUAGGAUUUUCAAUAGAGCUGGUCAUUGGCUUCAUUUUCUUCGCAGCCGAAGAAUUUGACGCAGCUGAUGCCUUCCUUUUCUUCACUGCAGCUCGCUCUGCAGCCUUGGUCUUCUUCACUUCAUAGGCAGAAGGAAGAAUUGGAGUUGGUGUAGGCGCAGGAGGAGCUGAGGAAUCUGGUUCAUUUUCUUCAGGCGCAACUGAUGCAGUUGCCCUGAUCUCUUCAGUUUCUUCAGGCGCACCACUAGUGGAUGCCCUGCUAAUUUCUUCAGCGGCUGGGAUGGAGUCAUCAGCCCUAGAACUUGUAUUGUCAUCAGCAGGCUGAAAGUCAUCAGCGGUGCUGGCAUGUUCUUUAGCAGGCUGAGCAGAGUCUGCAGCCUGAGGAUUUUCUUGUUGCGAUGGGGCUGCAACAGUUGUCAUUUUCUUCGUCAGGUUGACGAAUCUCACUUUGGCUCCUUGCCAAUCAGCAUUGUAUGCAUCGAAGUCUUUGCUGAGGGGUUGGAUUUCAGAUUGAGCCUGGAGAAGUUCCUCAGGUGUCAUUCUGACAACAUUUUUCUUCAGGAGCUUCUCCUUCCUGUAUUGAGCCUUCUUGAUCUCACAUGCCUUCUCAAAUUUCCAUUUCUCUUGAGUGAUGAAAUGGGUCAGCAUGUGACUUUGACCGGGAGUCAGAGGCAGAUCAGGCAUUGGAGUGUUUGGAUCCUUGUGCCAGAGAUCAAUGUAAUCAAGGAUCUUCUUCGGAUCCAAAAGCAGUGGCGCAGAUGUGCCUUUGGCUCUAGCGGCCUUCACUUGUCUAUCUCUGAUGAUUUCUGCAAGUUCUUCAUCAAAAGCUUCAUCAUCAGAGGGCACUUGGAAUGCAACCUGUUUCUUCCUUGGACUUGGCCGAGGACCGCGUCCAGCUGUUGCUUUAGUCUUCAACAGAGUGGGGCCUGAUGAGGACAUUGGUGCAGCUGAGGAACUUGCUGAGACACCAGAAGCAAUUGAAAAACCAGUAGUCCUUUGGCAUGUAGCCAAAUGCACAGGAGUUGAGGACUUUGGUGGAGCAGUAGUGGUCUGAGGAAUUUGCCGUGAGGGCAUAGCUGAGGAACUUGGCUGUGAGGGCACUGUUGGUGAAGCACUUGGCUUGCGAGCAGGCUUCUUUGGCAUUGAUUUCCUUGGUCUGACCAAGGUCUCAGCAGCAGCGGCGGCGGCAGAAUCCUCAUUGAAUUUUUUCACAGCCUCCUUGGCUUGUCUUGCCAAUUUGGCUUGGCGUUUAGCCCAUUCUCCAGGAAAGUCCUCACCACUUUUGAUGCUAGUGGGAUCAGCUACAUGGCCACGUGCCAAUGGAGCUCUAGGGCAUGGAGGAUUGAGGGCGAAUUUCUUCACGUACUUUGGAGUAACAUAUCGAUAUUCCCUCCAUUCCCUUGCCCAUCUCCGUUCAAUUCUCUGAAUGCGCACUUUGCGCUGAUUUUUGUUCUCUUUGCCAAACUUGGCUUCAUCGGGUGCGCAAUAGUCCUUAUAGAGUUCAUCAGGAAUUUCGAAAGCAGUCAUGACCUCAGGCCUCUUUCCUCCUUUCUGCGGUCUCUUUCCUUCAGCCAUAUUCUUCAGAUGAGGAAUUUGAACAAUUGAACACUCUGAAGAAGUAUGCAAUUUUUCUUCGAGGAACGCUGCAAAUGAGUUAAGUUGAUGAGAACCUAGUGAUUCAGCAGCGGACAUGAGUACCUGUGAACAGAGUGUAGGUGCGAGGAAUUUGGAGAGGUCAUAUGCGUUCUCAGAAGAUUUUUCGAAAAGACAAGUUUUGAGGAAUUUGACCAGAUGAGCCUUGAGGAAUUUCACCAAGCGUUUUGUCUCAGGUUCCAGAGUUGUAUAGAUCGAAGAUCCACACAAUUGAGGAAUCUUGAAGAAAAUGAUUGCUUAGAGAAAUAGUUCAAGAUCAUAUGAUCCAUGAGGUGUUCAUAUGUGUGAGGAUUUGGAGAAAAACACCUUUGAAGAUUUUCAGGAAAGCUUGAGAAUCAAAGUGAGUAAUAAAAGUAACUUUUAAUUACCCGAAAUGAAGAACACGACGAACUGAGAUGAACGGAUGCGAAGUUCGUCAGGUUAGAUCUCGCACGCCCUAACUUGGCAGAGGGAGACAGCUACGGCGGCGGCGGAGUGAAGAUUUCUGCAGCCGGCGCGAGUACGACGGUGACGAGGUCGAGGCAGCGAAGCUCUUCCUCACCUGCGAUGAUGGAGUAGCGGCGGCGCUAGGGUUUGAGGAGCUCGAGCGAGAGACAGCGACCGAGCGGAGUAAAUGAAGUGAGGAAGGGGAGAGGGGUAUUUAUAGCCACGGUGAAAAAACUGUUCGUCCGAAGAUUUGGGACGAACAUGCCCCUGCCCUUUCUCCUUCAUGCGACAUGUGUCACCCACGUACUGUGCAGAUGAGAUCGUGUAAGAUCGUGGGUGAAUAAAAUAAUGCAUCAUGGGAUGCGGAACGGUUUGAGCGGUAAAACCGAAAAUCUGGAUAAGAUUUGUUUUAAUGUUUCGUUCGCAAUUUCUUCAGCUGACAAGGACACACUGAAGACUUUGAACGAGUUUCAAAUAGAACGCACAUGAAGAAUUUGUGAAUAGAUUGGGUUGAGUAUAGCAUAGAGGAGGAAGGGUCCGAUCACAUUCACUUAGCAGAAAAAAAAACUUGAAGAAAUAGCCAUAAGUGAAUGCUGUAGAGGACAUAAACUCGUAUAUAUAUAUAGCCAAUGAAGACAUACGAUGGAAAUAGUGAAGAUUUUGCAAAGUUGAAGAAUUUGAAAAACUGAAGAAUUUCAAAACAAAAAAAACUCAAAUUGAAGAUUUUCAACUUUUGUGGUGGCGUGACCCACCGUAUAAGAAUGAUGAUUUCAGACACCGCGUACAAUUGUCGUAGGGUUCUGAGAAUCAAAUUCUUCAUUAAUUUCUUCACACUUAGAGUGUUAUUCUUCAUUGAUUGAAGAAAAACGUUUCUUCAUGUGUUGCACAUCUAAGUCAUCAAUUUUGCAUAAGUGUUAGGAUGUGUGUCCUUUUCAAAGAACAUUCGAAGAUUCUAAGAUAUUUAGCUCACACCGCAACUUGCUAAAUCUCUUCUCAUCCAAGGGCUUAGUGAAGAUAUCAGCCAGCUGUUCUUCAGUCUUCACGUGCUCGAUGGAGAUGUCGCCCUUCAACACAUGAUCACGAAGAAAAUGAUGACGAAUCUGGAUGUGCUUUGUCUUCGAGUGCUGAACUGGGUUGUGAGCAAUCUUGAUGGCACUCUCAUUGUCGCAGAGGAUAGGCACAUUCUUCACGUUGACGCCAUAGUCCUUGAGGGUUUGCUUCAUCCAAAGCAGUUGAGCACAGCAAGAACCAGCAGCAAUGUAUUCAGCUUCAGCAGUAGACAGUGAUACGCAGUUCUGUUUCUUCGAGGACCAACAGACCAAAGAUCGUCCGAGGAAAUGACAAGUGCCAGAUGUUGACUUGCGGUCCACACGAUCACCAGCAUAGUCCGAGUCAGAAUAUCCAAUGAGAUCAAAAGCAGAGCCCUUGGGGUACCAUAAUCCUAGUGUUGGUGUGUGAGCUAGAUAUCGAAGAAUAUGCUUCACAGCCUUAUGGUGUGAUUCCUUCGGUGCAGCUUGAAAUCGGGCACACAUGCAAACACUAAGCAUUAUAUCUGGCCUAGAUGCACAUAGGUACAAUAAAGAACCAAUCAUGGAGCGGUAUACCUUGUGAUCAAAGUCAAUACCAUUUUCAUCAGUGCAUAGAUGGCCAUUUGUGGGCAUAGGAAUUUUGACGCCUUUGCAAUCUUGCAUGCCGAAUUUCCUCAGUACAUCUUUGAGGUAUUUCUCCUGAGAUAUGAAUAUGCCAUUGCGCUGCUGACGAAUUUGAAGACCUAAGAAGAAUUUCAACUCUCCCAUCAUAGACAUUUGAUAUUCUUCACUCAUCAUAUAGGCAAAUUCAUCACUAUAACGUUAGUCAGUACAGCCAAAGAUAAUAUCAUCAACAUAUAUUUGGCACACAAACAGUUCACCAUCAUAAGAUUUAGUAAAGAGAGUAGGGUCGAGUGAACCGGGUGUGAAGCCAUUCUUCACGACGAAUUCCUUCAAUGUAUCAUACCACGCCCGAGGGGCUUGCUUGAGGCCAUAGAGGACCUUAUUAAGUGUGAAGACUUUGUCAGGAUUUUUUGGAUCUUCAAAACCUGGGGGUUGAGCAACAUAUACUUCUUCCUCAAGCUUACCACUGAGGAAUGCACUUUUCACAUCCAUUUGAUAUAAUAUGAUAUCAUGAUGGUUAGCGUAAGCAAGUAAUAUGUGAAUAGCCUCAAGUCUAGCAACAUGUGCAAAAGUUUCAUCGAAAUCAAUUCCUUCAACCUGUGUGUAGCCUUGAGCUACAAGUCGUGCCUUAUUCCUCACCACAAGGCCAUUUUCAUCUUGCUUGUUGCGGUAGAUCCACUUUGUGCCGAUGAUAUUAUGCUUGCAAGGAUCUGGACGGUUGACCAGUUCCCAGACAUUGUUAAGCUCGAACUGAUGUAAUUCUUCUUGCAUAGCCUGAAUCCACUCCGGCUCCAGAAAUGCAUCAUCUACCUUAGUGGGCUCUGUGAUAGAGACAAAAGCAUAGUGCCCACAAAAGUUAGAUAAAUGUGAAGCUUUUGAGCGUGUGAGAGGACCUGGUGCACUAAUGUCAUCGAUGAUCUUCUCCACUUGCACUUCUUUUGCAACGCGAGGAUGAGCUGGUUGUCGCUGAGGAUUUUGAUCAGCAUUUUCUUCAGCACCAUUUUCCUCAGGAUUUUCUUCAGGUGCAUCAGCUCGAUGUUCUUCAUGAACAGGAAUGAGUUCUUCAGCAGAUUCUUCAGUAGGAAUGACAUCCUAAGUUGCCUUGAACUUGAUGGAAUCCUCAGGUGCUGGUUCAUCUAACACAGAAGGUAGGUGCUCUCUUUGCGAGUCAUUAGUUUCAUCGAACCGCACAUCUACAGUGUCAACAAUCUUGUGAAGAACAAUGUUGAAGACUCUGUAGGUGUGCGAGUCCUUUCCGUAACCAAGCAUAAAACCUUCAUGUGCUUUCGGUGCAAAUUUAGAGUUGUGGUUAGGAUCUCUAAUCCAACAUUUAGCACCGAAGACUUUGAAAUAACUCACAUUGGGUUUCUUGUCAGUGAGGAGUUCAUAGGCCGUCUUUUUGAAGAAUUUGUGAAGAUAUACUCUAUUGAUGAUGUGGCAAGCAGUAUCAAUUGCAUCAAUCCAAAAACGCUGAGGCGUUUUGUAUUAAUCAAGCAUAGUGCGAGCCAUCUCAACAAGAGUUCUGUUCUUGCGCUCCACGAUGCCAUUUUGCUGAGGAGUAUAGGGAGCAGAUAACUCAUGAGUAAUACCAAGUUCAUCAAGAUAGGCAUCAAGACCGGAAUUCUUGAACUCAGUUCCAUUGUCACUUCUGAUGUGCUUGAUCUUCACACCAAAGUUGGUUGAAGCCCUCGAGGAAAAUCGUUUGAAGACUUCCUGCACUUCAUGUUUGUAAGUAACAAUGUGUACCCAUGUGUCGUGGGAAACGAACACCUAUGGGGCAGGGGCCCCUUCUCGGUCCGGCAGGGAGCGGAGGGCGCACGAAGAGUAGAUCGAGGCGAUGCACGCGAGGGAUUUUUACCCAGCUUCGGAGCUCUCCGGAGAGAUAAAACUCCUACUGUUGCUUUUGUGUUUGUAUUUUGCUCAAGAGCGUGAGCAUUCUGUGGUUUCGAAAGUGUCCAACCCCCCCUACGUUGCGCAUGGGCCUCCUUUUAUAGGCUAAAGGGGUCACCGACAGGUGGCGAUGCAGGCAAGGGUACAAAUGUAAAAAGGGUGGUUGGUACAACUGCUGCUACAGCGUACCCUACCUAACUCUGACGGCAGGGGACAAGGGCAUUUAAUGCCCAUCCGGUCGCCCAAACAGUGCAGAAAACGACCGUUUGGGGCGCCACCGCUUGCCACGAUGGCCUUCUCGUCAUCUCCACUUGCCACCUCGCACCGCUUGGCUGCACAGCUUCCCGCCACGUGCGCCUAGAACGGUCCUGCGGCGACACAUCGACGGAUGCGCUGGAGCGUAGGCACAGAGUGGUGGCCUCGCCGCGGCAAGCGCCUUGCCGCGGUCGUUGUCUUGUCGCGCCCGGAAGCUUGUUGCUCGCCGGGUCUUGCCGGGACGCGUGGCGCGUCACAGCAAGUUUCUUAAAAUGCCUUGGUUGGCCUUCCCGGCAAGCUCCUCUUGCCGGGGCCUUGUCCCUCCCGGCAAGCUCCUCUUGCCGGAGUCUUGUCUUCUCAGUUAAUACACUUUGUUCUUGAAUGGCACCAAUGGGAGCUACGGAGGAUCUUAGCGGACGUCCGGCAAGCCUUGCCGCGGGGCGCCGCGGCUGCCCGUGCACAAGUUUGGGAUACUAAGGUACCCUACUUUAGUACACCGACAGGAGCCCCCGGGCCUGGGCCACACACGGUGCCGAGCGCUGUUGGGCCAGGCCCAAAACAGGGCACGGGCACACGCGGCCUGGGUCCACACCAAAUCUAACUCCGUAUCCACCACGCCCUCCCGUAAUGGCACGCGUCGAAUGCGGCAUCGUGGGAGAGAUCGUGUGUGAUUCUUUAAUCGAAAAAGGCGUAACGUUCGCCUCUCCUCUUUAUAAGCAGGGGAAAUAGGGGCCGUUCCCCCACCUUUGCCACUUGCGGUUCCUUCCUCAGAAAGCUCCGCCGCUCCCCUCCGCUUCUCAAGCCGAAAGAGAGCAGCGCUCCGCCGCCCGUCGCCGCUGCCCGUCACCGUCGCUCUCCUCCGCUGCUUCCGUCAUGGCUCCGAAUACCGGAAAGGGUGCGAAGUCGGCCGAGGCGCUGCGGCUCGAGGGGCUGCGCAAGGAGCGAGCACUUUUCCCCCCCGAGCUCACCGCGAAGGCGCUGCGGGAGGAGUUCUAUCUCUUCUGGUCAACGGAGACGCGGGCGCAUCCGCGCACGCCGGUACUCUCCGCCGAAGCUUCUACUGCGGAGCGGUGCCCAAAAGGGUACUACUUCUUCCCAUUGUUCUUCUAUUGCGGGCUAUGUCCGCCCUUUUCCGAUUUCUUCUGCGACGUCAUGAACACAUACGGGCUCCAUCUCCUUGAUUUCACCCCCAACGCCGUUCUGACAAUGGCGGUUUUCGCGCAUCUUUGCGAGAACUUCGUCGGAAUCCACCCCAACGUUGCCCUUUUCCGCCACUAUUUCAUCCCCGGGUCGAGAAAGGAGAGCCCUUGUCUGGUGGGAUCGCCUGGAUCUCGAGGGUCGGCAAGAAGGAAGUCUAUCUGGAGGGGGAGCUCCGCAGCAAGUGGGACGAGUGGAGGGCUGAAUGGUGUUGGAUUGUUGACGCAGAUCCGCAUCCAUUCACCAAUUUGCGCCAAACCCGAGUAGUGCGCGGCGGCGACUGGAGCGCCCUGGCGGCGGACGAUGCUAAGCUGAAGAUCGCCACCACCCGGAUUCUGCGGCUCAGGCUUGCCGGGCUCACUAUAGGGGCCGUUGGCGCGGACUUUCUUCGCUGCCGCAUCGCCCCCCUGCAGGAGAGGGGGAGGCCCGCCUGGCUGUUUGGUGGCCCGUCGGAUAUCAUGAGGCUGCGCCCAGGCCUCAAUUUCAACUUCACUGUCUUGGAGUUGGAUGGGAUGCUUAAGGAACUGUUCAAGCACGACGCCAACCAUCCAGAGUGGUUCAGGCUGCCGCGGGGUGUCAUCCCGCUAUGCAACAACUCCCAGCUUGAUCGCAUCCGUGCAAUGAUGCCGGAGUGCGACUCGCACGGGGUUAUCCCAACUUGGCGGGAGCCCUCCGACGACAUCGUGCGGCAAUUCUUCGACGGCUUGGUGGAGGUAGCAGUCCGUGCCGAUGAGCAGAGGCUCCUCACCCGCGACACCACAGAUGACGAGAUGCGGUACAUCGCCACCAGGGCUGAAGAGGCGGCGGCCGCCGCCGCCGCGGGCGAGUUCAGUUUCACGUUGGAGGAGGUAGAGGCGGCCGAGGCGGAAAGCCUUGCCGACCGAGAGGACCUUCGCGGGGAGGUCGUUGGCGAAGGAGAGCCCGAAGCCGAAGCAAGCGAGCCCGCCGAGGAUGCGAGCGGCCAGCCGUCUUCGAGCAGCUUGCCGCGGGCGGAGCCCCCAGCGCAGCCCCCAGCUCAACCAAGAAGGCGCCUCCGUAGGACUGGAGAUACAGCAGGGCGGCAGGCAGGCCAACAGCCGCAGCGCCGUGGGACACGCUCCACCGCGGCAAGCACCGUUGUCGCGGCAGCAUCUCAAGCCGUGCCGGCAACUGGGGAGGGGUCUUCCCGAGCCACCACACCUGAUCCUGCCGCAGCUCCCACCAAGCGUCCAAGGGAGCCCACUCCUCCGCCUCGUCACGCUGAAAGAGUUCCGGACUUCGACCUCUCCGCGCUGAGCUCUGACGAGGAGGAAGAAGAGGAGGAGGAGUAAGACUUUCUCCUUGUUGUACUUGUAUUUCUUCGAUUUUUGCCGUUUCUUGUCUUGUAUUUGAUCUGCUUCCCUCUGAACCUCGUUCCAUUUCAGGACACUGGCCGAGAGAGCGGCGAAGAGGGCCAAGGUCCCCGUGGUUAUCGUCGAGGACGAUCCUGCUGUGAUGGUAGAGGACGCGUCCGAGACCACCUUGACGCACCCGGCAAUCUCUCCUCGAAGCAGCCCCCAGCGCAGCCCCCAGCGUAAGUAUUUGUUCACUUCCCGUUGUGGGGCGCACAUGGGUGCUCUUUCUUUGCUGAUAUCUUGAUUGUUGUCUUGCUUGUGUAGGAGCAGAACAGGCCCAUCAGGAGCAACCAGAAGCCGCUCCGGAGGUGCAAUCUGCUUCAACUACGCUGCCAAGGGGCGAUUCUCCGGCAAGGGAGCGCUGUCCGGCAAGGGAGCGGUCCCCGGCAAGGGGCGGGACUAGCGAUCCUUCGGUGGUGGAGCCCAUGAUCACAGAGCCCAGCACAGGUAACCCUCCUUGUCGGAAAUUUCCCUUGGGCUUUUCUUCUUCUGAUCUUCUUUAUUUUUUGGAUAUUUGCUUGAAUUUUCCUCCCUCUCCUUGUCUUCAGAUCCUCCCUCCACGGAGCCGAUAGAAACUGAGGCCACCGGCGAGGAGGAUGCACGCGGCAACACUGAUGAUGCCGCCGCCACCGAGGAAGAGGCCGGCGCUGACGAUCCCGCCGGCGAAGAGGCCGCCAAGGCUGCUGGCGCAGGAGCUGGCGAGGGGUUCGGCGAUCGCACUGACCGCCGACCCCUCCGCCGCUGAUGCCGCACCGGGCUCCGAAGAGCCCCAGCCCGGCGCCUACCUGAAGGCCGGCGAGGGUGUCUUCAUCAGGCUUCCCUGGGCGUCGAGCUCCAGGGCGCCGGUCGAAGGAGAGGAAUUUGACGGAGAAGUACUCGCCUCUGCUGGGCUGACAGUGGUUGACGCGCCAAGCAGCAGCGGCGGCGAGUCCGAAGAGGAGCAGCUGCUCCGGAAGUUGGUGUCGCUCUACCGCGCCCGACAAGCGAAACUGCAGUCCCGGGAAGCGCUUGUCGCGCAGGCGGGAGUUGACAUAGAGAAGCACGCGGAGGAGCUCCAGAGCCGCAACCAAGAGGCCCUCCGGUCCAUUGCGGAGGAGAGGGCGCAGCUUGUCGAGGCGCAGAAGGCCUUCCUCCUCGAGAAGGCAGAAGCUGAGGAGCAACAGAGGCUUGCCGCUGAAGAGAUGUCCACCCGGGAAGGUGAAAUGACACAGCAGAAAGUCAAUCUGGACAGCAACGAGGAGGAGCUCGCCGCACGCGAGCAAUCACUUGGCAGGGCGCUCAAGGAAGCGAAGGAUGCUGCCGCAGCUGCUGAGGCCGCCAAGAAGGAAUUGGAGGUGAAGAUGACGCAGCUGGAGGCUGAUUUGAAAGGAAAGGAUGAGGAGCUUGCCGCACUCCAGCGCGAACGCGAGAAGGAUGCCCUUGCUCAUGGCGAUCUGCAAGUUCAACUCGCCGAUAAGGUCAAGGAACUGAACGCCGUCAAGGACUCAAAUGCUGAUCUGGAGCUGAAGCUGGUCACGUUGACUGAGACGCUGGACGGCGCCAAGAAGUGAGAGGAUGACUUGAAGAAAGAGAUCAAGGACAACGAGGAGCUGCUGACGAGGGCCGCCGAGACUCAAAACACCUUCUGGGCUACGAUGGAGCUUUGGACGGAGGGCCUCGUCAAUAUUGCUGCAACCAUCGACGAGGAGCUGGCGCAACUGGACUUGGCGGGCUUCGGGUACUCCUCCGACGAGAACCUCCAGCCUAGCGCCAAGCUUACUCUGUUCUUCAAGGGCGUGGUGACGGCUCUCCAGCAGCUCCGGGAAAGGAUCCCAAAGCAGCUGGCUGACGAGUCGCGCGCAAUCUGCGCCAGAGUCUUGGAGAAGGUGUUGGUGAAGGUGCUCUUCCGCAAUCCGAACCUCAACCUCACCAACGUUCUCAAGAAGCUGCCGGCGGGUGAUGAUCUUGCAGAGCUCAAAGCCCUUGUCGCACCCAUUGUGGAUAAGGUGAAUGAAGUCAAGAGGGUUGACGGCGACCGCGUAGAUUAGGCCGCAUGUUCUCUCCUUUUUCUUGCCGCUGCUAGACAUGUUACGGGAACAAUCCAUUAGAGCGCGGCAAGUUAUUAUUGUAAUAUAACUUUAUUCUGGGUAGUACUUGCUAUGUUAUUUCCUUUACUUGAUUCCCUCCCUUGUAUGUUUUUACCCUACGCUUUUAGGGAACUUGCCGGCGCAGGCACCCUUGCCGCGAGCGCUGAGUGCAGAACAUCAGCAGCCUGCUGGCGGUGUUGCCUCCGGCAAGAAACCUGGUCGGAACUAGUCGCAGCCCACUUACGUUGUUGAGCGGACUCGAAAACAAGGUAAGGGCGCAAAUAGCUACGAGUUGGUUCCUCCGCGCACAGGUUUUCUAUACAAAGCACGGUCGUUCAAGGAAGAUAACUUAAAAAAUUAGAAUUGAUUGUGCUCAAACUUUGGCAACUUAGCUUUUCCGUCGUCUGCGUCCCGGCAAGGCUAUACUUCUUUGAACGGCGCCUGGUCCACACCAUUAUCUUCUCCUUCCCCCCCGGUGAACUUGUGGUCGAAGGAACCUUCUUUUUGAGAAAAAGAAAGAAGAGAAAAUAAAGAUAUGGAGCCUUAAGGCUCGUUAUUGCUUACCGUGGGCAAGAGCUGUACAAAGUGUCAGAUAAUACAUGCAAAAGAAAGAAAGCAUGAAAUUUGACAACGUUUGCAGAGCAUGUGAUCUUUAUUUAUGCACGGGAUCUGCGCCCGGCUUUGUACAAAGGGUUACAUGCAACAGCGGCAAGGCUUGUACAAAAGGUGGUUGCCGGAACAGCAGAUUCCGGCAACCGCACCUUAUGGGUAAAACUUUCGAAGAUGCUCUAUGUUCCAAGAGUUGCUCACCGGAAAGCCAUCUUCGGUCUCAAGGCGGACAGCGCUAGGCCUAGUGACUCGCUUCACCCGGUAAUGGCCUUCCCACUUCGGCAUCAACUUGUUGGAAUUCUUGGCGGAUUGAACGCGCCGAAGAACAAGGUCGCCUUCCUCGAGACUUCUGGCCUUGACUUUGCGGCUAUGGUAGCGGCGCAAAGCUUGCUGGUAUCGAGCAGCUCGUACAGCAGCCUGAAGACGAUCUUCCUCAAGGAGCAGCGCAUCAUCUUGCCGCAGCUGCUCUUGCUCAAGCUCAUCAUAAGCGAGCACUCGAGGCAAUUCGUAUACGAGUUUCGUGGGGAGAACUGCCUCUGCUCCGUAGACGAGAGCAAAAGGUGUCUGGCCAGUGGCUCGAUUUGGCGUCGUCCUGAUCAACCAAAGAACCACUGGCAGCUCCUCGAUCCAGUUCCUUCCGCACUUGUGCAGCCUGUCGAAAGUUCUGGUCUUGAGCCCGCGCAGCACUUCAGCGUUUGCCCUUUCCGCUUGACCAUUGCUUCUCGGGUGAGCAACAGAAGCGAAACAGACCUUGGCACCAAGAUCUUGGACAUACUGCAUGAAGGUGCGGCUCGUAAAUUGUGUGCCGUUGUCGGUGAUGAUCUUGUUAGGGACCCCAAAACGGCAAACAAUCGACCUGAAGAACUUGACUGCUGACUGUGCUGUCACCUUCCUCACUGCUUCCACUUUCGGCCACUUCGUGAACUUGUCGAUUGCGACGUACAAGUAUUCAAAGCCCCCAACAUCUCGGGGAAAGGGGCCGAGGAUAUCGAGCCCCCAGACCGAAAAUGGCCAUGAUAAAGGGAUCGUCUGGAGAGCUUGAGCUGGUUGGUGUAUCUGCUUGGAGUGGAACUGGCACGCUUCACACUUGGUUGCUUGUGCAGUUGCAUCCUGGAGGGUUGUCGGCCAGAAGAAACCUUGCCGUAAUGCCUUGCCGGCAAGUGCUCUUGCGCCAAUGUGGUGGCCACAUAUGCCUCCAUGUAUCUCCGCCAACAGUUCCUGUCCAUCUUCCCGGGGAAUGCACUUCAAUUUCACUCCGUUGAAUCUUCUUCUGUAUAGUAUGUCAUCGACAAACUGGUACAUACUUGAUUGCCGGGCUACUCUCUCCGCUUCUUCUUGCUCUUCGGGAAGUUCUCCUGUUUGAAGGAAACGGACAAUCUGCUGUGCCCAUGCCGGAGCUUGUGGCUCGACAACAAGGACUAAAGGCACGUAUGCUGCUGCGGGAGCAUCUGCUUCUACGGCAAGAAUCUGCGGUUCAGCCGGAGCGUGAUGUUCCCCGACAAGCUUGCCGGAGGAAAACUCAUCGGGGGCGUCUGCUUCAACGGAACAAACCCUAGGGUUUGUCGGAGCAGACUGCCCCUCAGCACUCUUUGUGUUGAUUUUGGGGACCUUCUUGGCGGCGGCUUCGGGGAGCUCUGCCGGAAAAUAGUCACCAGAAACCGACUUCCUCUUCUUGUUCUGUCCAGUCGACGGUGUUACAGAUGGUUGAGUAAGCUUGAGCACAAAAAUUCCUGGUUCCACAGGUAACUUGAGUGCGGCGCUCUUUGACAGGCCGUCUGCAAUGUCAUUCUGGGCUCUCGGAACGUGUUCCAUCUGCAGGCCGUCAAAAUGCUCUUCCAACUUUCUCACUUCUUCAAUGUAAGCUUCCAUCAACGGACUCUGAUAAUCUUUGUUUACUUGGCGGACGACAAGUUGUGAGUCACCCCCGACAAUGAGCUUCUUGAUCCCAAGGUCUGCAGCGAUCCUGAGUCCGGCAAGCAAGCCUUCAUACUCUGCAGUAUUGUUUGUUGCUUGCUCCUUGGGAAAGUGCAUCUGGACCACGUACUUGAGGUGCUCCCUGGUGGGUGCGACAAGCAACACGCCCGCACCGGCGCCUUGCAGCAAGAAGGCACCAUCAAAGUACAUGACCCAUUCUUUGCUUGCUUCCUUGACGGGAAUGCUCGUCUCCGGCAUUUCUUCAUCAGGUGUUGGCGUCCAUUCCGCUAUAAAUUCUGCCAAUGCUCGGCUCUGGAUAGUUGAGGUACUCUCAAACUUGAGGCCAAAGCUUGACAGUUCCAGUGCCCACUCGACAAUUCUGCCUGUUGCUUCUGGAUUUUGCAAUAUCCUCUUCAACGGAAAGCGAGUGACAACUGUGAUCUCAUGUGCUUGAAAGUAAUGAUGCAGCUUCCUCGAGGCCAUGAGAAGGCCGAAAAGCAAUUUCUGCACACCAGAGUACCUUGAUCUAGCCCCCUACAAAAGGGAACUGACAAAAUAAACUGGGCGCUGCACCAUUUUCUUUUGUUUUUCCUCUUGUGGCUGCACUGAUUCAUCCUUGUCGGGACAAGAGCUUGUCGGAGAAGCCCCCUGCUUGUCGCUGGAUGCGCUUGCCGCGGCCACUGGCUCAUCAUCCGCCUCCCUCUCCGCCACUAACGCAGCACUAACCACUUGAUUGGUCGCUGCUAGAUACAGCAGCAACUUCUCUUGUGGCUUAGGUGCGACAAGUAUUGGAGUGGAGGACAGGUAUCUCUUCAAAUCCUGGAGCGCGGCCUCCGCUUCCGGAGUCCAUUUCAUUGGACCUGCCUUUUUCAAAAUUUUGAAAAAUGGCAGGGCACGCUCCGCGGACUUAGAGAUGAACCUGCUGAGAGCAGCUACAUAGCCGGCAAGCCUUUGCACAUCCUUGACGCGCUUUGGUGCUUCGAUCUGCUCAAUGGCCUUGAUCUUGUCGGGAUUGGCUUCAAUCCCCCGCUGAGAUACAAAGAACCCGAGAAGCUUUUCGGAAGGGACCCCAAACACACACUUCUCGGGGUUCAACUUGAGAUUGAUCUUGCGCAGAUUUGCAAAGGUCUCGUCCAAAUCCUGGAUCAGAGUUGCUCUGUCUUUGCUCUUGACCACUAUAGCAUCCAUGUAAGCUUCUACAUUUCUGUGCAACUGUGGCUCAAAAGCUUCGUGGACUACCCUUGGAAAUGUUGAACCAGCAUUCUUUAGUCCAAAAGGCAUUCGUACAAAGCAGUAUGUGCCACAUGGAGUAAUGAAUGCGGUUUUCUCCUCAUCUUCUUCUGCCAUGAAGAUCUGAUGAUAUCCUGAAUAUGCAUCAAGAAAUGACAGCAGAUCACAUCCGGCCGUGGAGUCAACAAUCUGGUCAAUGCGCGGCAAGGGAAAUGGGUCUUUGGGACAAGCUUUAUUAACAUCAGUGAAGUCAAUGCAAAGCCUCCAUUUCCCGUUCGCCUUGCGCACGACUACAGGAUUGGCCAGCCACGUAGGAUGGAGCACCCCUCUGACAAGGCCUGCUGCUUCCAACUUCUUGAUCUCUUCUGCGAUGAAUUCUUGACGCUCCACUGCUUGUUUCCUAACUCUCUGCUUGACGGGCCGCACGUGAGGACAGACGGCAAGGUGGUGCUCAAUCACUUUCCUGGGAACACCGGGGAUAUCAGACGGUUGCCAUGCAAACACGUCGACAUUUGCCCGCAGGAAAGCAACGAGCGCGCUUUCCUAUUUAGGGUCAAGCGUGGCACUGAUGGUGAAGGUACCACCAGUGCCGUCCUCCUUGGCGGCCACUUUCUUGGUCUCUGGUGAAGCUGUCUUUGCCUUCUUGCACUUGCCGGUGGAGCUCGAUGGUGCGUCCUCGACGGUAGCGCAGUACUCCGAAGAGGUGCGCUUGCCGGAGUGGGCACCAGAGCUGCUCUUGCCGGACUUGGUCUUCUUCUUCCCCCCGGGAGCUUCAGCGGCAAGUGGUUUGCGUUCUACUGCGGCUGCUGCUUCCCGGUAGAUCUUGUCGGUACAGAUAAGGGCAUCCUUCUUGUCGCCAUGGACAGAAAUGACACUUAUCGGACCGGGCAUCUUGAGUACGUUGUAAGCAUAGUGAGAGGCUGCCAUGAACUUGGCGAGUGCUGGACGACCGAGUAUCCCAUUGUAGGGCAAUGGGAAAUCAGCAACGUCAAACGUGACCCUCUCAGUCCUGAAGUUUAGCUCGCUGCCGAAUGUUACCGGCAACGUGAUCUUCCCCUUCGGCUUGCUCCUUCCCGGGUUGAUUCCUUGGAAAGUACCGGUCUCUUCGAGCUCGCUGUCGGGGAUCUGGAGCUUCUGGAGUACCGUGGAGGAGAUCAGAUUCAAGCCGGCCCCGCCGUCAACCAGCAUCUUUGUGACCUUGAGGUUGCGGAUAGUUGGUGAAACCAACAUCGGCAAGCACCCGACCGCAGUUAUGCGAUCAGGGUGAUCCUCAACAUCAAAGAUGAUGGGCGUGCUGGACCACUUCAGAGGCUUGCACGACUCAACUGACGGUUCUGCUGCAUUAACCUCCCGCACCCACUGUUUGAGCUGGCGGUGCGAGGUAUGCAGAGAAGCACCGCCGUCGACGCAGAAAACCUCUGUUGCCUUCUGAAACUCCUGCUCGUCGGCCUCAUCCUCAUCCAUCUCUUCAUCUUCGUCUUCAUCUUCAUCCUUGUCGCGGCCGCGGGGAGGCCUGUCUCCUUGCCGCUGUUUGGCCUUGCCGCGGCGCCCUCCCCGGCCGGGACGCUUCUUGCCGGAUCCUCCACCACCUUCUUGGGCCUUCUCCUUGUCGCGCCGCUCGUACUCAGCCUUCUGCAGUUCUACAAGCUGCUCAACUUUCUUGCAGGUCUGGAGAUCAUGGCCCUUGGUGCGGUGGAUCUUGCAGUACUGCUUGCCGGAGCCGUCCUGCUUGUCGGCGGCCACCACGGCCUCGCCGGAGUCACCAGCUUUGGCCUUCUUGGCGCCACCUCCGUUGCCGGACUGCUCAACGACUAGCACAUCUUUUGCUUUCCUCUUUCUAUUGUUCCGCCGCCGGUUUUUCUUUGCCGGGGCGGCAUCCUCACUGUCAGAUCCUUCUGCUCCUGCAUUCUCUCCGGGGAGUUUCCUCCACUCUUCAGCAUGUGCACACUUGUCGGCCAUGGCAUAUAGCUCACUGACGUCUCUAAUCUUGCACAUCGCCAUCUCCUCCCUCAUCCUGCGGUUUCGCACGUUCUGAUGAAACGCGUUGAUGACUGCGGUAGGUUGGACGUCUGGGAUGUUGCGCUGCACUUGGCUAAAUCUCUGAAUGUACUUGCGCAGGGGUUCUCCUUCCUUCUGGGCAAGCAGAUGAAGAUCGCUUUCCUGGCCAUGGGGUUUGUGGCCGCCUGUGAAGGCGCCGACAAACUGAUGGCACAGGUCCGCCCAUGAGGAGAUGGAGUCGUCCGGCAAGUGCAUGAGCCACGAUCUGACGUUGGGCUUGAGCACCAGCAGAAAGUAGUUGGCGAGGAUCUUCUCGUCGCGCCCCCCGGCCGCCUGCACCGCGAUGGUGUAGAUGCUGAGGAACUCUGACGGAUGUAUCCUGCCGUCGUACUUCUCAGGUACGUCUGGCUUGAAGUUCUUGGUACUGGGCCACUGGACUUGCCGCAGUUCACGGGUAAACGCAGGGCAACCUACCGCGUACGGCAAGUCACCUGGUUCCCCUGGCGCAUGCAUGUCGACAACGGGCCCAGUGCGCUGGUCGGACUGACGCCGCGCUUCUCUUCGGUGCUUGAUGCGGGUACGAGCGUCUUCUUGAUGCCGUUCUUGAAGAACUUGGCGCUGAUCACGACGAGCUCGCGGAUCUGACGACGCGGUGGAGUCGCUGUCGAGGUUGACCCGACGAGUCGGCGAUCUUCGCCUUCGGGGCGGAGAGUGCACGGAAGUUGCACCUCCUCUGGUCUUGUCGUCAUCGGCCCGCGCUUGGGCGUCUCGCCACGGCUUCGACGUGCUUGGUUGCCAGGGAGUGUCGCCGUUGGCGAAGCCGAUGAGGCUCUGAAUGGUGACCCUCCAGUCGUCGAUCCUGUCUGGCGUUGGAGGGUAAUCCAGGAGCAGUUGGGCUCGAGCCAAUGCUUCUUCUGGAGUCUUGGGCGGUGGUGGUGAACGGUGCGAGGAGCGGGAUACGCUCGAACUUCUAACUGGGUUAGAAGGAGAAGGAUCCCGUCCAGGCGACCGCGCCACGCUCGUGCCGGCAUGCUGUCGUGCAUGCUGGCCUUGAGCGUCCUGAAAUCCACUAGCUCGGCCUUGCUCCAACGCAAGCACGGUACUAGGAGCACCAUGGCGUUGUCGGUCCCGCGCCUCCUGAGAGGGGCGCGGUGCAUGUACGGACGCCGAAGUUUGCGGGGCCUUGUCCUUGGAUCUGGUAGCAUAAUGAGCUCCCUCGUCGGCGCCCGUUCCUCCGCCGGCGUCUACCCCACCACCCGUUUGCUCCGGUGGUGGUGGGAGCGACGCGGACGGAGCAGCCACCUCCGAAGUCUUCUUCUUCGGUGGCAUGUCGAUGAAGAUGUUGAUGUAGCGCGCGCGAACGCCGGAUCAGGUUCGCACAACCUCGACGCCCCAUACCUGGCGCGCCAAAGAUGUCGUGGGAAACGAACACCUAUGGGGCAGGGGCCCCUUCUCGGUCCGGCAGGGAGCGGAGGGCGCACGAAGAGCAGAUCGAGGCGAUGCACGCGAGGGAUUUUUACCCAGCUUCGGAGCUCUCCGGAGAGAUAAAACUCCUACUGCUGCUUUUGUGUUUGUAUUUUGCUCAAGAGUGUGAGCGUUCUGUGGUUUCGAAAGUGUCCAACCCCCCCUACGUUGCGCAUCGGCCUCCUUUUAUAGGCUAAAGGGGUCACCGACAGGUGGCGACGCAGGCAAGGGUACAAAUGUAAAAAGGGUGGUUGGUACAACUGCUGCUAUAGCGUACCCUACCUAACUCUGACGGCAGGGGACAAGGGCAUUUAAUGCCCGUCCGGUCGCCCAAACAGUGCAGAAAACGACCGUUUGGGGCGCCACCACUUGCCACGAUGGCCUUCUCGUCAUCUCCGCUUGCCACCUCGCACCGCUUGGCUGCACAGCUUCCCGCCACGUGCACCUGGAAUGGUCCUGUGGCGACACGUCGACGGAUGCGCUGGAGCGUAGGCACAGAGUGGUGGCCUCGCCGCGGCAAGCGCCUUGCCGCGGUCGUUGUCUUGUCGCGCCCGGAAGCUUGUCGCUCGCCGGGUCUUGCCGGGACGCGCGGCGCGUCGUGGCAAGUUUCUUAAAAUGCCUUGGUUGGCCUUCCCGGCAAGCUCCUCUUGCCGGGGCCUUGUCCCUCCCGGCAAGCUCCUCUUGCCGGAGUCUUGUCUUCUCAGUUAAUACACUUUGUUCUUGAAUGGCACCAAUGGGAGCUACGGAGGAUCUUGGCGGACGUCCAGCAAGCCUUGCCGCGGGGCGCCGCGGCUGCCCAUGCACAAGUUCGGGAUACUAAGGUACCCCUACUUUAGUACACCGACACCAUGUAUAUCGAGAAUAGUCAUCAACAAUGACAAAACCAUAUAGAGAUGCAUCAUUAGUGACUGUGGAGUAAUGAUUAGGUCCGAAGAGAUCCAUGGGAAGCAAUUCGAAUGGACGGGUAGUGGUCAUGAUAGUCUUCGCUGGAUGCUUGGCCUUGGUCAUUUUUCCCGCUUCACAGGCUCCACAUAAGUGGUCCUUGAGGAAUUUGACAUUCUCAAUGCCAAUGACAUGCUUCUUCUUCGCAAGCAUGUUCAAAUUCCUCAUGCCUGCGUGACCAAGUCGUCGAUGCCAUAGCCAGCCUUCUGAAGCUUUUGCAAGUAGGCACAUGGCUGGUUGUGGUCCUGUAGAGAAAUCAACAAUAUACAAAUCUCCUCUCCUAAAGCCUUCGAAGACUUUGGAAUUGUCAGCUUCCAUAAUCACAACACAGCGAUACUUGCCAAAGACAACAACCAUAUCAAGAUCACAAAGCAUUGAGACUGACAUGAGAUUGUAUCCUAAGGACUCAACAAGCAUGACUUUGUCCAUGUGUUUAUCCUUAGAGAUUGCAACCUUACCAAGACCCAAUACCUGACUUUUGCCUUUGUCAGCAAAGAUGAUAUGCUUCAGAGGUGAUGGUGAUAAAGGAGCAUCCAUCAAUAUAUUCUUGUCACCAGUCAUGUGAUUUGUACAUCCACUAUCGAGGACCCAUUCAGUGGUUUUGGGUUGAUCAUCCUGCAGAUGAAUUAGUGUAGCUUACAAUCUCAUAUGCUUCAUCAGUGAAGAAUAUGAUAUCAAAUUCAUCAGAUGAAUUUCAUCAAGCAGUAAACAGAUAUAGCAGUAUGAGGACGUGUGAAAUGAAAGUUCAUUUCAUCAUGAUUCGCCUGCGUCCUUUCAGGCAUCUUGUCAGGUCCCUAGCAAAUUCUUCAGACGUUUAAAGCACGUCUGGAGACCUGACCCUGCAGGAGAGAUUAGUUCUUUUUCUUUACCACCCACAUCUGGAGGGGUGGCAAAGAAUUCAUCACUCUGUGAGCACCAUAUGAGAAAGGUGGCAAAGAUGCCAAACCAUUUCGAUUCACAUAAGAGGGGUUAGGGUAAGCAUAUGAAUAAGCAAAGAAAUUCUUCGAGGACUGAUGAACAUAAUGAUUUGAAGAAUAAUGCACAUAUUCAUAGCCCUUAGCUCUACCCUGCGAAACAGAGUUGUUAGCACGAUGAUAAUCAUAUGAGGACUUUGAUCCUUUUGAGGAAUUUGAUCCUCGUGAGGAAUUUGGUCCGUAUGAGGACUUGGAUCCAUAUGAAGAAUUUGGUCCAUAUGAAGAAUUUGAUCUGGGGUUCCUGUUCUUCACAGGUGGUGUCAUGAGGACAUUCACCUGAAGACUUUCGAGGCACUUCUUUGGAACCCAGAUUUUCUUCAUAGGAGAACUAUUCCUGCAGUUAGUGCCAACAUAUCUAGCAAAUACUUCACCAUUCUGAUUUUUGAAUAGUUUAUAGUUGGAGUCAAAUGACUCAUUAGAGGAAUGAGGAGAUUCACAUGUAAAGCCAGAUAAAUUAGAUGGAUCAACUGGAGGUCCCUUUGCAGCAACCCAUGAAGUUUUGGGGUACUGCUCAGGCUUCCAAUAUGUUCCAUCAGCAUUGAGUUUCCUCUCAAAGGCAAUACCCUCUUUCCUAGGGUUUCUAUUGAGGAUCUGCUUUUUAAGCACAUCACAAAGAGUCUGAUGCCCUUUGAGGCUUUUGUACAUGCCUGUCAUGUACAAUUCCUUCAGCCCUGCAUUGUCAGUGAUACUAGCAAUGUCCUCAGAUGAGGAAUUAGUGAUAGCAGAGGCAGAUGAAGAAUUUGUAACAGUUGAAGCAUUUGAACAUUCAGGUGAAGAAUUAGCAUAUUCACGUUCAAUGCACUUUAAGCAUGGAGGAACAAAUUCUUCCUGAGAGGCGCUAAUUUGUUGAGCUAGUAAUGAAUCGCGCUCCUUCUGAAGAUCUUCAUAACACACUCUUAGCUUUUCAAGAUCUUCCUUUCUUUGAAGAGCUUCAAGAUAAAGCUUCUCGUGAUCUUGCUUUUCUUGAAGAAAUUCAUAAGAAAGUUUCUCAUGAUCAGAUAAGAGAGUGUUAUGAUGUCUUUGAAGGUUAUCAAACCUAGACUGAAGUCUCUGAAGAUUCUCAGUCAGGGCUUUAGUGCGAUCCAUUUCUUCACCCAACAUAUCAUCACUUUUGUCUAGCAUGUUUUGAACCUUUUCAAAAGCCCGUUAUUGUUUUACAGCAAUCUUAGCAAGUUUAGAGUAGCUGGGCUUGAGAUUUUCAUCAGAUUCAUUUUCACUAGAUUCAGAGGAGUUGUAUUUGAGUACCUUUGCACCUUUCGCCAUGAAGCAAUAGGUGGGAGCGUAGUCAUCAUUAUCUUCAUCAGGCUUGUCGGUGGAGUCAGUUUCUUCAGUGUUGAAGAUGGACUUGCUAACGAAAGCAGUAGCGAAGGCCAGACUCGCCAUACCAGAUUCAGAUUCUUCAGACGCCUCUUCUUCAUCAUUUUCCUCAGAUUCAGCUUCAGAGUCCAUUUCCUUGCCAAUGAAUGCCCGAGCCUUCUUGGAGCUGCUCUUCUUGUGAGAUGAAGACUUCGAGGAUUUUGAUGACGAAGAUUUUGAUGAUUUCUUCUUCUUCUUCGCAUCAUCAGAACUGUAAUCCUUGUAUUUCUUCUUCUUCAUUUCCUUUUCCCACUGAGGACAAUCUUGAAUGUAGUGACCAGGUUUCUUGCAUUUGUGGCACAGCCUUCUCUUAUAGUCACUGGAUGAGGAAUCACUGCCUCUUGAGGAUUUUCCAAAGCGACCACGCCUUGAGAACUUCUGGAAUUUCUUCACGAGCAGUGCAAGCUCCUGGCUCAAUUCUUCAGGAUCACCAAGGCUACUACCAGAAUCCUCACAUUCAGAGUCAGACACAGCCUUGGCCUUCAGGGCACGUGGUUUGCCAUAGUUUGAACCAUAGAGAUCUCUCUUUUCAGCAAGCUGGAACUCAUGAGUAUUUAGCCUUUCGAGGAUAUCGGCAGGAUCAAGAGACUUGUAGUCAGCACGUUCUUGUAUCAUCAGUCCCAGAGUAUCAAAUGAGGAAUCAAGCGAUCUCAACAGUUUCUUCACCACCUCAUGAUCAGUGAUGUCAGUGGCACCGAGGGCUUGAAGCUCAUUUGAGAUGUCAGUGAGGUGAUCAAAGGUUUGUUGGACAUUUUCAUUGUCGAGCCUUUUGAAGCGGUUGAAGAGAUUCCGAAGAACAUCAACUCGAGAGUCACGCUGAGUUGAGACUCCUUCAUUUACUUUGGACAGCCUAUCCCAGAUAAGCUUAGCAGUUUCCAAAGUACUCACUCUUCCAUACUAUCCUUUACUUAGAUGGCCACAUAUGAUAUUCUUCGCUUGAGAAUCGAGUUGCUUGAAUCUCUUCACAUUAGUACCGUUCAGUGAGGGUGUGACAGAGGGGACACCAUUUUCCACAACAUACCAAAGAUCGUUGUCAAUUGCCUCAAGAUGCAUUCGCAUCUUGUUCUUCCAGUAGGGGUAGUCCGUCCCAUCAAAGGUAGGACACCCAGCCGAGACCUUGAUCAUACCUGUGGUCGACAUAACUAAAACUCCAGGCGGUUAAACCAAAAUCACACAGAACAAGGGAGUACCUUGCUCUGAUACCAAUUGAAAGUGCGUUAUAUCGACUAGAGGGGGGGUGAAUAGGCGAUUUUUAUGAAUUCUUCACUGAGGAAUUUGUUGAUGAGGAAAUUCCUUAGCGAAGAACUACUUGCAGCGGAAUAAGUACUCAGAAGUAUGCAUAACAGAAUACAAGCAUAGUCAUCAUGAUGAAAUGAAGACAAGCAUAGAGUACAGAAAGCGUAAUCACAGGAUAACACAAGAUGAAGACAAACAGACUGAAGAAAUUGAACUGAGGAAAUUGAAAAAGUAUUCAGUCAAAGUCUUCAAACACAGAUAUGAACAAACAUUCAACAUAGCAAUGAGGAAAUGAAAGAGUUGAGGAAAUAGAACCAGUUAGGUUGGUGAAGACAAUGAUUUGGUAAACCAGUUCCAACUGCUGUCUCAGUUGUACGUCUGGUUGGAGCGGCUGAGUAUUUAAACUUGAGGACACGCAGUCCCGGACACCUAGUCUCUGAGCCGCAACUCAGGACACCCAAUCCUCACCGUAUUCUCCUUGAACUAAGACCACGCAGGUCUCGUCCAAUCACUCGUGGUAAGUCUUCAGGUGACUUCCAAACCUUCACAGACUUGUUCACUCGGCGAUCCACAAUUCCUCUUGGAUGCUCUAGACCUUGACGCCUAACCAUCUGGAAGAAGCACAGUCUUCAAAGGUAACAAGCGUCGGAUCCACACAGGAUCAAUUUCUUCAGUGAUGCUCAAUCACUUUGGGUUUGUGGGGGUUUGGUUUUGGGUUUUCCUCACUUGAUGAUUUUCGCUCAAAGUCCUCGGAGGAUGGGUUGCUCUCAGAUGACAAGUGUCAAGUUCUCUCAGAGCAGCCAACCAACUAGUGGUUGUAGGGGGCGGCUAUUUAUAGCCUAGGGAGCAGCCCGACAUGAUAAGACAUAAAUGCCCUUCAAUGAUAUGACCGUUAGGUGGAUAAGAUAUUUUGGACAGCCGACGCGCAGCACAGCAACGGUCGGAAAUUUGACUCUCAAAUUCCUCAGGGCUAUCAUGUUCCUCACUGUGUAGGCAAUUCGCACUGGUGAAUUCCUAACUCCUCAGUCAGAGCAAAGUCCUCAGUGACCAGAAGAACUGCGUCUCUGUCACUGAAGAAAUUGACUGAACUAUAUCAGAUUUCCAAUGGCUUCACUCGAAGGGAUUGGUAGGUGUAGGAUUUUGAGUUGAGCAUCACAUGGAAAUUUUUCCCUAGUAUUUCCUCGACCCCCUUUAACAGUACGGUGUUUCCUAUGACUCAAGAAAGAGAAAAUGAAACUUCGAAAACAAAAGUCUUCACGCUUCAUGUUCCUCAAGUGGAUACCAAGUCUUCAAGGUCACACCAAUUUCUUCACUUUCAAAGUCUUCAGAAAGUCUUCAGAAUAUCAAAGUCUUCAGUCGAAGAACUUCAUUUUUAGGGGUCGACUUUCUCUGAAAAUGUCAAACUCCUCAUAGACUUAUAGACCUGUGUACACUCACAAACGCAUCAGUCCCUUAACCUAUAAGUCUUCAAUACACCAAAAUCACUAAGGGGAACUAGAUGCACUUACAGUUAUCCUCGAUGGCAACAAUACAAUACGUGUCUUGCAACCCUUUCUGUCACUGGGUAAGAACACCGCAAGAUUGAACACAAAGCUAAGCACUUCUCCCAUGGCAAGAAAGAUCAAUCUAGUAGGUCAAACCAAACUGAUAAUUCGAAGAGACUUGCGAAGAUAACUCAAUCAUACAUAAAAGAAUUCAGAGAAGAUUCAAAUAUUAUUCAUAGAUAAACUUGAUCAUAAACCCACAAUUCAUCGGAUCUCGACAAACACACCGCAAAAGGAGAUUACAUCGAAUAGUUCUCCACAAGAGAGGGGGAGAACAUUGUAUUGAGAUCCAAAAAGAGAGAAGAAGCCAUCUAGCUAAUAACUAUGGACCCGUAGGUCUGUGGUAAACUACUCACAACUCAUCGGAGGGGCAAGGAUGUUGAUGUAGAGGCCCUCCAUGGUUGCUUCCCCCUCCGGCAGAGUGCCGGCAAGGGCUCCAAGAUGGGAUCUCGCGGAUACAGAAGGUUACGGUGGUGGAAAUUGUGUUUCGUGGUGCUCCUGGAUGUUUUCGGGGUACGUAGGUAUAUAUAGGAGGAAGAAGUACGUCGUUGGACGCCCGAGGGGCCCACGAGACAGGGGGCGCGCCCUAUAGGGGGGGCGCCCUCCUAUCUCGUGGGGCGCUUGGAGCUUUCUUGACUUGCACUCCAGGCUCUCCGGAUCAGAUUUGUUCCAAAAAUAACGCUCCCGAAGGCUUCAUUCCGUUUGGACUCUGUUUGAUAUUCCUUUUCUUCAAAAUAUUGAAAUAGGCAAAAAAACAGUAAUAUGGGCUGGGCCUCCGGUUAGUAGGUUAGUCCCAAAAAUGAUAUAAAUGUGUAAAAUAAAGCCCAUAAACAUCCAAAAGGGGUAAUAUAAUAGCAUGGAACAAUCAAAAAUUAUAGAUACGUUGGAGACGUAUCAAGCAUCCCCAAGCUUAAUUCCUGCUCGUCCUCGAGUAGGUAAAUGAUAAAAAAGAAAUUUUUGAUCUGGAAUGCUACCUAGCAUAAUUCAAAAUGUAAUUUUCUUCAUUGUGGCAUGAAUGUUCAGAUCCAAAUGAAUACAAAAUAAAAGUUCAUAUUGACAUAAGAAAUAGUAAUACUUCAAGCAUAAUCAAAGUAAUCAUGUCUUCUCAAAAUAACAUGGCUGAAGAAAGUUAUCCCUACAAAAUCAUAUAGUCUGGCUAUGCUCUAUCUUCAUCACACAAAGUAUUUAAUCAUGCACAACCCCGAUGACAAGCCAAGCAAUUGUUUCAUACUUUAAUAAUCUCAAACUUUUUCAACUUUCACGCAAUACAUGAGCGUGAGCCAUGGACAUAGCACUAUAUGUGGAAUAGAAGGGUGGUUGUGGAGAAGAUAAAAAGGAGAAGAUAGUCUCACAUCAACUAGGCGUAUCAACGGGCUAUGGAGAUGCCCAUCAAUAGAUGUCAAUGUGAGUGAGUAGGGAUUGCCAUGCAACGGAUGUACUAGUGCUAUAAAUAUAUGAAAGCUCAAUAAAAGAAACUAAGUGGGGUGCAUCCAACUUGCUUGCUCAUGAAGACCUAGGGCACUUUGAGGAAGCCCAUCAUUGCAAUAUACAAGCCAAGUUCUAUAAUGAAAAAUUCCCACUAGUAUAUGAAAGUGACAACAUAUGAGACUCUCUAUCAUGAAGAUCAUAGUGCUAUUUUGAAGCACAAGUGUGGAAAAAGAGAUAGUAGCAUUGUCCCUUCUCUCUUUUUCUCUCAUUUUAUUUCUUUUCUUUUCUUUUUUUCUUUUCUCUUUUUUUCUUUCUUUGGCCUUCUUUUUUUUCUUUUUGGCCUCUCUCUUUUUUUCCUUUUUUUUCUUUCUUUUCUUUCUUUUUUAAAGUCUGAAGUCUCAUCCCAACUUGUGGGGGAAUCAUAGUCUUCAUCAUCCUUACCUCACUAGGACAAUGCUCUAAUAAUGAAGAUCAUCACACUUUUAUGGAUUUACAACUCAAAGCUAGAACAAGAUAUGACUCUAUAUGAAUGCCUUCGGCGGUGUACCGGGAUAUGCAAUGAAUCAAGAGCGACAUGUAUGAAAAUUAUGAAGGUGGCCUUGCCACAAAUACAAUGUCAACUACAUGAUCAUGCAAAAAGCAAUAUGACAAAAGUAAUGUGUGUCAUAUAAACGGAACGGUGGAAAGUCGCAUGGCAAUAUAUCUCGGAAUGGCUAUGGAAAUGCCAUAAUAGGUAGGUAUGGUGGCUGUUUUGAGGAAGGAGUAUGGUGGGUGUAUGGUACCGGCGAAAGUUGCGCGGUACAAGAGAGGCUAGCAAUGGUGGAAGGGUGAAAGAGUGCGUAUAAUCCAUGGACUCAACAUUAAUCAAAAGAACUCAUAUACUUGUUGCAAAAAUUUAGAAGUCAUCAAAAACCAAAUACUACGCGCAUGCUCCUAGGGGGAUAGAUUGGUAGGAAAAGACCAUCGCUCGUCCCCGACCGCCACUCAUAAGGAAGACAAUCAAUAAAUAAAAUUGUGGUCCAACUUCAUCACAAAGUGGUUCACCAUACGUGCAUGCUACGGGAAUCACAAGCUUCAACACAAGCAUUCUUUAAGUUCAUAAUCACCCAGCUAGCAUGACUUUAAUAUCACUACCUCCAUAUCUCAAAACAAUUAUCAAGCAUCAAAUUGAUCAUAACAUCCAAUUCACUUUCUAUGAUAGUUUUUAUUAUACCCAACUUGGAUGCUCAUCAUUCUAGGACCAACUUUAUGAUCAUAGCAAAUACCAUGCUGUUCUAAAAGACUCUCAAAAUGAUAUAAGUGAAGCAUGAGAGACUAUCAAUUUCUUCAAAAUUAAGACACCACCGUGCUCUAAAAGAUAUAAGUGAAGCACUAGAGCAAAAACUAUCAAGCUCAAAAGAUAUAAGUGAAGCACAUAGAGUAUCUUAGCAAAUUCUAAUCAAAUAGGCUUCUCCCAAAAAGUUGUGUACAGCAAGGAUAAUUGUGGUAAACUAAAAAGAAAAGACUAAUAUAAUACACGACGCUCCAAGCAAAACACAUAUCAUGUGGCAAAUAAAAAUAUAGUUCCAAGUAAAGUUACCAAUGAACGAAGACGAAAGAGGGGAUGCCUUCCCGGGGCAUCCCCAAGCUUAGGCUUUUGGCUAUUCUUGAAUAUCUUUGGGUGCCAUAAGUAUCCCCAAGCUUAGGCUCUUGCCACUCCUUAUUCCAUAGUCCAUAAAAGCUUUACCCAAAACUUGAAAACUUCACAACACAAAACUCAACAGGAAAUCUUAUAAGCUCCGUUAGUGAAAGAAAACAAAACCACCACAUAAGGUACUGCCAUGAACUCAUUCUUUAUUUAUAUUGGUGUUACACCUACUAUAUUCCAACUUCUUCAUAGUUUAUAAACUAAUUUACUAGCCAUAGAUGCAUUGGAAUAAGCAAACAACACAAGAAAAACAGAAUCUGUCAAAAACAGAACAGUUUGUAGCAAUCUGUAACUAACGCAAACUUCUGGAACUCUUAAAAUCCUACCAAAAUAGGAAGUCCUGGACAAUUUGUCUAUUGAACAGACGCAAAAAGAGUCAACGCAAAUCACGUUCCUGUGAUUUAACAAAACUAUAUUCGUGCGCGCAAAGUUUCUGAUUUUCAGCAGAAUCAAAUCAACUAUCAUCGUAGGUUAUCCUAUAGGUUCUACUUGGCACAAACACUAAUUAAAAGAUACAAACACAUCUAUCCAGAAGGUAGAUGCAAGAUUUAUUACUAAACAGGAGCAAAAACUAAAAACAUAAAGAAAAAUUGGGUUGCCUCCCGACUAGCACUAUCGUUUAACGCCCCUAGCUAGGCAUAAAAACAAAGAUAGAUCUAACGAGUGCCAUCUUUGGCACUAGGUUCAUAAGUAGCAUGCUUGUGAUCUCUAGGGAUUUCUUCCCUUUUAGCAAUGGAUAAACCUUUAGGCAAAAAUUCAAGAAAUUCAUUAUUAGCAAAAGUUUCCUUAACGAUAGAGAGGCAAUUGGGAAGAACACUUAUGGAUUUGAGAUCCGCAUCUUCCUUACUAGAAGAUUCACCCUUAUUUUUAGGAACAUAAAUAAACUUGGAAAUUUUAGUAGGGGGUUUUGGAGUGUUUUUCAUGGGGGAAAACGUGGAACCCAAGUUUGUAAUGAUAUCCUCAAGUUUACUGAUUCUAGAAGAGUCUAGAUCUAUUUUGUCAUUAACUAAAGGUUCUUUUUCCUUAAGAUUUUUCAAAGUAAGUCCAACCCUAGAUCCAAAUUGGGUAAUGUGAUUAUGAAUCUUUUUAUCCAAAUUUUCAAUCAACUCAACAGUGGCAAUUUUACUUUCAAUAAUAUCAAGCCGUUGCAUCACAUGUUCUAGGGUUAAAAGCGUUCCAUUAACCAAAAGAGGUGGUGGGCCAAACAAAUCUAACAUAGCAUUAUAAGCAUCAAAAGUAUGGCUACUCAUAAAAUCACCUCCUGUAGCAAUAUCAAGAACACAUCUAUUCCAAGGAGUAAUGCCUACAUAAAAAUUGCGGAGAAGAACGGAAGUAGCGAGCUUCCUAGUAGCUCUAUAUUGGGCAUUGCAAAUUCUAUGCCAAGCAUCUUUUAAACUUUCCCUUUCACUUUGCUUAAAAUUUUGAAUUUCUUGUUCGGGAGUAAGAAUAAAGAUAGGAGGACUAGCCAUAACAACAAGGUAAACGGACUAACACACGAGCAAACAGAAAAACGGCAAGCAAAGAGAGAGGAGGAGAUUGGGAAAGAGAGGGCGAAUAGAACAGCAAGGGUGAAGUGGGGGAGAGGAAAACGAGAGGUAAAUGGCAAAUAAUGUAAAUGCGAGGGAGAUGGGUUUAUGAUGGGUACUUGGUAUGUCUUGACUUGAGCGAAGACCUCCCCGGCAACGGCGCUAGAAAUCCUUGCUACGUCUUGAGCUUGCGUUAGUUUUCCUCGAAGAGGACAGGGUGAUGCAGCAAAGUGUAGCGUAAGUAUUUCCCUCAGUUUUGAGAACCAAGGUAUCAAUCCAGUAGGAGGCUCCUCAAAAGUCCCACGCACCUACACAAACAAACUGAGAACUCGCAACCAACGCAAUAAAGGGGUUGUCAAUCCCUUCACGGUCACUUGUGAAAGUGAGAUCUAAUAAAGAUAGUAUCAUAAGAUAAAUAUAUUUUUGGUAUUUUUGAUAUAGAUGCAAAAAUUAAAGAAGCAAAUAAAAGUAGAUGAAAGCAAUAUGAUAAGAGAUAGACCCGGGGGGCAUAGGUUUCACUAGAGACUUCUCUCAAGAUAGCAUAAGUAUUACGGUGGGUGAACAAAUUACUGUCGAGCAAUUGAUAGAAAAGCGCAUAGUUAUGAGAUUAUCUAGGCAUGAUCAUGCAUAUAGGCAUCACGUCCAUAACAAGUAGACCAACUCCUGCCUGCAUCUACUACUAUUACUCCACACAUCGACCGCUAUCCAGCAUGCAUCUAGAGUAUUAAGUUCAUAAGAACAGAGCAACGCAUUAAGCAAGAUGACAUGAUGUAGAGGGCUAAACACAUGAAAUAUGAUAUAAACCCCAUCUUGUUAUCCUCGAUGGCAACAAUACAAUACGUGUCUUGCAACCAUUUCUGUCACUGGGUAAGAACACCGCAAGAUUGAACCCAAAGCUAAGCACUUCUCCCAUGGCACGAAAGAUCAAUCUAGUAGGCCAAACCAAACUGAUAAUUCAAAGAGACUUGCAAAGAUAACUCAAUCAUACAUAAAAGAAUUCAGAGAAGAUUCAAAUAUUAUUCAUAGAUAAACUUGAUCAUAAACCCACAAUUCAUCGGAUCUCGACAAACACACCGCAAAAAGAGAUUACAUCGAAUAGUUCUCCACAAGAGAGGGGGAGAACAUUGUAUUGAGAUCCAAAAAGAGAGAAGAAGCUAUCUAGCUAAUAACUAUGGACCUGUGGUCUGUGGUAAACUACUCACAACUCAUCGGAGGGGCAAGGAUGUUUAUGUAGAGGCCCUCCGUGGUUGCUUCCCCCUCCGGCAGAGUGCCGACAAGGGCUCCAAGAUGGGAUCUCGUGGAUACAGAAGGUUACGGCGGUGGAAAUUGUGUUUCGUGGUGCUCCUGGAUGAUUUCGGGGUACAUAGGUAUAUAUAGGAGGAAGAAGUACAUCGGUGGACGCCCGAGGGGCCCACGAGACAGGGGGCGCGCCCUACAGGGGGGCGCCCUCCUAUCUCGUGGGGCCGUCGGAGCUUUCUUGACUUGCACUCCAGGCUCUCUGGAUCAGAUUUGUUCCAAAAAUAACGCUCCCGAAGGUUUCAUUCCGUUUGGACUCCAUUUGAUAUUCCUUUUCUUCGAAAUACUAAAAUAGGAAAAAAAAACAGCAAUAUGGGCUGGGCCCCCGGUUAGUAGGUUAGUCCCAAAAAUGAUAUAAAUGUAUAAAAUAAAGCCCAUAAACAUCCAAAAGGGGUAAUAUAAUAGGAUGGAACAAUCAAAAAUUAUAGAUACGUUGGAGACGUAUCAGUUGUAUCUUUUGUUUUACCCUGAAGCAUCCCAAUUUUGUGAGAUUAGGGUCUCUCUAAUUCUUGCGGAUAUGUGUUUCUGCCAUCUUUUGUUCGUCUAGAAUUCCAUUUUGUACCAACAAUCAUAUCAAGUUGUUCAUGUAGAACGUCAUUUUGUUCCCCUGGCUUCCCUGUCUUCUUCUUGGAAAAUUUCUUCUGCCGUUGGUGUGAAUCCUUACAGAACGUCCUUGAUGGAGUAAGUGCUCCUAGAUAGGUUCAGCAGGCAAAAGUGACAUGAGCGACCUGAGCAUUCUCAUCUAUUAGCAUUAUUGAAUGCAAACAAGAUAUGAUCUUUCUUAUACACAUGUAAUACGAGUUUUCAUUUACCACUACUGGCACAAUCCUCAGUACCUUUGAAUGGAGCUCUCGGCUCCAUCCUCCCAUUCAAAGAAAUAAUAGUAAUGUCUAUUAUGCAUGCUAUCACCACUAUGAGCAACAAACUAUUGCAGUUUGUGUGCUUUGUGCACGCCUUACUUAAGAAAUCAUUCACACUUUAAUUGUUUCUGGCUAGUGCAGGCUGUAUGUAGUUCAGAAGUGAGGUUCAUUAGAAGCAUGGAGAUUGAGCAGUUGCAAAGUUAAUGUGUUCCCUACCUCAUUGUCUUGCUGGAUGCUUUAAUGAGAAAGAACUGAUCUUUUUUGCUGUAUGUAAUUGGACAGGUGACAACACCAAUGCUUGCACCUUCUUCUGUUGCCGAUAUGGACUUGGGGGUGCAUGACUUGACAAUGAGCACCUAACAUCAGUUCUCUCCAUGGCAGUGAGCUCACUGCGCAACAACCGCCAUGAUGUGGUUCAGGUAACUGCCCAGUCUCCUCCUUAGACACCAUGUUGUGUGGUGCCCGGCCAUCGCGCCGAAGACGUGUUGUGAUCUUCGGCUUCGAGCCUUGGUACUUUCUUGGUAGAGGUUUGCUUGUGGGGUGCUCAUCUGGUCACAUGGUUGUAGCAAAUAAACUAAGCCCCCCAACUAAUCAAAUGUUUCCUUUCUUGUCCAUCUUUUGGAUGAAAAAGUUGUAUUAAGAGCUUUUGGAACUACGUGUGCACUACUUUGGUCUUUUUGUUUUAUUUUGAUCCCCCUCUCUUUAGUACUUUGUUUGUCUAUCAAGAAAAUGGUGUUAUGGUGCAGGUGUAGUUGAGACUUGGUUUCUGUGUUUGUGCCUUCUUAUUUUCACUAGCUUAUGGUACAAUUGAUGGGUAUCUUUUUUUUGUCUCCUUUUUUAGCUAAGUUGUAUCAUCUUAGGUAUAGUUGGUUGCUUUGGAAUUCUCUUAGAAGAUAGAAUUGUUCAGAUUUGAGUUACAGAUCAAAAUAUAUGGUUCUUGCUCCUGGUUAUGCUACUGUUUGAGUUAUAGAUCAAAAUGUAUUGUUCUUGGUCCUGGUUAUGUUACUGUUUGAGUUACAGAUCAAAAUGUAUGGUUCGUGGUCAUGUAUAUUUGAGACUAGGAAUGUCAUUCUGAAAUUUGCUUUACAUAUAUUGUGAUAUUCUCAAACUUGUUAUCUGCAUCAACCAGGUACGUCAAUUCAUGUAAGCGACUCUGUUGAGAAGGAGAUCGCUAUGUGGUUCUGGUGCUACCUGGUGGUUGUCGUCGCGGUUGCCUUGCUUUUGGUGUUGAUGAGAUGGCGGGGUUGUUGCCCAGUAUCCUUGCCGCCAGCUCCCACAACUUCCUCCUUGGUUAUCACCACUUAGGUGAGUCCCUGGUCUCGCCUUCCUCUGUCUUUUCUGGGAUUGCAAGCAAGGCAUGCACAUCUGCUGGAUGCAUCCUGUUUGUGAUGACAUUAGAAUCUGAAACCCGGGGAUGCCAUGUAUAUUUAUGUACUCACUAGGAGACGCAAUGGUACUCCGUUUGUAAUGUGUAACAAACAACGUCUUAUAUUUUGAUACAGAGGGAGUAGUUUAUUAAAGCAUGGAGAUUAAGCUAUUGCAAAGUUAAUGAUUUGGUUGUGUGUUCCCUAGCUCAUUAGCUUGCUCGAUGAUUUAAUGAGAAAGAACUGAUCUAUUUUGCUGUACAUGAUUGGAUUGGUGACAACGCUAAUGAUUGCACCUUCUUCUAUCACCGAUAUCGACUUGCGAGCGCAUCACUUGACGAUGAGCUCCUGACAACAGUUCUCUCCAUGGCAGUUAGUUCACUACGCGGCAACCGCCAUGUUGUGGUUCAGGUAAAUACCUAGUGUUCUCCUUAGACACCAUGUUGUGUGGUGCCGGCCAUCGCGCCAAAGACAUGUUGUGAUGUUGGGCUUCGAGCCUUGGGGUAGGGGUUUGCUUGUUGGGCGGUCACGUGGCCAUACAUGGUUGCAGCAAAUAAACUAAGCCACCCAACUAAUCAAAUGUUUCCUUCUCGUCUAAUCUUUUGGAUGAAAAGUGAUGUUAAGAGCCUUUGGAACUACUUGUGCACUACUCUGGUCUUUUUGUUUUAUUUUGAUCCCCCUCUCUUUAAUACUUUGGUAGUUUGUCAAGAAACUAGUGUUACGCCGUAGACGCAGCCGACACUUGGUUUCUGUGUAUGUGCCUUCUUAUUUUCACCAACUUAUGUUACAAGGAUGGGUAUCUUUAUUUUGUCUCCUUUUUUAGUUAAUUUAUGUCAUCGUAGGUAAAGCUGGUAGCUUUGGCCUUUUCUCGAAAGAUAGAAUUGUUCAGAUUUGAGCUACACAUUAAAAUAUAUGGUUCUUGCUCCUUGUUAUGCAACUGUUUGAGUUAUAGAUCAAAAUGUAUGGCUCUUGGUCAUGGUUAUGUUAAUGCUUGAGUUAUAGACCAAAAUGUAUGGUUCUUGGUCCUGUAUAUUUGAGACCAGGAAUGUCAUUCUGAAACUUGUUAUCUGCAUAAUCCAGGAACAUCAUUCAUGUAAGCGACUCAAUUUAGAAGGAGAUUACCAUGUGGUUCUGGCGCUACCUGGUGGUUGUCGUCACGGUUGCCUUGCUUCUGGCACUGAUGAGACGACGGGGUUGUCGCCCAGUAUCCAUGUUGCCAGCUCGGACAACUGCCUCCUUGGUUAUCACCACUUAGGCGAGUCACUGGUCUCGCCUUCCUCUGUCUUCUUUGGGAUCUAGCCUGUGCUUUUCUCCAUCCAUCGAGGCGAUGAUCAGUGCUUAUGGUCUGUGGUGGUGGUUGGUCAUGUGCAAUUUGAUUUAUUCUAUUGUGCUACAGGUUUCAUAUUAGCCUUUCUGAAGUAUUGAUAUGCUCCAUUUUAUGUUUUCUUUUUCUUGUGCAAGUGUUACGGUAGUGACUGGCCUUUUAUUGAAUUUCUUUUGGGAAUUGUAGCUAAAGUUCUAGGGUUCAUUUGAGUGUGGUUGAUGUCAUCCAGCUAAAAGCUUGAAAAUUUGAGCUUAUAGGGUCCGUUUGAGUGAUGUUCACAUGCAUAUCUGGUUGUAUUAGAGCUUUAAUUUAAGUGAUUUUAGUGAUUUGAAUAAAGUGAUGAUUGUAAUAUCAUCCAUAUAUCUUCACCUAGAAUGCAUAUAAGUUAAUAUUUGUAUCAGUAACUACUACAUCAGCAGUGUACUUGUUUUCUUGUUUUAUUCAUAAUCUCAUGGGCGAAGCAGUCAUACACCUUGGUUGUAGAGUGCAGAUGGCAAUGGGCUAUUUGUUUGUCAAAAUGAUGGUGUUUCGACGCAGGCGCAGCCAAUGCUUGGUUUCUGUGUUUGUGCCUUCUUAUUUUCACCAACUUAUGGUGGUACAAUGGAUGGCUAUCUUUGUUUUGUCUCUGCUUUUUUCUUUUCUUUUUGAGCUCAGGUGUGCUGUCGUAGGUAUAGUUUGUCGCUUUGGCCGUUUCUCAAAAAUACAAUUGUUCGGAUUUGAGUUACAGGUCAAAGUAUAUUGUUCUUGUUCCUGGUUAUGGUACAUUUAGAGUUACAGAUCAAAAUAUAUGGUUCUUGGUCCUAUUUAUUACCAUGAAAAGCCUGUUGAAAGGCACCUUUUCACAUUGUUUAGUGGAUACCGAAGAUUAGAGAUCCUGAUUCACUUCCCCAGUUUUCAUUAUUUUGAAAAUUUUGCUUGUUCUUCAGGUGAUAGUGAGAUUACAAUAAUUGCCAUCGGUGAAAGCACCGCUGCAGGGGAUCAAGCUAAAAAGUUUCUGGAAUAUGUUCGUGUUGGUUAGUCCAAGGAGAAGCUGCUCUAAUCUGAUCUGGUCAAGGCACCAAGCUGCUCAAUAUCACCACCAUUUGUUCAUUUCGAAGGUGAAGUGUGUCUCCCCCUCUGUUUGUUUUGAUUUGGCUGCCGUCAAGGUUCCGUUCCCUGAUGUGGUUGUUUCCUCAUGACACAGCCAUGGCCCUCCGGUGGCCUUAAUUCUUCUUCCUCCUCGGCAUAGGUGCUAACUCUCGCUCUCUCAAUCAUGGAUGUAAGAGAUGCUUAGAAUAACACAAUGGUGAUUAAUUGAUACUGUGAAUCUUUCUUCCCAUGUAAAUCUUAUUUUCUAUUUUUAACCAUGCAUCAAACAACACAAUAGCAGUCUCUCAAAAAUUACUUUGAGUAAGAAUCGGCGUUUUACUUGAUUGGUGGUGAUUUGGGGGCGUAUAUUAAUAGGCUUGUGGGGGUGGAUUUUUGGUCCCCUAAGGUGUGAGAAAUAAUUCCUCAUCGCUGGAGUUAGUGUGAUUUCAGGGAAGGCAUGCACAUCUGCUAGAUGCAUCCUAUUUGUGAUGACAUUAGAAUCUGAAAUCCGGGGGUGCCAUAUAUAUUUAUGUACUCACUAGGAGAGGAAAUGAUAUGGAAGAUGCUUAAAUUAGCACAAUGGUUUGAAACUGUGGAUCUUUCUCCCCGUUUGAAUAAUAUUUUAUGUGCUGAACCAGCAUAAAAAACACAAUAGCUUCAAACAAAUUGGUGGUUUUCUUCGAGUAUACUAGUGCUUGUCAUAGUUUUAGUCUUAAGAGUGCAUUGUUAAGCUGAAUGAAACCUGUCUAUCAGUGUUGGUCCUGUUAUGAUGCGAUGAUGUACAAAUAGUAUAUUUGAAUUGUAGACAAGUCCCACCACAAAGCAGACAGGGCUUGUUUGACAUAGGUGAUUGUUCUAUGAUGUUUGACAUUCUCGUGCUUACUUUAGUGAGUAUUUUUUUUUGAUGGCAGAAGGGUGAUGUCUCGGUAGUUCAUGUUAUGAUGUAUUAGCAAACAAUAUUCGGUUCGCUUUCUUACAGUAACACAUGUCUACUGCAAAAUUAGUGAGUGCCAAAUUGUAUAACCAUCAAGAGGAACCCUACUGCAAAAUUGUUUUCUAGUUGCAUGCCCCCAUCCAUCAUGCCCAGUUCAAAACUCUGUAUGCAUGGUUUGCAUCUUGAAUUGAUAUCAACAUACAUGUGUAACAUGUUCCAUCCAUGUGUCAGUGCAGUAGGAGCAGCCCCAGCACCGGGUCGUCGAUGGUGGGUUUUAGCGCGAAGAUGAAGAAGAGCCUGGUGGUCGCCAGGCCGGCGCACCCUCCCAUGGGUUGAUCCCUAAUAUUGGAUGAACACUUUGACUCGCUUGUUUUAAUCUCAGAAAUCAAUUGCCCGUCGACGGAAAGAAUUUGUAGUGCUGGUGCUUUAGUUUUCAUGAUCAAAGUUGUGAUUUAAAUCUGCUCAAGGCCCAAGCUGCUCAAGAUCACAACCAUUUGUUCAUUUCGAAGGUGAUAUGUCUCUCCCCCUCUGUUCGUUUUGAUUCAGCUACCAUCAAGGUUCCCUUCAUGAUGUGUUUGUUUCCUCAUGCACGCAGGUGCACUCCAACGCCUCCCACCCUGCCCCUACGGGGCCUUGAUUCUUCGUUGACUGAUCGCCCCGGUGAGGAUGGUGGCUCCUCCCCUGCUAUCACGGAGAUAGGAUCCUCCCUCCCUCCAUGUGCUUCUUCUCUUCUCUGGGCAGGUGAGGAGACUUCCAGCUGGCUGCUCUUGACAAGCUUCUCAAGGUACCUACCCUCUCCUCUUUGAGAGAGAUCACGUUUCAAUUUGUUCUUCUCCCCUUUCUAGUGCACUACACAUUAUGCUAGGAGAAUUGUAGAUUCAAGCCCUGAAUUAUUACACACCCACCCAAUUCUAUCUUGGAUUUUUUUUCCUGUGAAAGGGAAGGUUUCCUGCGUUUUUAAGGGAAACAAAAUAACAUCCAUUAAGACAAAAGGAAGCGUGUGGGUUUCUAGUUUGUGUUCCAUCCGAUUCCUAUGCCUUUUUUGUUCCUUUGUUUUGUACUCCCAUGUACCAAACGGGGCCUUAUCGUUCCAACUUUGUUUAAAGUGAUUUCCUUAUGAGUAUUUCAUCAUUUGGUAAAUAUGAUGGAUCUUGAUCUUAUGUGUUGAAAUGCUCACUGGAGGCAUUUUACUACUAUAUCACAUAGUUUUCACCUGCUUUUACCACCAUCGGUGCCUAUAUGCUAUAGAAGGCAUUUUUACUACUAUAUCACAUAGUUGUCACCCGCUCUUACCACCAUUGGUGCCUCUGUAGUUGUUUGGUUGUGUUUCUGUUGAUAGUGUUUGAUUCUAUAAGAUAUGCUUGCUUGUCAUUAUGGUGUGGAGAGCUUGUAACUUGGCCACUGAUUAAUUAACUAAUCUUGUUCUCUCUUUAUUUCUCUGCCUAUGUAGGGGAUGAUAGACUAUAUGAUUUUCAUUAAUAUGGACAAGUUCCAACAUCCCAUCCAUAAGGGAAGGGGCAGAGAGGUUGCUUGCAGUGAACAACCCAGGAUCUCGGAAGCAUAGGCCAGACACAAUGCUUGCAAGUUGCAACUACUCAGCCACCCCAAGGGCAUCAAGACGGUGGCAUCAAGUUGGUCAAUACCCUCCCGUGCAGAUGCAUGGAUUGGCUACAUGGCCUGGUCCUCCACAAAAUAUUCAAGUACCACAUCUGACGCAACAACAACUUCAAUACAGGCUUCCAAGGAUGACCCUACCGCAAACAGUGAGUCAAACAGAAGAAGAAUACAAGCUAAGGAAGGAAGGGCCAGCAGUGAGUAGUGGGAGCUAGUGUUAGAUUCAUACAUGAGCUCAUUGAGUUUGUAGUAGUGUUGUUGGGGAAAUGGUGUGGUAGAAUGACGAUAUGGAAGUGUAUUGACUGACUUGCACUUCGAGUGCAUGAAUGAAUCUUGGAAUGAACAACAAGAUAAUACCAUUCUUUUGAUUCGGAUUCUUAUGCGACGCGUUAUGCUACCAAAAUUUCUAGCAAAAAUCCACACGACUUCUCCAAAUUUUGGCCUUCUUUGUAAUGAAACCAAAAAAAUUUGGUCUUGACACUACUAGGGAAAAGCCUAUACACAUGAUCUUAACAGCAGCGAGUUUUAAAAUAAGGCGCUGCUGCAAUUUAUCAGUAGCGCGCUCCUCCAGAACUUGCUGCUGAAGGAAAAGUAGUAGUAGCGCGCCACCUCUAAGCCACGCUACUGCUAUAAUUCCCAUGACCCCGCCACAGAGCUAGUUAUAGCAGCAGCGCGUUAAAUAGAAGGGCGCUACUGCUAGGUAGUUUAGCAGUAGCGCCUUUACGUACACCGCGCAACUGCUAAAAAUAGAAGGGAAUCUCUGAUGGAACAUUUCACCCUACCAGAUUAUUUACUGAUGUAGAUGUGCAGAAAGUCAAGGACGCUGCUCUUAAGAAGAUGGCAAUUGCAUUCAACACCCACAAGAAAACUGUAUGGGCCAACUACCUCGCUUCAGAAAGGAAGACUCCAGAAUUCAAAGGAACACUGGAGAAGCAAAGAGAACGCUGGCCCGCUUUCAUGAAAUUCAAGGAAUCAGAAUUAUCUAAGGAACGGUCGAGAAUAAACAAGGCCAAUGCCGCAAAGAAGACGCAGUUCCAUAGGCUGGGUCCAGGUGGCUACGCGGUGGGAAUGCCUAAGUGGGAUAAGUCCGAGCAAGAGAUGGAGGAUGCAGGGGUCACUCAGGUUACUAGGAGCUGGCCCCCCGGGUGCAGAACUUGGUUCUAUGCGCAUGGGGGCGUUGGACCCGAAGACAGGCCUGGUUUCAAAGAAGGCAAGUCUAAAAGGAGCCAAACAAAAGAUACUUGACACAAUAGAAGAUGCUCGAAAGGGGGGUGUUCACGCCCAACAGAGAGAACGACGAGCUUACGCGCGCCCUGAGAAAUCUUGAACACCCAGGAAGAACACGAGGCAAGGACGUUAUUCCCUAGUAUGAGGGCUUUUCGGAAUGGAACGACGACUACAGGACCCUGCUACGUCUUGAGCUUGCGUUGGUUUUCCUUGAAGAGGAAAGGGUGAUGCAGCAAUAGUAGUGUAAGUAUUUCCCUCAGUUUUUGAGAACCAAGGUAUCAAUCCAGUAGGAGGCUCCUCAAAAGUCCCAUGCACCUACACAAACAAACAAAGAACUCGCAACCAACGCAAUAAAGGGGUUGUCAAUCCCUUCAUGGCCACUUGCGAAAGUGAGAUCUAAUAGAGAUAGUAUGAUAAGAUAGAUAUAUUUUUGGUCUUUUAUAAGAUAGAUGCAAAAAGUAAAGAUGCAAAUAAAAGUAGAUUGGAAGCAAAUAUGAUAAAAUAUAGACCCGGGGGCCAUAGGUUUCAAUAGAGGCUUCUCUCAAGAUAGCAUAAGUAUUACGGUGGGUGAACAAAUUACUGUCGAGCAAUUGAUAGAAAAGCGAAUAAUUAUGAGAUUAUCUAGGCAUGAUCAUGUAUAUAGGCAUCACGUCUGCAACAAGUAGACCGACUCCUGCCUGCAUCUACUACUAUUACUCCACACAUCGACCGACUCCUGCCUGCAUCUAGAGUAUUAAGUUCAUAAGAACAGAGUAACGCCUUAAGCAAGAUGACAUGAUGUAGAGGGAUAAACUCAUGCAAUAUGAUAUAAACCCCAUCUUUUUAUCCUCGAUGGCGAUAAUACAAUACAUGCCUUGCAACCCUUUCUGUCACUGGGUAAGGACACCGCAAGAUUGAACCCAAAGCUAAGCACUUCUCCCAUGGCAAGAAAGAUCAAUCUAGUAGGCCAAACCAAACUGAUAAUUCGAAGAGACUUGCAAAGGUAACUCAAUCAUACAUAAAAGAAUUCAGAGAAGAUUCAAAUAUUUCUCAUAGAUAAACUUGAUCAUAAAUCCACAAUUCAUCGGAUCUCGACAAACACACCACAAAAAGUGUUUACAUCGAAUAGAUCUCCACAAGAGAGGGGGAGAACAUUGUAUUGAUAUCCAAAAAGAGAGAAGAAGCCAUCUAGCUAAUAACUAUGGACCCGAAGGUCUGUGGUAAACUACUCAUAACUCAUCGGAAGGGCUAUGGUGUUGAUGUAGAAGCCCUCCAUGGUCGAUUCCCCCUCCGGCGGAGCGCCGACAAAGGCUCCAAGAUGAGAUCUCGCGGAUACAGAAGGUUACGGUGGUGGAAACUAUGUUUCGUUGGCUCCCUGGAUGUUUUCGGGGUACGUAGGCUUAUAUAGGAGGAAGAAGUACGUCGGUGGCCGCCUGAGGGGCCCACGGGACAGGGGGCGCGCCCUACCCUCUCGUGGCCGCCUCGGCUGCUUCUUGACUAGCACUCCAAGUCCUCUGGAUCACGUUCGUUCCAAAAAUCACACUCCCGAAGGUUUCAUUCCGUUUGGACUCCGUUUGAUAUUUCUUUUCGUCGAAAUACUGAAAUAGGCAAAAAAAACAACAAUACGGGUUGGGCCUCCGGUUAGUAGGUUAGUCCCAAAAAUGAUAUAAAUGUGUAAAAUAAAGCCCAUAAACAUCCAAAAGGGGUAAUAUAAUAGCAUGGAACAAUCAAAAAUUAUAGAUACGUUGGAGACGUAUAUAUCAGACCCGUGCAAGAAAGAAGAUGGAGGAGGAGAAGAAGAGGAAGCUGGAGGAGGAGCAGAGGAAGCAGGACGCAGAAAGCCUUCAAGGCCUAGAAGCAAGGCACGCGGACUUGGCACUCAAAUUCCAGCAGCAGCAGCAGCAGCAGAUCGACUCACUUAGCCAGGAAAGGGGGUCGCAGUAGCAGCAGCAGCAAGCGGAUGAUCAUCCAGUAUUGGAUAGCACUGUCCCAUCCAUGCCGAGAAGCAGCAUUGGUUCCGCCCUUGGCGCCACACAGCUGGAUACAUACCCUGUGGAUGACACCAUAGAGAACACUAACUGUGAGCUACACUCCAAAAUGAAGAACAUAUCCAUGAAGGUGGCGGACGCCAUUGCUUUUACAAUUACCCCCGAAGCAACCUUCCAUUGCACCCCAAUUACAGUGGGCUAUGCUCGUGUCUUGGUUGAUGAAGUGGUGGACCCAUAUUCGGGGCUACAGCUUGACAUUCCUGGAGGUGACGACGAGCGCACGCUGGGAGAGGCUAUACAUCGUAACAUCCUAUGGAGAAAGGAUUGCAUCACCUUUCGAAGUCCACCGACACCACGUCUGCCGACUCCUCCUCGAAGUCCGCCACCGAGUCAGCAGACUCCCGCUCCUCCAGGUCCACGAAUGCGUGAGCCGACUCCUCCUUGAAGUCCGCCACCUCCUCCAAGUCCACGAACGCAUGAGCAGACUCCUGCUUCAAGUCUGGCACAGCGUCAGGCCACUCCUCCCGUUUCAAGUCCGACACCAUGUCAGGCCACACCUCCUGCUUCAAGUCCGGCACAGCGUCAGGCCACUCCUCCUGCUCCAACUCAGCCACGUCAGCCAUCUCCACCAUCUCAGCAAUCGCAUAAGAGACACGCCACAACUAUGGUGUGUAGCGGUACGAGUCAAGGUAGUACAGGAAGUGCAGGCGGAGACAAGCGAUAUAAUUAUGGUCCAAGCCUCGCUCCUCUUCCUCAGAGGCCUUAUGACAUGACCGAGGAGCAAAACGCAGCCAUAGUGCGGGCCCAAGUGGAUGCCCAUUUUGGACCGAAACCGGCACAGCCGCCAAGGGAGAAAGUGCCUGAGGAAAAGAUUAACCACUUCAUUCGUAUGGCUAGACUACCAGCUCCCAAGCAUGUUGACUCAGACUAUGAGCGCCAAAUCAGGAAGGCACAUCGAGCAUGACUACAGAAGGAAGCGAGCUCGAGCUCGAGCCAACAAGCAGGUAGCAAAAAAUGCGGGAAAACCAUUCCCCAGCUGGGAGAACAGGCGGCGCAAUCGAUUCCCCCGCUUGUUGUGCCAACAACACAUGAGAGUACGCGCGCCCAAUAUUAUUGUGGGCAAACCGUUAACGUUCCCCAGCUGGGCGAUGUGGUAAUAACCGAGGAGCAUAUAAUGCAGGCUGAAAUGCUCAAGAUCACUGUUGGACAACUCCUCGUAAUCGAGCCCAUGUCUCCGCUUAGAGAGGAGGAAAUAAAAUGGAAAUAUGUCCGGGGCCAACCUUUGGUCGAGCCAGACAAGGUCAAGAACGUCCCAACGAGAAUGUAUGAAUUGCAUCAAUGGUACAUGAACGUUACCAAAAUUUCCAAUCGAGAGUCCCUCAUGGUGAAUGUCAAGGAGGAGCAUUACUUCCAUGAGAAAGCUUUGUCUGUUGAGUAUUCAGAACUGUUUCAGUUAUACAAUCAAGACGCACUCGACAAAUCUAUCGUCAGUUGCUAUUUUCUGUAAGUGAUUUCUUUUUGUAAUUUAAGUCUCAAGCUAGCUGUAGUGAUCAUUUUGAUCAAUCAUUACAUGUAAUAUCCUCACUAUAUUCUUUUCUGUGGUAUUAUAUGCAUGAUGAAGAUGUAUGAAAUGAAAAAAUCUGGAUGUUAUGGCAUUAGGUUCAUUGACCCAAAUACCAUUAAUGAGUACACAUGGAAUCUUCCAAGUUGUCGAGUAAGUUUAGAGGAAAGCAUGCUACAGUUCUUCAAGCGCCUCAAUAUCAAUGAAGAUAUUCUACUUCCUUACAACUUCCUGUGAGUCACACUGUCUUCAACUUUUUGAUUAGUGUUAUGCACAUGCCCGCUUAAUUAAGACAUGCAAACAUGUGCGCAUGCAGUUUCCACUGGAUCUUGUUAGACAUUGAAGUUGACGAAGGAAAAGUUGAAGUACUGGACUCACUACUUAAAAAAGAAAGUGACUACACCAUCUUGAAGGGGAUAGUCAAGAGGUAAUUUCAAUCAUUAUUAACUAUAUAUCGGCCUAUUUAGUUCGUCAUUUUCUGAUAUGAACUAUUUAAUAACCCCUUUAUUGAUUUUCUUUGCCGGCGGGCAGGGCUUGGGCAAAGUUCAUCAAGGUGACUCCAGACAAAUGGGCAAAAAAAGCUGUUUUGGUAUCGACCAAAGGUAAGUAAUUAAGUAGUACUAGCUAGCUAGCUAGCUACCAUCUCUUUAAUUCUUGUUUCAAUACCAUUAAUUAAUUAUCAUGCUUGAUUAAUCAUUAUCUGAUUCAAUUCCAUUCUCGUAAAGACCCAGAAGCAGGCGCCGGGAAAUGAUCUGUGUGCAUACUACGUUUGCGAGAACAUUCGCAUGAUGGCGUCCGAAAGGAGCAGAUCUCAAAGACAGGACUGGGUACGUUUGUCAGAACACUAUUCACACCAUUAUCGAUAUCUAGUCACACAACUAAUACACAUGCAUAUUGAUCUCCUUCUGAACAGUUCAGAGAGGUGCGGGAGAAGCUCCUACCAACGGACCACAUACUAGCACUUCAAGAGAAAAUAGCGGGAUUUUUGCUCGACCAGGUCAUAGAUCCCAUAGGAGAAUACUUUUACCCGCUACAGCCCCCAUGAACCACUUGUCAUCAUGCUCCGAAGGCACCAAGACAACAUGUAGGAGAAAUUGUAUAUAUAUACAUGUGUAUGUGUGAAUAAUUAAUGGUGUUGGUUGUGAGACAUUUGAUGAUAUAUAUUUAUAUAUAUAUAUGCGGUUCUACGAGAAAAUCUAUUUAUAUAUAUGCAUAACGUGUACAAUAUGUAGUAUCAUAAAAUACUAGCAAACAAAAAAGAAUUAAAUGGAAAACAUAAAAUUAAUGGAAAAUAAAAAAUAAAACCAAAACCCCCCCAAACAUUUAGUACCGGUUGGGGUUACCGACCGGUACUAAUGGUCUACCAGCACCCGGGCCUGGCUCGUGCCACGUGGUGGCACUUUAGCGCCGUUUCGUGCCGAACCGGUAGUAAAGGGGGGGCUUUAGUCUCCACUCUUUAGUGCCAGUUGUAGAACCGGCACUAAAGGCCCUUACGAACCGGCGCUAAAGCCCGGUUCUGCACUAAUGGGAACUUCUUCGGCAACAAACGUGGGAUGCACUUCACCGUUGCUUUUUAACUUUGUGGCUGAUGAUAACCCACAAGUAUAGGGGAUCGCAACAGCUUUUGAGGGUAGAGUAUUCAACCCAAAUUUAUUGAUUCGACACAAGGGGAGACAAAGAAUAUUCUUGAGUAUUAGCAGCUGAGUUGUCAAUUCAACCACACCUGCAUAACUUAGUAUCUGCAGCAAAGUGUUUAGUAGCAAAAGUGGCAUGAUAAUAAAGGUAACGGUAGCAAAAGUAAAGAUAAAUGUUUUUGGGUUUUUGUAGUAGUUGUAACAGUAGCAACGGAAAAGCAAAUAAGCGAAGAACAAUAUGUGAAAAGCUGGUAUGCAAUGGAUCAGUGAUGGAUAAUUAUGUCGGAUGCGAUUCCUCAUGAAAUAGUUAUAACAUAGGGUGAUAUAGAACUAGCUCCAAUUCAUCGAUAUAAUGUAGGCAUGUAUUCCGUAAAUAGUCAUACGUGCUUAUGGAAAAGAACUUGCAUGACAUCUUUUGUCCUACCCUCCCGUGGAAGCGGGGUCCUUGCGGAAACUAAGGGAUAUUAAGGCCUCCUUUUAAUAGAGAACUGGAACAAAGCAUUAGCACAUAGUGAAUACAUGAACUCCUCAAACUACGGUCAUCACCGAGAAGUAUCCCGAUUAUUGUCACUUCGGGGUUGUCGGAUCAUAACACACAAUAGGUGACUAUAGACUUGCAAGGUAGGAUUAAGAACACACAUAUAUUCAUGAAAACAUAAUAGGUUCAGAUCUGAAAUCAUGGCACUCGGGCCCUAGUGACAAGCAUUAAGCAUAGCAAAGUCAUAGCAACAUCAAUCUCAGAACAUAGUGGAUACUAGGGAUCAAACCUUAACAAAACUAACUUGAUUACAUGGUAAAUCUCAUCCAACCCAUCACCGUCCGGCAAGCCUACGAUGGAACUACUCACACACGGCGGUGAGCAUCAUGAAAUUGGUGAUGGAGGAUGCUUGAUGAUGACGACGGCGACAAAUCCCCCUCUCCGGAGCCCCGAACGGACUCCAGAUCAGCCCUCCCGAGAGAGAUUAGGGCUUGGCGGCGGCUCCGUGUCGUAAAACGCGAUGAAACUUUCUCGCUGAUUUUUUCUCCCCGAACAUGAAUAUAUGGAGUUGGACUUGGCGUCGGUGGAGGUCCAGUGGGCCCACGAGAUAGGACGCCGCACCCUAGGGGGGCAUGCCCCCCCCCCCCGUCUCGUGGACAGGUUGUGGGCCCCCUGGCAUUAAUUCUUUCGCCAAAAAUUCUUAUUAAAUCCAAAACGUGCCUCCGUGGAUUUCCAGGACAUUCCGAGAACUUUUCUUUUCUACACAUAAAACAACAUCAUGGCAGUUCUGCUGAAAACAGCGUCAGUCCCGGUUAGUUUCAUUCAAAUCAUGCAAGUUAGAGUCCAAAACAAGGGCAAAAGUGUUUGGAAAAGUAGAUACGUUGGAGACAUAUCAACUCCCCCAAGCUUAAACCUUUGCUUGUCCUCAAGCAAUUCAGUUGACAAACUGAAAGUGAUAAAGAAAAACUUUUACAAACUCUGUUUGCUGUUGUUGUUGUAACAUGAAAAGCCAGCAUUCAAGUUUCAGCAAAUAUUAUGAACUAACCAUACUCACAAUAACACAUAGGUCUCAUAAUUACUCAUAUCAAUAACAUAAUCAGCUAGCGAGCCAUAAUAAUAAAACUCGGAUGACGACACUUUCUCAAAAUAAUCAUAACAUGAUAUAACAAAAUGGUAUCUCGCUAGCCCUUUCUGAGACCACAAAACAUAAGUGCAGAGCACCUUUAAAGAUCAAGGACUGACUAAACAUUGUAAUUCAUGGUAAAAGAGAUCCAGUCAAGUCAUACCCAAUAUAAACCAAUAGUAAUUAAUGCAAAUGACAGUGUGCUCUCCAGCGGGUGCUUUUAAUAAGAAUGGUGAUGGCUCAACAUAAAAAGUAAAUAGAUAGGCCCUUCGCAGAGGGAAGCAGGGAUUUAUAGAGGUGCCAGAGCUCGAUUUUAAAAUAGAGAUUGAAUAACAUUUUGGGCGGCAUACUUUUGCUGUCAACGCAACAACUAUGAGAUGGCUGUAUCUUCCAUACAACAUGCAUUAUAGGCAGUUCCCAAACAGAAUGGUAAAGGUUUAUACUCCCCCAACCACCAACAAGCAUCAAUCCAUGGCUUGCUCGAAACAACGAGUGCCUCCAACACACAACAGUGCUGGGGGAGUUUUGUUUAAUUAUUUUGAUUUGCUUUAAUCUUUUUAGAUCAUGGGACUGGGCAUCCCAGUUACCGGCCCUUUCUCGUGAAUGAGGAGCAGAGUCCACUCCUCUUGAGAAUAACCCACAUAGCAUGGAAGAUAUAGGCAGCCCUAGUUGAAACAUGAGCUGCUCGAGCAUACAAAACAGAAUUUCAUUUGAAGGUUUGGAGUUUGGCACAUACAAAUUUACUUGGAACGGCAGGUAAAUACCGCAUAUAGGAAGGUAUAGUGGACUCAUAUGGAACAACUUUAGGGUUUAUGGAGUUUGGAUGCACAAGCAGUAUUCCCGCUAGUACAGGUGAAGGCUAGCAAAAGACUGGGAAGCGACCAACUGAGAGAGCGACAACAGUCGUAAACAUGCAUUAUAAUUAAUUCACACCGAGUACAAGCAUGAGUAGGAUAUAAUCCACCAUGAACAUAAAUAUCGUGAAGGCUAUGUUGAUUUGUUUCAACUACAUGCGUGAACAUGUGCCAAGUCAAGUCACUCAAUUCAUUCAAAGGAGGAUACCAUCCCAUAAUAUCACAUCAUAAUCAUUGUAAUAGCAUGUUGGCACGCAAGGUAAACCAUUAUAACUCAUAGCUAAUCAAGCAUGGCACAAGUAACUACAAUCUCUAAAUGUCAUUGCAAAUAUGUUUACUUCAUAAUAGCUGACUCAGGAACGAUGAACUCAUCAUAUUUACAAAAACAAGAGAGGUGGAGUUCAUACCAGCUUUUCUCAUCCCAAUAAGUCCAUCAUAUAUCGUCAUUAUUGCCUUUCACUCGCACGACCGAACGAUGUGCAUAAUAAUAAGAGUGCACGUGCAUUGGACUAAGCUGGAAUCUGCAAGCAUUCAACUCAAGAGAGAAGACAAGUAAUAUGGGCUCUAAAUUAAAUAAACAAUCAUGCAUAUAAGAGCCACUAAGCAUUUUCAAUAUGGUCUUCUCGACCCCCAAAGGAAAGAAAAGAAAAUAAAACUAUUUACAUGGGAAAGCUCCCAACAAGUAAAAGAAGAACGAGAAAUCUUUUUGGGUUUUCAUUUUAAUUCCUACUAUAAGCAAGGAAAUUAAACUAACUAAUAUUUUGGUUUUUCUUAAAGUUUAUCAAACACACAAGAAUAAAAACUAGAAAAAAGAAAUUUAAACUAGCACAGAUAAUACAAUGAAAGAGUAUGAGCACCGACGACUAGUGUGUGAACAUGAAUGUAAAGUCGGUGAGAAAUACGUACUCCCCCAAGCUUAGGCUUUUGGCCUAAGUUGGUUUAAUACCAAUGACCGCCUGGCUGAUAUCCAUAAGUGAAACUGGGGUAGUACUGAGAUGCAGAGGCGACCGCCUCCUGAGCAGCAGCUUGUUGGCGAGUUGCCUCCAUUCCCCUCUCAUAUUCAGUUGCUUCUUCCCUGGUGACAACAUAUCUUCCUUUUGCCUGAUAAUCAAAAAGGUAGGUAGCAGGAAGAGUAACAGGGACGACGUUGCGUCUGUCAUAGAUUAGUCGAUAAUGGAGGAAUUGUUCAUUCCUCUCAAGAAAAUGAUGAUCAAACAUAGCUUCUUUAUCCAAGUAAACAGGAGGUACAAUCAUAUCCCCCUCUCAUGGAGCUAUAUUAAGAAAAUUAGCCACCCGGGUUGCAUAAAUUCCUCCAAAGAAAUCACCCCUUCUACUAUUAUUCUGCAACCUACGUGCAACUAUUGCCCCCAAGUUAUAACCUUUAAAACCUGACACGGCACUCUUGAGGACACAAAGAUCAGGGGCACACAUCUGACAUACCUCGUCCUUACCGUUAAUGCAUCUACCAAUAAAGAGAGCAAAGUAAUGUAUAGCAGGAAAAUGAAUGCUCCCUAUGGUAGCUUGUGCUACGUCCCUAGAUUCUCCCAUAGUAAUACUAGCAAGAACUAAAUUCAGAUUUGGGAGGAUCAUUAAUAUUACCCCACUGCGGGAGUUUGCAAGCAGUUGUGAAAUCCUCUAAAUCCAUGGUAUAAGAUGUAUCAUAAAUAUCAAACAUGACACUAGGAGAAUUACGCGCAGAAAUAUAUUCGAACCUCCGCACAAAGAAAUCAGUCGAUUGAUAAUAUUGAGGACACUUAUCUUGUAAGAAGUCCUCCAGCUCGGCAUUACGCACAUAUGCGCCAAAUUCCUCCUUGAAGCCUGCUUCAACCAUAAAAUCAUCGGAUGGCUUCCUCAAAAAAAAUCAUCAGAUGGCCACUCACAAGCCCGUACAUUUGCGUCCCUUGGCAAAUUAACAUCUUGUUCACGUAUAGCAAUCCUUGGCCCUUUCUUUGCCGAGGAACCUCCUUGGUACAAUCUUCUAAGCAUAUUUCUAUUUCUGAAAAUUUCUGAAAUUUUAGUAACUUCAAAAUAAAAGUGAAUAAAACUAAAAAAGAUUGAUAGCAACUACUCCUACAAGUGCCUAGAGCCUAUAUCAUGCAUUGGAAUUGCUUGGGACGUCAAAAAUUUAACAUGCAAGCUCAAGAACAUGGUCACCUAUGCAGCAAAAAUUUGCAAUGAAUAAAGCACUAGAACAAAAACUAAUUGGACCAAUGGAGGAGUCACAUACCAAGCAACAAUAUCCCAAAGCAGUUUUGCGAAUGGAGCUUUGAGAUAAGAGAUCAAAAAUCGCAGCAAAACGACCUAGAACUCGUGCUUGAGCUGGAUGGGGAUUUUUUGGGUAGAAGAUGAAGUGUGUGGGUGCUGGCAUAAGUGGAGGGGAGCCACCAGGGGCCCACGAGACAGGGGCGCGCCCCUCGUGGCCUGGUGCUUGACCCUCCUGCAGUGUUUUCAGUGCCUAAAAUCCUCAAAUAUUCCAGAAAAAAUCAUACUAAAUUUGCAGGGCAUUUGGAGCACUUUUAUUUUCGGACUAUUUUUUUAACGCACGGAUAAUUCAGAAAACAGACGGAUAAUACUAUUUUUGCUUUAUUUAAUCUAAAUAACAGAAAGUAAAAAGAGGGUACAGAAGGUUGUGCCUUCUAGUUUCAUCCAUCUCGUGAUCAUCAAAAUGAACCCACUAACAAGGUUGAUCAAGUCUUGUUAACAAACUCAUUCCGAAUAACACGGAACCGGAGAAAUUUUGAAUAACACUAAGUUACCCCAACGAGGAUAUGAAAAUCCCCAAUAAUAAGAAUAUCAUACUUUUUCUUGACAGUAGGAAGAGGAAAUUCAAAACCUCCAAAAAUGAUAGUUGGAACUUUUUCAAUAGAAUUGAUGCUAUGAACUUGAGAUUGUUUCCUCGGAAAGUGUACCGUAUGCUCAUUCCGAUUAACAUGAAAAGUGACAUUGCCUUUGUUGUAAUCAAUAACAGCCCCUGCAGUAUUAAGAAAAGGUCUACCAAGGAUAAUAGACAUACUAUCGUCCUCGGGAAUAUCAAGAAUAACAAAGUCUGUUCAGAUAGUGACAUUUGCAACCACAACAGGCACAUCCUCACAAAUGCCGACAGGUAUAGCAGUUGAUUUAUCAGCCAUUUGCAAAGAUAUUUCAGUAGGUGUCAACUUAUUGAAUUCAAGUCUACGAUAUAAAGAGAGAGGCAUAACACUAACACCGGCUCCAAGAUCACAUAAAGCAGUUGUAACAUAAUUUCUUUUAAUGGAGCAUGCACUAGUAGAAAAAGGACCUAAUAUGAGACACAUUAGCGCCGGUUUGAUUUUGAGCCGGCACUAAUGUGUCCAUUAGUGCCGGUUCCAAUGGCUAGCCGGCCGUUCUCAUUAGUACCGGUUCAUGGCGAACCUUUAGUACCGGUUCGUGCCACGAACCGGUACUAAAGAGGGUGGUUGCAGGGUGUUGUCAGUCUGGGGCCCGUCCAGCACCUUUAGUACCGGUUCGUGGCACGAACCGGUACUAAAGGUCGAUGUACAUAAACCCUUCGUCCACCCGAGCCACUCUGUUCUUCCCCUUUCCCCUCACUUCCUCUGUUAUUCCCCUCUCUUCCUCAAGCUCCUCACAAAUUUUGCCCAAAAUUUGUCAAGAUUUGAAGGCCCCCAUCCAUUCAAAUGAUCACAAAGGUUAGCAACUUUGUCCUUUCAACUCUCAUUGCUAGAUUAGCUCUUGCAAUGAUUUGUAUAGUGAUUAAUUUGGGAGGAAUUAUAUUUGCUAGUAUUUGAUUUAUAUGCAAUUUGAGGUCAAAAAUAACACUUAGUUUGCAUAUGUAGGUGUGGUUUACUUAGUGCCUUCUAAAUCUCCGUCGUAACCACCGUCGAUCGCCCGCACCGUCCCGUCACCGGCACCACCUUGUGGUGAGGCUCUUGUUCAUGAAUGUUAUACAUUACCAAAUUGAUGUUUGUGUGAUUUGGAUAUAUAGUUACUCGUAUAAUUAUCUUACCCGUAUGUUGUUUGUUAUACAUAGUGCCAUGGUUUUGAUAUCCGUCCCCGUCGGCCCUCGUCCUUGUUAUGAUUCGGAUGUGGUAUAUUCUCUUUUAAAACUAGUUGUUGCAUUUCGUAUUUAUGACAAAUUAUGCCCAUCAAGUUGACAUAGAUAUUUUUAUCUAGGAGGUAUGUGAACCGGAAAUUCCAACCGACCCUAUUGUCGAGAGGUUAAAUUUAGUUGAAAGAGAAAACGAGUAUUUGAAAGAAAAAUUGAAAAGAAUUGAGGGGGAGAAGAUGGAAUUGGAGUUGCAUGUUGCCGAUGUCGUCGAUGAUCACAAGAUCAAGAUGGAGAAAAUGAGGUUGAAGAUUAGAAAGAUUAGAAAAUAUGCCAUUGAUAGUGUGGCUUGGUAUCAUUACGCUGUUGGAUCAAUUGUUACCUUAGUUGCGAUCUUCAUCGCAUUUGUUGUUGCAUUUAAAUUCUUUAACUAGAGAGUUAUUUGUAUGUUGCAAUUAAUUAAGUGUUGUAUAUGAACUUUAUGUAUGAACUUGUAUUAAUUUGGUCUAUUCGGUGUUGUGUAAUGAAGAUGAGCCGACAAUGGAUGUAUGAUGACCGAUGCUCUCCUGAGUUCAUUAAUGGCGUGCGUACUUUUCUGCGGGCCGCUGAGGCAAACAACCUGGCGGAUGGUUUUAUGCCUUGUCCUGUUGGGGAACGUAGUAAUUUCAAAAAAAUCCUACGCACACGCAAGAUCAUGGUGAUGGCAUAGCAACGAGAGGGGAGAGUGUUGUCCACGUACCCUCGUAGACCGUAAGCGGAAGCGUUAGCACAACGCGGUUGAUGUAGUCGUACGUCUUCAUGAUCCGACCGAUCCAAGUACCGAACGUACGGCACCUCCGAGUUCAGCACACGUUCAGCUCGAUGACGAUCUCCAGGCUCCGAUCCAGCAAAGCUUCGGAGAUGAGUUCCGUCAGCAUGACGGCAUGGUGACGAUGAUGAUGUUCUAACGGCGCAGGGCUUCGCCUAAACUCCGCGACGAUAUGACCGAGGUGGAAUAUGGUGGAGGGGGGCACCGCACACGGCUAAGGAAUGAUCCGUAGAUCAACUUGUGUGUAUAUGGGGUGCCCCCCCCCCCACCCUUGUAUAUAAAGGAGCAAGGGGGGAGGCCGGUCGGCCCUUGGGGCGCGCCAAGGAGGAGGAAUCCUCCUCCUAGUAGGAGUAGGACUCCUCCUUUCCUACUCCUACUAGGAGGGGGAAGGAAGGGGGAGAGGGGGAAGGAAAGAGGGCCCCCCCCUCCUAGUCCAAUUCGAACCAGAGGGAGAGGGGGCGCGCGGCCCACCCUGGCCGCCCCUCUCUCUUCCCCUCUAAGGUCCAUAAGGCCCAUUACUCUCCCGGGGGGGUUCCGGUAACCCUCCGGCACUCCAGUUUUUUCCGAAAUCGCCCGGAACACUUCCGGUGUCCGAAUAUAGUCGUCCAAUAUAUCAAUCUUUAUGUCUCGACCAUUUCGAGACUCCUCGUCAUGUCCGUGAUCACAUCCGGGACUCCUAACAAACUUCGGUACAUCAAAACUUAUAAACUCAUAAUAAAACUGUCAUCGUAACGUUAAGCGUGCGGACCCUGCGGGUUCAAGAACUAUGUAGACAUGACCUAGAACUAUUCUCGGUCAAUAACCAAUAGCGGAACCUGGAUGCCCAUAUUGGUUCCUACAUAUUCUACGAAGAUCUUUAUCGGUCAAACCGCAUAACAACAUACGUUGUUCCCUUUGUCAUCGGUAUGUUACUUGCCCGAGAUUCUAUCGUCGGUAUCCAAUACCUAGUUCAAUCUCGUUACCGGCAAGUCUCUUUACUCGUUACGUAAUGCAUCAUUCCGUAACCAACUCAUUGGUUACAUUGCUUGCAAGGCUUAUAGUGAUGUGCAUUACCGAGAGGGCCCAGAGAUACCUCUCCGACAAUCGGAGUGACAAAACCUAAUCUCGAAAUACGCCAACUCAACAUGUACCUUCGGAGACACCUGUAGUACUCCUUUAUAAUCACCCAGUUACGUUGUGACGUUUGGUAGUACCCAAAGUGUUCCUCCGGUAAACGGGAGUUGCAUAAUCUCAUAGUUACAGGAACAUGUAUAAGUCAUGAAGAAAGCAAUACCAAUAUACUAAACGAUCAAGUGCUAGGCUAACGGAAUGGGUCAUGUCAAUCACAUCAUUCUCCUAAUGAUGUGAUCCCAUUAAUCAAAUGACAACACAUGUAUAUGGUUAGGAAACAAAACCAUCUUUGAUUAAUGAGCUAGUCAAGUAGAGGCAUACUAGUGACGUUAUGUUGGUCUAUGUAUACACACAUGUAUCAUGUUUCCGGUUAAUACAAUUCUAGCAUGAAUAAUAAACAUUUAUCAUGAUAUGAGGAAAUAAAUAAUAACUUUAUUAUUGCCUCUAGGGCAUAUUUCCUUCAGUCUCCCACUUGCACUAGAGUCAAUAAUCUAGAUUACAUAGUGAUGAUUCUAACACCCAUGGAGUCUUGGUGCUGAUCAUGUUUUGCUCGUGAGGGAGGCUUAGUCAACGGGUCUGCAACAUUCAGAUUUGUAUGUAUCUUGCAAAUCUCUAUGUCUCCCACUUGGACUUGGUCCCGAAUGGAAUUGAAGCGUCUCUUGAUGUGCUUGGUCCUCUUGUGAAAUCUGGAUUCCUUUCCCAAGGCAAUUGCACCAGUAUUGUCACAGAAGAUCUUCAUUGGUCCCGAUGCACUAGGUAUGACACCUAGAUCAGAAAUGAACUCCUUCAUCCAAACUCCUUCAUUUGCUGCUUCCGAAGCAGCUAUGUACUCCGCUUCACAUGUAGAUCCCGCCAUGACGCUUUGUUUAGAACUGCACUAACUUACAGCUCCACCGUUUAAUAAAAACACGUAUCCGGUUUGCGAUUUAGAAUCGUCCGGAUCAGUGUCAAAUCUUGCAUCGACGUAACCAUUUACGACUAGCUCUUUGUCACCUUCAUAUACGAGAAACAUAUCCUUAGUCCUUUUCAGGUAUUUCAGGAUGUUCUUGACCGCUGUCCAGUGAUCCACUCCUGGAUUACUUUGGUACCUUCCUGCCAAGCUUAUUGCUAAGCAUACAUCAGGUCUGGUACACAGCAUUGCAUACAUGAUAGAGCCUAUGGCUGAAGCAUAGGGAACAUCUUUCAUUUUCUCUCUAUCUUCUGCUGUGGUCGGGCAUUGAGUUUGACUCAACUUCACACCUUGUAGCACGGGCAAGAACCCUUUCUUUGCCUGAUCCAUUUUGAACUUUUUCAAAAUUUUAUCAAGGUAUGUGCUUUGUGAAAGUCCUAUUAAGCGUCUUGAUCUAUCUCUAUAGAUCUUGAUGCCCAAUAUGUAAGCAGCUUCACCGAGCUCUUUCAUUGAAUAACUUUUAUUCAAGUAUCCCUUUAUGCUAUCCAGAAAUUCUAUAUCAUUUCCAAUUAAUAAUAUGUCAUCUACAUAUAAUAUCAGAAAUGCUACAGAGCUCCCACUCACUUUCUUGUAAAUACAGGCUUCUCCAAAAGUCUGUAUAAAACCAUAUGCUUUGAUCACACUAUCAAAACGUUUACUCCAACUCCGAGAUGCUUGCACCAGUCCAUAAAUGGAUCGCUGGAGCUUGCAUACUUUGUUAGCACCUUUUGGAUCUACAAAACCUUCUGGCUGCAUCAUAUACAACUCUUCUUCUAGAAAUCCAUUCAAGAAUGCAGUUUUGACAUCCAUUUGCCAAAUUUCAUAAUCAUGAAAUGCAGCAAUAGCUAACAUGAUUCGGACAGACUUAAGCAUCCCUACAGGUGAGAAAGUCUCAUCGUAUUCAACCCCUUGAACUUGUCAAAAACCUUUCGCAACAAGUCAAGCUUUAUAGACAGUUACAUUACCAUCAGCGUCAGCCUUCUUCUUAAAGAUCCAUUUAUUCUCAAUGGCUUGCCGAUCAUCGGGCAAGUCCACCAAAGUCCAUACUUUGUUUUCAUACAUGGAUCCCAUCUCAGCUUUCAUGGCCUCUAGCCAUUUUGCGGAAUCUGGUCUCAUCAUCGCUUCCUAAUAGUUCGUAGGUUCAUCAUGGUCAAGUAACAUGACUUCCAGAAUAGGAUUACCGUACCACUCUGGUGCGGAUCUCACUCUGGUAGACCUACGAGGUUCAAUAGAAACUUGAUCUGAAGUUUCAUGAUCAAUAUCAUUAGCUUCCUCACUGAUUGGUGUAGUUGUCACAGGAACCGGUUCUUGUGAUGAACUACUUUCCAAUAAGGGAGUAGAUACAGUUAUCUCAUCAAGUUCUACUUUCCUCCCAUUCACUUCUUUUGAGAGAAACUCCUUCUCUAAAAAGGAUCCGAUUUUAGCAACGAAAAUCUUGCCCUCAGAUCUGUGAUAGAAGGUGUACCCAAUAGUCUCUUGUGGAUAUCCUAUGAAGACACAUUUCUCCGAUUUGGGUUCGAGCUUAUCUGGUUGAAGUUUCUUCACAUAAGCAUCGCAGCCCCAAACUUUAAGAAACGACAACUUUGGUUUCUUGCCAAACCACAGUUCAUAAGGCGUCGUCUCAACGGAUUUUGAUGGUGCCCUAUUUAACAUGAAUGCGGCUGUCUCUAAAGCAUAACCCCAAAACGAUAGCGGUAAAUCAGUAAGAGACAUCAUAGAUCGCACCAUAUCUAGUAAAGUACGAUUACGACGUUCGGACACACCAUUUCGUUGUGGUGUUCCGGGUGGCAUGAGUUGCGAAACUAUUCCGCAUUGUUUCAAGUGUAGACAAAACUCGUAACUCAAAUAUUCUCCUCCACGAUCAGAUCGUAGAAACUUUAUUUUCUUGUUACGAUGAUUUUCCACUUCACUCUGAAAUUCUUUGAACUUUUCAAAUGUUUCAGACUUGUGUUUCAUUAAGUAGAUAUACCCAUAUCUGCUCAAAUCAUCUGUGAAGUUGAGAAAAUAACGAUACCCACCGCGGGCCUCAACAUUCAUUGGACCACAAACAUCAGUAUGUAUGAUUUCCAACAAAUCAGUUGCUCGCUCCAUAGUUCCGGAGAACGGCGUUUUAGUCAUCUUGCCCAUGAGGCACGGUUCGCAAGUACCAAGUGAUUCAUAAUCAAGUGAUUCCAAAAGCCCAUCAGUAUAGAGUUUCUUCAUGCGCUUUACACUGAUAUGACCUAAAUGGCAGUGCCACAAAUAAGUUGCACUAUCGUUAUCAACUCUGCAUCUUUUGGUUUCAACACUAUGAAUAUGUGUAUCACUACUAUCGAGAUUCAAUAAAAAUAGACCACUCUUCAAGGGUGCAUGACCAUAAAAGAUAUUACUCAUAUAAAUAGAACAACCAUUAUCCUCUGAUUUAAAUGAAUAACCGUCUCGCAUCAAACAAGAUCCAGAUAUAAUGUUCAUGCCCAACACUGGCACCAAAUAACAAUUAUUUAGGUCUAAAACUAAUCCCGAUGGUAGAUGUAGAGGUAGCAUGCCGACCGCAAUCACAUCGACUUUGGAACCGUUUCCCACGCGCAUCGUCACCUCGUCCUUAGCCAAUCUUCGCUUAAUCCGUAGUCCCUGUUUCGAGUUGCAAAUAUUAGCAACAGAACCAGUAUCAAAUACCCAGGUGCUACUGCGAGCAUUAGUAAGGUACACAUCAAUAACAUGUAUAUCACAUAUACCUUUGUUCACUUUGCCAUCCUUCUUAUCCGCCAAAUACUUGGGGCAGUUCCGCUUCCAGUGUCCAGUCUGCUUGCAGUAGAAGCACUCAGUUUCAGGCUUAGGUCCAGACUUGGGUUUCUUAUCUUGAGCAGCAACUUGCUUGCCGUUCUUUUUGAAGUUCCCCUUCUUCUUCCCUUUGCCCUUCUUCUUGAAACUGGUGGUCUUGUUAACCAUCAGCACUUGAUGCUCCUUCUUGAUUUCUACCUCCGCGGCUUUUAGCAUUGCGAAGAGCUCGGGAAUAGUCUUGUUCAUCCCUUGCAUAUUAUAGUUCAUCACGAAGCUCUUGUAGCUUGGUGGCAGUGAUUGGAGAAUUCUGUCAAUGACACUAUCAUCAGGAAGAUUAACUCCUAGUUGAAUCAAGUGAUUAUUAUACCCAGACAUUUUGAGUGUAUGUUCACUGACAGAACUAUUCUCCUCCAUCUUGCAGCUAUAGAACUUAUUGGAGACUUCAUAUCUCUCAAUCCGAGCAUUUGUUUGAAAUAUUAACUUCAACUCCUGGAACAUCUCAUAUGCUCCAUGACAUUCAAAACGUCGUUGAAGACCCGGUUCUAAGCCGUAAAGCAUGGCACACUGAACUAUCGAGUAGUCAUCAGCUUUGCUUUGCCAGACGUUCUUAACGUCGUCAGUUGCAUCAGCAGCAGGCCUGGCACCCAGCGGUGCUUCCAGGACGUAACUUUUCUGUGCAGCAAUGAGGAUAAUCCUCAGGUUAUGGACCCAGUCCGUGUAAUUGCUACCAUCAUCUUUCAACUUUGCUUUCUCAAGGAACGCAUUAAAAUUCAACGGAACAACAGCACGAGCCAUCUAUCUACAAACAAACAUAGACAAGCAAAAUACUAUCAGGUACUAAGUUCAUGAUAAAUUUAAGUUCAAUUAAUCAUAUUACUUAAGAACUCCCACUUAGACAGACAUCUCUCUAGUCAUCUAAGUGAUCAUGUGAUCCAAAUCAACUAAACCAUGUCCGAUCAUCACGUGAGAUGGAGUAGUUUCAAUGGUGAACAUCACUAUGUUGAUCAUAUCUACUAUAUGAUUCAUGCUCGACCUUUCGGUCUCCGUGUUCCGAGGCCAUAUCCGUAUAUGCUAGGCUCAUCAAGUAUGACCUGAGUAUUCCGCGUGUGCAACUGUUUUGCACCCAUUGUAUUUGAACGUAGAGCCUAUCACACCUGAUCAUCACGUGGUGUCUCGGCACGAAGAACUUUCGCAAUGGUGCAUACUCAUGGAGAACACUUCUUGAUUAUUAGUGAGAGAUCAUCUUAAAAUGCUACCGUCAAUCAAAGCAAGAUAAGAUGCAUAAAGGAUAAAUAUCACAUGCAAUCAAUAUAAGUGAUAUGAUAUGUCCAUCAUCAUCUUGUGCUUGUGAUCUCCAUCUUCGAAGCACCGUCAUGAUCACCAUCGUCACCGGCGCGACACCUUGAUCUCCAUCGUAGCAUCGUUGUUGUUUACGCCACCUAUUGCUUCUACGAAUAUCGCUACCGCUUAGUGAUAAAGUAAAGCAAUUACAGGGCGUUUGCAUUUCAUACAAUAAAGCGACAACCAUAUGGCUCCUGCCAGUUGCCGAUAACUUUGGUUACAAAACAUGAUCAUCUCAUAUAAUAAAAUAUAGCAUCACGUCUUGACCAUAUCACAUCACAACAUGCCCUGCAAAAACAAGUUAGACGUCCUCUACUUUGUUGUUGCAAAUUUUACAUGGCUGCUACGGGCUUAGCAAGAACCGUUCUUACCUACGCAUCAAAACCACAACGAUAGUUCGUCAAGUUGGUGAUGUUUUAACCUUCGCAAGGACCGGGCGUAGCCACACUCGAUUCAGCUAAACUGAGGGACAGACACCCGCCAGCCACCUUUAAGCACGAGUGCUCGUAACGGUGAAACUAGUCUCGUGUAAGCGUACGCGUAAUGUCGGUCCGGGCCGCUUCAUCUCACAAUACCGCCGAACCAAAGUAUGACAUGCUGGUAAGCAGUAUGACUUGUAUCGCCCACAACUCACUUGUGUUCUACUCGUGCAUAUAACAUCAACACAUAAAACCUGGCUCUGAUACCACUGUUGGGGAACGUAGUAAUUUCAAAAAAAUUCCUACGCACACGCACGAUCAUGGUGAUGGCAUAGCAACGAGAGGGGAGAGUGUUGUCCACGUACCCUCGUAGACCGUAAGCGGAAGCGUUAGCACAACGCGGUUGAUGUAGUCAUACGUCUUCACGAUCCGACCGAUCCAAGCACCGAACGUACGGCACCUUCGAGUUCAGCACACGUUCAGCUCGAUGACGAUCUCCGGGCUCCGAUCCAGCAAAGCUUCGGAGAUGAGUUCCAUCAGCACGACGGCGUGGUGACGAUGAUGAUGUUCUACCAGCGCAGGGCUUCGCCUAAACUCCGCGACGAUAUGACCGAGGUGGAAUACGGUGGAGGGGGGCACCGCACACGGCUAAGGAACGAUCNNNNNNNNNNNNNNNNNNNNNNNNNNNNNNNNNNNNNNNNNNNNNNNNNNNNNNNNNNNNNNNNNNNNNNNNNNNNNNNNNNNNNNNNNNNNNNNNNNNNNNNNNNNNNNNNNNNNNNNNNNNNNNNNNNNNNNNNNNNNNNNNNNNNNNNNNNNNNNNNNNNNNNNNNNNNNNNNNNNNNNNNNNNNNNNNNNNNNNNNNNNNNNNNNNNNNNNNNNNNNNNNNNNNNNNNNNNNNNNNNNNNNNNNNNNNNNNNNNNNNNNNNNNNNNNNNNNNNNNNNNNNNNNNNNNNNNNNNNNNNNNNNNNNNNNNNNNNNNNNNNNNNNNNNNNNNNNNNNNNNNNNNNNNNNNNNNNNNNNNNNCCCCCCCCCCCUCCUAGUCCAAUUCGGACCAGAGGGAGAGGGGGCGCGCGGCCCACCAUGGCCGCCCCUCUCUCUUCCCCUCUAAGGCCCAUAAGGCCCAUUACUCUCCCGGGGGGGUUCCGGUAACCCUCCGGCACUCCGGUUUUCUCCGAAAUCGCCCGGAACACUUCCGAUGUCGAAACAUAGGCUUCCAAUAUAUCAAUCUUUAUGUCUCGACCAUUUCGAGACUCCUCGUCAUGUCCGUGAUCACAUCCGGGACUCCGAACAAACUUCGGUACAUCAAAACUUAUAGACUGAUAAUAAAACUGUCAUCGUAACGUUAAGCGUGCGGACCCUACGGGUUCGAGAACUAUGUAGACAUGACCUAGAACUAUUCUCGGUCAAUAACCAAUAGCGGAACCUGGAUGCCCAUAUUGGUUCCUACAUAUUCUACGAAGAUCUUUAUCGGUCAAACCGCAUAACAACAUACGUUGUUCCCUUUGUCAUCGGUAUGUUACUUGCCCGAGAUUCGAUCGUCGGUAUCCAAUACCUAGUUCAAUCUCGUUACCGGCAAGUCUCUUUACUCGUUACGUAAUGCAUCAUUCCGUAACCAACUCAUUGGUUACAUUGCUUGCAAGGCUUAUAGUGAUGUGCAUUACCGAGAGGGCCCAGAGAUACCUCUCCGACAAUCGGAGUGACAAAACCUAAUCUCGAAAUACGCCAACUCAACAUGUACCUUCGGAGACACCUAUAGUACUCCUUUAUAAUCACCCAGUUAUGUUGUGACGUUUGGUAGUACCCAAAGUGUUCCUCCGGUAAACGGGAGUUGUAUAAUCUCAUAGUUACAGGAACAUGUAUAAGUCAUGAAGAAAGCAAUAGCAAUAUACUAAACGAUCAAGUGCUAGGCUAACGGAGUGGGUCAUGUCAAUCACAUCAUUCUCCUAAUGAUGUGAUCCCGUUAAUCAAAUGACAACACAUGUCUAUGGUUAGGAAACAUGACCAUCUUUGAUUAAUGAGCUAGUCAAGUAGAGGCAUACUAGUGACGUUAUGUUGGUCUAUGUAUUCACACAUGUAUCAUGUUUUCGGUUAAUACAAUUCUAGCAUGAAUAAUAAACAUUUAUCAUGAUAUGAGGAAAUAAUAAUAACUUUAUUAUUGCCUCUAGGGCAUAUUUCCUUCAUGUCCAUGUGCUGGCUAUAAGAAUGGUCACAGUUACUCUACGUCAAAAACCAUUCAUGUUCACCUAUUUAAGUCCAGUUUCAUGCCCCGCUAUAAUAUUUGGACCAAGCACGGAGAAAUAGGGGUUAUGAUGGAAGACAAUGAAGAAGAAGAGGAUGAUGACGGCUAUCCUGGCCAUGGGUUCCCUGAAUACGAUGAUACAACAAUGGGGGAAGAAGCUGAGCUGGCAAUGCGGGAAGAAGCUGAAGAAGAGGCAUCAGAUGAGCCUGCUGAUGAUCUAGGUCGGGCCAUUGCCGAUGCAAAGAGAAACUGCGCAAGUGAUCUGGAGAGGACAAAGUUGCAGCGCAUGUUAGAGGAUCAUAAGAAAUGGUUGUACCCAAAUUGCGAAGCUGACAAAAAAAAGUUGGGCACUACACUUGAAUUGCUGCAAUGGAAGGCAGAGAAUGGUGUAUCUGACAAGGGAUUUGGAAAGUUGCUGGUAAUGAUAAAGAAUAUGCUUCCAAAGGACAACAAAUUGCCCGAUAGUACGUAUGAAGCAAAGAAGGUUGUCUGCCCUCUAGGGUUAGAGGUGCAAAAGAUACAUGCAUGCCCUAAUGACUGCAUCCUCUACCGCGGUGAGUAUGAGGAUUUGAACGCUUGCCCGGUAUGCGGUGCAUUGCGUUAUAAGAUCGGUCGCGAUGACCCUGGUGAUGUCGAGGGCGAGCGCCCCAGGAAGAAGAUUCCUGCCAAGGUGAUGUGGUAUGCUCCUAUAAUACCACGGUUGAAACGUUUGUUCCAAAACAAAGAGCAUGCGAAGGCGAUGCGGUGGCACGCAGAAGACCUUAAGAAAGACGGAAAGUUGAGAGUACCCGCUGACGGUUCGCAGUGGAGAAAAAUCGAGAGAAAGUACUGGGAGGAGUUUGUAGGUGACCCAAGGAACGUAUGGUUUGGUCUAAGCGUAGAUGGCAUUAAUCCUUUUGGGGAGCAGAGCAGCAACCAUAGCACGUGGCCUGUGACUCUAUGUUUGUAUAACCUUCCUCCUUGGUUGUGCAUGAAGCGGAAGUUCAUUAUGAUGCCAGUGCUCAUCCAAGGCCCUAGGCAACUCGGCAACGACAUUGAUGUGUACCUAAGGCCAUUAGUUGAAGAACUAUUACAGCUGUGGAAUGGAACAGAUGUACGUGCGUGGGAUGAGCACGGACAGGAAGAAUUUGACCUAAAGGCGUUGCUGUCCGUCACCAUCAAUGAUUGGCCUGCUCUCAGUAACCUUUCAGGACAGACAAACAAGGGAUACCGCGGAUGCAUGCACUGUUUGGAUGAUAUCGACAGUAUAUAUUUGGAUAGUUGUAGGAAGAAUGUGUACCUGGGACAUCGUCGAUUUCUUCCGACAAGGCAUCCCGUAAGAAAGAAAGGCAAGCAUUUCAAAGAUGAGGCGAAUCACUGGACGAAGCCUCGCCACCGUACUGGUGCUGAUGUACAUGAUAUGGUCAAGGAUUUGGAGGUAAUCUUUGGAAAGGGUCCUGGCGGAAAACCUAUUCCGAAGGACGCUGACGGAUGCGCACCCAUGUGGAAGAAGAAAUCUAUAUUUUGGGACCUGCCAUAUUGGAAAGACCUAGAGGUCCGCUCCAUAAUCGACGUGAUGCACAUGACGAAGAAUCUUUGCGUGACCCUGCUUGGCUUUUUGGGCGUGUAUGGGAAGACAAAAGAUACACCAGAGGCACGGGAGGACCAGCAACGUAUGCACGGAAAAGACGGCAUACAUCAGGGUCAGGCCAGCUACGCUCUUACCAAAGAAGAGAAGGAAAUCUUCUUCGAAUGCCUGCUCAGCAUGAAGGUACCGUCUGGCUUCUCGUCGAAUAUAAAGGGAAUAAUAAAUAUGGCAGAGAAAAAGUUCCAGAACCUAAAGUCUCAUGACUGCCACAUGAUUAUGACGCAACUCCUUCCGGUUGCAUUGAGGGGGCUUCUACCGGAAAACGUUCAAUUAGCCAUUGUGAAGCUAUGUGCAUUCCUCAAUGCAAUCUCUCAGAAGGUAAUCGAUCCAGAAAUCAUACCAAGGUUACAGAAUGAUUUGGUGCAAUGUCUUGUCAGUUUCGAGUUGGUGUUCCCACCAUCCUUCUUCAACAUCAUGACGCACGUCCUAGUUCACCUUUGCGAAGAGAUUAACGUUUUGGGUCCUGUAUUUCUACACAAUAUGUUCCCCUUUGAAAGGUUCAUGGGAGUCUUGAAGAAAUAUGUUCAUAACCAUGCUAGGCCAGAAGGAAGCAUCUCGAAGGGCCAUGAAAAUGAGGAGGUCAUUGAGUUUUGUAUUGACUUCAUUCCUGACCUUAAGCCGAUUGGUGGUCCUGAAUCGCGGCAUAAGGGCAGACUGGAAGGAAAAGGCACGGUAGGAGGGCAUCAAAUAAUAUGUAUGGACGGGCAUUCUCUCAUGAAGCACACUACAGAGUUCUACAGAAUUCCGCCUUGGUGGCUCCGUAUAUGGAGGAACAGAAGAAUUUUCUACAGUCCAAACACCCGGAGAAGUCUGACGACUGGAUUACACGCGAACAAACGAGGACUUUUGCCGGUUGGUUGCAGAAACGUGCCCUGAAUGAUGGCGAUAUUCAAAAUGACCUGUACUCAUUGUCCUAGUUACCAUCUUCGAAUAUAAUGACUUUCAAAGGGUACCAGAUAAAUGGGAAUACAUUUUACAUGAUCUCCCAAGAUAAGAAGAGCACCAACCAAAACAGUGGUGUCCACUUUGAUGCAACAACCAACACGGGAAAGGAAACAUAUUAUGGUUACAUAGAGGACAUAUGGGAACUUAACUAUGGAUCAGGUGAUUUGAAGGUCCCUUUGUUUCGGUGCAAAUGGGUCAAUAUGACAUGAGGCGGGGUAACCGAAGACCCGCAGUACGGAAUGACAAUAGUGGAUCUCAACAAUCUUGCGUAUGCAGACGAACCAUUCGUCCUAGCCAAUGAUGUGGCGCGGGUUUUUUAUGUGAAAGACAUGUCUACCAGGUCGAGAAAAAGAAAAGAUAAGGAAGCGAAUGGAUCAUACAACGAGCCAAAGUGCCACAUAGUUCUUUCAGGAAAAAGAAACAUCGUGGGAGUGGAUGACAAGACAGACAUGUCAGAAGAUUAUGAAAAGUUUAAUGAAAUUGCUCCAUUCACAAUGAAUAUUGACCUGACCAUCCAGUUAAAUGAUGAAGAUUUUCCAUGGCUACGGCGCAAAGGGACACACGCGAAGAAAAAGUUUCACACCCAAAGAUCUGGGAUGUGAUCGGCUUCACUAUCAUCACUUUCUUCUGUGUUUCACACCCAGGAGGGAAUGUCUGUAAUAGUUAGGGUAGUUAUGUGUUUUGGCAUUUGAAACACGAAGAAAUUUUAUGUGCAAACAAGUUCUUUUCAUGCAUUUACUGAUUUUUUCCAGCUAAAUGACCCUGAAAUUGAAAAGCAUUUCAAAUGAACUCAGAAAAGGUUGAAAGUUGGCAUGGUAUCAUAAUUUCAUACAAAUAGCAUGUGCAAAAAAGUAGAGAGGGUUACGGCAAAAACUGGAUGCACUUCGUGUACAAAAUCGACAAUCUCUUUCGAAGUAUCAGGGUUUCUGAUGAAAACUGAACUGUUACAAAGGCAUUUCAUUUUUUAAAUAACCUAAGCAUUACCAAAUUGAAUAUAAUGAUAAAACACACUAAUAUUAAACAUAAAAAAGGAAUCACUGAAAAACUUUUUUCAAAGUUAAGUUAUUCACAAACUAGUGAUUCACACAAAUUUCAAAUAAUUCAAAAUUUAAACUAUUCAAAUUUGAAAACUACCGGCACUAACAGAAAGUUUGUAAUUUUUUGUACCUAAAACAAAAAUAUUCACAAAGAAACUCUAAAUACAGCAAAAAAAACAACUCAAAAAUAAAUAAAACAAAAAUAAAUAAAGUGAAAAGAAUUAAGAAAAUAAAAAAGCCCGCCUACAGGGCCAAAGCGGCCUGCAUACAACUAUGAACACAACCUUUAGUUGGGCCAGGAUGCAGGCCCGCAAAAGCCCAGUAGGCCCACUGGGCGAAGAGGACAGAUAGGCCCAGUAGGCCUGCUUAGGAGAGGAGCUCGAGAGAGCUACCGCACUGGGGCUUAUAAACCAAUGCAGUAGCCCCUCGACUAUCGAGGUGGGACUAAACUUGCGCACCGCCUGGAGCCAGCGCACCCCCUUUAGUACCGGGUCGUGGCUCCAACCGGUACUAAAGACCCCGCCCCCCUUUUAGUACCGGUUGGUGCCACGACCCGGUACUAAAGGGGGUGAGCUUCCCACCGCUUGGCCUGGCCAAAACAGACCUUUAGUACCGGUUGGUGGCUCCAACCGGUACUAAAGGUCCAUCCUAUAUAUACAACACUUGAAAAAAAUUCAGUUUCCCUCUGUUUCCUCCCUCCGUCGCGCCGUCCUGCCCCGAUCGACGUCGUUGCUGUCGACAUCGCCGCCCCCGCCCCUCGUCGCCGACCCCGGCCGUCCCCGCCCCUCGUUGCCGCCCCCGUCAACGUCGCCGCCCCGGCCGUCCCCGUCCCCGUCGUCCCCGUCGCCACGCCCCGCCGGNNNNNNNNNNNNNNNNNNNNNNNNNNNNNNNNNNNNNNNNNNNNNNNNNNNNNNNNNNNNNNNNNNNNNNNNNNNNNNNNNNNNNNNNNNNNNNNNNNNNNNNNNNNNNNNNNNNNNNNNNNNNNNNNNNNNNNNNNNNNNNNNNNNNNNNNNNNNNNNNNNNNNNNNNNNNNNNNNNNNNNNNNNNNNNNNNNNNNNNNNNNNNNNNNNNNNNNNNNNNNNNNNNNNNNNNNNNNNNNNNNNNNNNNNNNNNNNNNNNNNNNNNNNNNNNNNNNNNNNNNNNNNNNNNNNNNNNNNNNNNNNNNNNNNNNNNNNNNNNNNNNNNNNNNNNNNNNNNNNNNNNNNNNNNNNNNNNNNNNNNNACACACACUACACCCCCACACACACACACACACACAUUAGUUUGUUUGUUAUAAAUUUUUCUGUUUUUUAGUUAUAGAAAUGUUAGAAAUUAUUCUGUUUUUUAGUUAUAUAAAUAUUAGAAAUGUUAGUUAUAUAGAAAUGUUAUAAAUGUUUUCUGUUUUUUAGUUAUAGAAAUAUUUAUAGAAAUGUUAGCAAUUUUUCUAUUUUUUAGUUAUAUAAAUAUUAGAAUUGUUGGAAAUGUUAGUUAUAUAAUCAGGAAAUUUUAGAAUUAGUUUUAGUUAGAUGAAUUAGAUUAAUGUCAAAUUGUUAGAAUUUGCAUAUAUAUAUAUAUAUAUAUAUAUAUAUAUAAUUUUAGUUAUCACAAUCCAAUCAUUUAAAAAAUGUUACUUUUUGCGGGCAUAUAGUAUUUGUUCUCAACGAUAUGCCCGGCCCGCAUCCUCGCCGUCGACCCGUUCGCGACGACGUCCUACUUCAGGGAACCCAUGUCCGGGACUGGGCUCCACCAGGCUGGCACUGGGAGGUGCUACCUGGAGGGGCGCGCCGCUUGGUGAGGAACCCGACCUCGGGUCCCGUCGUCGACCCUGAUCUUCUUUGGUGGCGUUCGCGUGGGCCACAUUGGUGCAGAGGCAGCCGGCCCCGCCGGAGGUGGUGCAUCGCCAUGUCAGGGAGGAAGAUGAGCACGUCCAUCGCUACAUGGCUGCUAUGGACGACGUCAGGUUCUCCACUACUUGGCGGGUUCUUUGGGCAGAUGACCGGAGAUAUGAUCCUGUGAUGGUUCCUUCUCUUUGAAUGUGCACCGCCCACGCCCCAGGAACCGCGAGUGGCGCCCUAGAUUCUUCUGUAGUACUCGAUCUUUAUUAGGUACCUAGCCAGUGAUGUAUUCGAUAUAUAAUAUUCGAGACGAUGUAUUCGAGAUCAUAUAUAUUAAGAUGAUGAUGUAUUCGAGAUUAUAUAUUCGAGACGAUGUAUUCGAGAUUCAGUUUUUCCUUAUUGAUUAAUUGCAUCCAUGCAUUGUAAUUUGAAUACUAAAUUGUUUUAUAUUUCUUCUGUAUUAGUAAAGUAAAAGCUAUGGCAGACAAUACCGGCAGAGAGAGAGAAGAGGAAUUGUUCGACAUCAUACACAGCCCUCACAACUAGAUGAUCUGAAUGAAGCAGAUGACGGCUCCCAAUAUCUGAACAAUACCGGAGAGGGUGAUGAAAAGAUAUUCGAUCUCGACGACCGAGCUGAUGAAGUCAUGAACUAUGAUUAUGAUUAUGAUGACACAGACAAUGUUUGUGAUGACACAGACAAUGCUGAUCUUCAAAUAACAAAGACUACCGGCGAGGUAUAUUUAUAUAAGCAUGCAUCAUGGUGAUCAUCAGAUGUUUUUUUAUUGAAGAUAUAUUAACGAAUCGAUCUUUCUUCUUUCAGCCCUCCGGAUCGAGCAAAUUUGCUUCUACAGACAGCAAGACAAAGCGAGGCCCGGGCAGAUUGUUGAAGGAUGGUGUAAAGUACCACAUCGAAUCCAUCAAACUUAGUGGCGAACCCCUCACGCCUAAGAACGUUGCGGACAAGUGGACUCGUCAGUGUGGAGUUCUUGUGAAGGACAAACUCCCGAUCUCCAUUCAAGAAUGGAAAGAGCCAAAGACUAAACGUCCAGAUGUUACUUGGGUCGACGACAGAGCCAAAAAAUACCUUUUGAAAUCUCUGAUGGAACAUUUCACCCUACUAGAUCAUUUCGCUGAAGCAUAUAUGGAGAAAGUCAAGGCCGCUGCUCUUAAGAAGAUGGCAAUUGCAUUCAACACCCACAAGAAAACUACCUCGCUAAUGAAAGGAAGACUCCAGAUUUCAAGGGAACACUAGAGAAGCAAAGAGAGCACUGGGACGAUUUCGUGACCUUCAAGGAUUCAGAAUUAUCUAAGGAACGGUCGAUGGAAAACAAGGCAAAUGCCGCAAGAAAGACGCAGUUCCAUAGGCUGGGUCCAGGUGGCUACGCAGUGGGAUUGCCUAAGUGGGAUAAGUCUAAGCAAGAGAUGGAGGAUGCAGGGGUCACUCCGGUUACUAGGAACUGGCCCCCCAGGUGCAGAACUUGGUUCUAUGCGCAUGGGGGAGCGUUGGACCCGAAGACAGGUGAAGUUUCGCGGAAGGCAAGUCUAAAAGGAGCCGAACAAAAGAUAAUUGACGCAAUAGAAGAAGCUCGAAGGGGGGUGUUCACGCCCAACAGAGAGAACGACGAGCUUACGCGCGCUCUGGGAAAUCCUGAACACCCGGGAAGAACACGAGGCAAGGGCGUUAUUCCCUGGUAUGAGGGCUUUUCAGAAUGGAACGAGGACUACAGGUCCCGUGCAAGAAGGAAGAUGGAGGAGAAGAAGAAAAGGAAGCUACAGGAGGAGUAGAGGAAGCAGGACGCAGAACGCCUUCAAGGCCUAGAAGCAAGGCGCGCAGACCUGGCACUCAAAUUCCAGUAGCAGCAACAGCAGAUCGACUCCCUUAGCCAGGAAAGGGGGUCUCAGCAGCGGCAGCAGCAAGCGGAUGAUCGUCCAGCAUUGGAUAGCACCGUCCCAUCCAUGCCGAGAAGCAGCGUUGGUUCUGCCCCGGGCGACACACUGUUGGAUACAUACCCUGUGGAUGACAUCAUAGAGAACACUAACUGUGAGCUACACUCCAAAAUGAAGAACAUAUCAAUGAAGGUGGCGGACGGCGUUGCUUUUCCAGUUACCCCCGAAGCAACCUACCAUUGCAUCCUGAUUCCAGAGGGCUAUGCUCGUGUCAUGGUUGAUGAAGUGGUGGACCCAUAUUCGGGGCUAAUGCUUGACAUUCCUGGAGGUGAAGACGAGCGCACACUGGGAGAGGCCAUACAUCGUAUCAUCCUAUGGAGAAAGGAUUGCAUCAUCUUUCAAAGUCCACCGACACCGCGUUGUCUGCCGAAUCCUCCUCGAAGUCCGCCACCGAGUCAGCAGACUCCCGCUCCUCUAAGUCCACGAACGUGUGAGCCGACUCCUCCUUGAAGUCCGCCACCUCCUCCAAGUCCCCGAACGCGUGAGCUGACUCCUCUGGUUUCAAGUCUGGCACAGCGUCAUGCCACUUCUCCGGUUUCAAGUCCGGCACCAUGUCAGGCCACACCUCCUGCUUCCAGUCCGGCACAUCGUCAGGCCACUUCUCUUGGUCCAACUCCACAUCAACUGUCUCCGUCGUCUCAGCAAUCGCAGAAGAGACAUGCCGCAGCUUUGGUGCGUAGCAGUACGAGUCGAGGUAGUUCAGGAAGUACAGGCGGAGGCAAGCGAUAUAAAUAUGGUCCAAGCCUCGCUCCUCUUCCUCAGAGGCCUUACGACAUGACUAAGGAGCAAAACACAGCCAUAGUGCAAGCCAAAUUGGACGCCCAUUUUGGACCGAAACCAGCACCGCCGCCAAAGGAGAAAGUGCCUGAGAAAGUAAUUGACCACUUCAUUCGUAUGGCUAGAGAACCAGCUCCCAAGCCUGUUGACUCGGACUAUGAGCGCCAAAUCAGGAAGGCACAUCGAGCACGACUACAGAAGGAAGCAAGCUCAAGCUCGAUCCAACAAGCAGCUGGCAAAAAAUGCGGGAAAACCGUUCCCCAGUUGGGAGAACAGGCGGCGCAAGCGAUCCCCCCGCUUGUUGUGCCAACAACACAUGAGAGGAGUAGUACGCGCACCAAAUAUUAUUGUGGGCAAACCGUUAGUGUUCCCCAGCAUGGCGAUGUGGUAAUAACAAAGGAUCAUAUAAUGCAGGCUCAAAUGCUUAAUAUCUCUGUUGGACAACUCCUCGAAAUCGAGCCCAUGCCUACGCUUAAAGAAUCGGAAAUAGCAUGGCAAUAUGUCUGGGGCAAACCUUUGGUCCAUCCAGACAAGGUCAAGGACCUCCCAACAAGAAUGUAUCAAUUGCAUCAAUGGUACAUGAACAUUACCAAGAUUCCAAUCGAGAGUCCCUCAUGGUGAAUGUCAAGCAUGAGCAUUAUUACCAUGAGAAAGCUCUGACCAUUGAGUAUCUAAAACUAUUUCAGUUAUACAAUCAAGACGCACUCGACAAGUCUAUCGUCAGUUGCUAUUGUCUGUAAGUGAUUUCUUUCUGUAAUUUAAGUCUCAAGCUAGUUAUGUAGUGGUAAUUUUGAUCAAUCAUUACAUGUAAUUAUCCUCACUAUAUUCUUUUUCUGUGGUAUUAUAUGCAGGAUGAAGAUGUAUGAAAUGAAAAAAGCUGGACGCUAUGGCGUUGGGUUCAUUGACCCAAAUACCAUUAAUCGGGACAUAUGGCAGAUUGAACAUUGUCAAGCUGCUGUAGAGGAAAGCAUGCUAGAGUUCUUGAAGCGCCUCAAUACCAAUGAAGAUAUACUACUUCCUUACAACUUCCCGUGAGUCACAUUGUCUUGUACUACAAAUUCUAUUUUUGCUUACUAGCUAGCUAGAUGUUAAUAAUUAAGUGUAUAUGGUUUACGGUAGUUGAUUAAUUUUAUGCACAUGCCCGCUUAAUUAAGACAUGCAAACGUGUGCGUAUGCAAUUGGCACUGGGUCUUGUUAGACAUUAAAGUUGAGGAAGGAAAAGUUGAAUUACUGGACUCACUAACUAAAUAAGAUAAAGACUACACCAUCGUGAAGGGGAUAGUCAACAGGUAAUUUCAAUCAUUAUUAACUAUAUCUCGGCCUAUUAAUUAUUAGUUCGUCAUUUCCUGAUAUGAACUAUUUAGUAACCCCUUUAUUAAUUUUCUUUGCCGGCGGGCAGGGCAUGGGCAAAGUUCAUCAAGGUGACUCCAGGCACGUGGCCAAAAAAGUUGUUUUGGCAUUGAUCCUUGGUAAGUAAUUAAGUAGUACUAGCUAGCCACCAUCUCUUUAAUUCUUGUUUCAAUAUCAUUAAUUAAUUAUCAUGCUUGAUUAAUCAUUAUCUGAUUCAAUUCCAUUCUCGUAAAUGCCCUGAGGCAGGCGCCGGGGAAUAAUCUGUGUGCAUACUAUGUUUGCGAGAACAUUCGCAUGAUGACGUGCGAAAGGAGCAGAUCUGAUAGACAGGACUGGGUACGUUUGUCAGAACACUAUUCACACCAUUAUAGAUAUCUAGUCACACAACUAACACAUAUGCAUAUUGAUCUCCUUCUUAACAGUUCAGAUCGGUGCGGGAUAAGCUCCUACCAUCGGACCGCAUACAAGAACUUCAAGAGGAAAUAGCCGGAUUUUUGCUCGACCAGGUCAUAGAUCCCAAAGGAGAAUACUAUUACCCGCUACCGCCCCCAUGAACCACUUGUCAUCGUGCUCCGGAGGCACCAAAGGCAACAUAUGUAGGAGAAAUUGUAUAUGUAUAUACAUGUGUAUGUGUGAAUAAUUAAUGGUGUUGGUUUGUGAGACAUUCGAUGAUAUAUAUAUAUAUAUAUAUAUAUAUAUAUAUGCGGUUCUACGUACAAGAAAAUCUAUUUAUAUAUAUGCAUAAUGUGUACAAUUUGUAGUAUCGUGAAAUAACAGCAAACAAAAAAAAUUGAAUGGAAAAUAAAUCAAAACCCCCCCAAAUAUUUAGUACCGGUUGGUGUUACCAACCGGUACUAAUGCCCAACGCGCACCCCGGGCCUGGCUCGUGCCACGUGGUGGCACUUUAGCGCCGGUUCGUGACGAACCGGUACUAAAGGGGGGGCCUUUAGUCCCCACUCUUUAGUGCCAGUUGGCAAACCGGCACUAAAGGCCGGUUUUGCACUAGUGAUGGUAUAGUUGGAACACUCGGAUCUCCAAGUUUCUUUGGUAUUCCACCCUUAAAAGUGUAAUUAGCAAGCAUGGUGGAAAUUUCAGCUUCCGGUAUCUUUCUUUUGUUUGUAAUGAUAUCCUUCAUAUACUUAGCAUAAGGAUUUACUUUAAGCAUAUCAGUUAAGCGCAUACGUAAGAAAAUAGGUCUAAUCAUUUUAGCAAUGCGCUCAAAAUCCUCAUCAUCCUUUGACUUGGAUGGUUUAGGAGGAAAGGGCAUGGGUUUCUGAACCCAUGGUUCUCUUUCUUUACCGUGCUUCCUAGCAACAAAAUCUCUAUUAUCAUAACGUUGAUUCUUUGAUUGUGGGUUAUCAAGAUCAACAGCAGGUUCAAUCUCUACAUCAUUGUUUUUGCUAGGUUGAGCAUAAACAUUAACAUUAUCACUAGGUUCAUGUUCAUCACCUGAUUGAGUUUCAGCAUCAGAAAUAGAAAUAUCAUUGGGAUUCUUAGGUGUGUCUAUAGUAGGUUCACAAGAAGCAUGCAAAGUCCUAUCAUUUUUCUUCUUCUUCUUUUUAGAAGAACUAGGUGCCUCUAAAUUAUUUUUCUGAGAAUCUUGCUCGAUUCUCUUAGGGUGGCCUUCAGGAUACAAAGGUUCCUGAGUCAUUCUACUAGUUCUAGUAGCCACUCUAACAGUAAAGUCAUUUUUAUUAUUUAAUUCAUCAAGCAAAUCAUUUUGAGCUUUGAGUACUUGCUCCGCUUGAGUAGCAACCAUAGAAGCAUAUUUGCUAACGCGGUGAAGUUCAUCUUUAACUCUAGCCAGAUUAUCACCUACGCGUCCUAUCUCGAAAGCAUUAUUCUUUAACUCUCUACCAACAUAAGCAUUAAAACUUUCUUGUCUAUCCAUAAAGUCGUCAAAUUCAUCUAAGCAUGGGCUAUGAAAUUUAGUAGAGGGUAUUUCAACUUCAUCAUAUCUAUAGAGAGAAUUUACCUUUACUACCUGUGUCGGGUUAUCAAGACAAUGUGGUUCUUCAGGCGGUAAAUUAAGACCAUGUAUUUCUUCAAUAAGAGGUAAAUUCUUAACAUCUUCAGCUUUAAUACCUUUUUCUUUCAUUGAUUUCUUUGCCUCUUGCAUAUCUUCAGGACUGAGAAAUAAAACACUUCUCUUCUUCGGAGUGGGUUUAGGAAUAGGCUCAGGAGUUGGCUCAAUUGGUUCAGGAAUUGGCUCAGGAAGAGUCCAAUUAUUUUCAUUAGUCAACAUAUUAUUCAAUAGUAUUUCAGCUUCGUCGACUGUUCUUUCCCUGAAAACAAAACCAGCACAACUAUCCAAGUAGUCCUUGGAAGCAUCGGUUAGUCCAUUAUAAAAGAUAUCAAGUAUUUCAUUUUUCUUAAGAGGAUGAUUAGGCAAAGCAUUAAUUAACCAGAGAAGCCUCCCCCAAGCUUGUGGGAGACUCUCUUCUUUGAUUUGCACAAAGUUAUAUAUUUCCCGCAAGGCAGCUUGUUUCUUAUGAGCAGGGAAAUAUUUAGUAGAGAAGUAAUAAAUCAUAUCCUGGGGACUACGCACACAACCAGGAGCAAGAGAAUUAUACCAAGUCUUAGCAUCACCCUUUAAUGAGAACGGAAAUAUCUUAAGGAUAUAUAAAUAGCAAGACUUCUCAUCAUUAGUAAAUAGGGUGGCUAUAUCAUUCAGCUUGGUAAGAUGUGCCACAACAGUUUCAGAUUCAAGGCCAUAAAAAGGAUCAGAUUCAACUAAAGUAAUAAUAUCAGGAUCAACAGAGAAUUCAUAAUCCUUAUCAGUAACACAGAUAGGUGAAGUAGCAAAAGCAGGAUCGGGUUUCAUUCUAGCAUUAAGAGACUGCUGCUUCCAUUUAGCUAAUAAUUUCUUAAGAUCAUUUGUAUCAUUGCAAGCAAGAAUUUCCAUAGCAGCUUUUUCAUUCAUAACAUAAUCCUUAGGAACAACAGGUAAUACAUAAUCAUUGGGGGAACCUUCAUCAUCACUAUCAUCAAUAAUAGGUUCUUCAAUAUUUUCAUUCCCCCUAACUCUAGCAAGUUGUUCAUCAAGAAAUUCACCUAAUGGAAAAGUAGUAUCACGCACAGAAGUAGUUUCAUCAUGCAUAGCAGAAGUGGCAUCAUCAAUAACAUGCGACAUAUCAGAAUUCAUAGCAGUAGCAGGUUUAGGUGUCGCAAGCCUACUAAUAACGGAAGGAGAAUCUAGUGCAAGGCUAGAUGGCAGUUCCUUACCUCCCCUCGUAGUUGAGGGCAAAAUAGUAGUUUGAUCGUCUUUCAAGUUCUUCAUAGUGAUCAACAGAUAUAAAUCCCAAGUGACUCAGAGAACAGAGCUAUGCUCCCCGGCAACGGCGCCAGAAAUUAGUCUUGAUAACCCACAAGUAUAGGGGAUCACAAUAGCUCUCGAGGGUAGAGUAUUCAACCCAAAUUUAUUGAUUCGACACAAGGGGAGCCAAAGAAUAUUCUUGAGUAUUAGCAGUUGAGUUGUCAAUUCAACCACACCUGGAUAACUUAGUAUCUGUAGCAAAGUGUUUAGUAGCAAAGUGGUAUGAUAAUAAAGGUGACGGUAGCAGAAGUAAAGAUAAAUGUUUUGGGUUUUUGUAGUAGUUGUAACAGUAGCAACGGAAAAGUAAAUAAGCGAAGAACAAUAUGUGAAAAUCUCGUAGGCAAUGGAUCAGUGAUGGAUAAUUAUGCCGGAUGUGAUUCCUCAUGCAAUAGUUAUAACAUAGGGUGAUAUAGAACUAGCUCAGUUCAUCGAUGUAAUGUAGGCAUGUAUUCCGUAAAUAGUCAUACAUGCUUAUGGAAAAGAACUUGCAUGACAUCUUUUGUCCUACCCUCCCGUGGAAGCGGGGUCCUUGCGGAAACUAAGGGAUAUUAAGGCCUCCUUGUAAUAGAGAACCGGAACAAAGCAUUAGCACAUAGUGAAUACAUGAACUCCUCAACCUACGAUCAUCACCGAGAAGUAUCCCGAUUAUUGUCACUUUGGGGUUGUCGGAUCAUAACACAUAAUAGGUGACUAUAGACUUGCAAGAUAGGAUCAAGAACACACAUAUAUUCAUGAAAACAUAAUAGGUUCAGAUCUGAAAUCAUGGCACUCGAGCCCUAGUGACAAGCAUUAAGCAUAGCAAAGUCAUAGCAACAUCAAUCUCAGAACAUAGUGGAUACUAGGGAUCAAACCCUAACAAAACUAACUUGAUUACAUGGUAAAUCUCAUCCAACCCAUUACCGUCCAGCAAGCCUACGAUGGAAUUACUCACGCACGGCGGUGAGCAUCAUGAAAUUGGUGAUGGAGGAUGGUUGAUGAUCAUGACGGCGAUGAAACCCCCUCUCUGGAGCCCCGAACGGACUUCAGAUCAGCCCUCCAGAGAGAGAUUAGGGCUUGGCGGCGGCUCUGUGUCGUAAAAUGCGAUGAAUCUUUCUCUCUGAUUUUUUUUCUUCCCGAACGUGAAUAUAUGGAGUUGGAGUUGGCGUCGGUGGAGGUCCAGGGGGCCCACGAGAUAGGAGGCCGCGCCCUAGGGGGGCGCGCCCCCUGUCUCGUGGACAGGCUGUGGGCCCCCUGGCAUUAAUUCUUUCGCCAAAAAUUCUUAUUAAAUCCAAAAAGUGCCUCUGUGGAUUUCCAGGACAUUCCGAGAACUUUUCUUUUCUACACAUAAAACAACAUCAUGGCAGUUCUGCUGAAAACAGCGUUAGUCCGGGUUAGUUUCAUUCAAAUCAUGCAAGUUAGAGUCCAAAACAAGGGCAAAAGUGUUGUGAAAAGUAGAUACGUUGGAGACGUAUUAGCUGACGCCUUGGGCGCCAUGUUGGAUCAAGCCCGUGUUGCUGGCCACAUCAGGGGAGUGGUCGGCAACUUGAUCCCGGGGGGCUGUCGCACCUGCAGUAUUGCUACAUCUUGAUCUUGCGUUGGUUUUCCUUGACGUGGAAAGGGUGAUGCAGCAAUAGUAGCGUAAGUAUUUCCCUCAGUUUUUCAGAACCAAGGUAUCAAUCCAGUAGGAGGCUCCUCAAAAGUCCCACGCACCUACACAAACAAACAAAGAACUCGCAACCAACGCAAUAAAGGGGUUGUCAAUCCCUUCACGGCCACUUACAAAAGUGAGAUCUAACAGAGAUAGUAUGAUAAGAUAAAUAUAUUUUUGGUAUUUUAUAAGGUAGAUGCAAAAAGUAAAGAUGCAAAUAAAAGUAGAUUGGAAGCAAAUAUGAUAAAAGAUAGACCCGGGGGGCAUAGGUUUCACUAGAGGCUUCUCUCAAGAUAGCAUAAGUAUUACGGUGGGUGAACAAAUUACUGUCGAGCAAUUGAUAGAAAAGCGAAUAAUUAUGAGAUUAUCUAGGCAUGAUCAUGAAUAUAGGCAUCACGUCCGCAACAAGUAGACCGACUCCUGCCUACAUCUACUACUAUUACUCCACACAUCGACCGACUCCUGCCUGCAUCUAGAGUAUUAAGUUCAUAAGAAUAGAGUAACGCCUUAAGCAAGAUGACAUGAUGUAGAGGGAUAAACUCAUGCAAUAUGAUAUAAACCCCAUCUUUUUAUCCUCGAUGGCAACAAUACAAUAUGUGCCUUGCAACCCUUUCUGUCACUGGGUAAGGACACCGCAGGAUUGAACCCAAAGCUAAGCACUUCUCCCAUGGCAAGAAAGAUCAAUCUAGUAGGCCAAACCAAACUGAUAAUUCGAAGAGACUUGCAAAGAUAACUCAAUCAUACAUAAAAGAAUUCAGAGAAGAUUCAAAUAUUUCUCAUAGAUAAACUUGAUCAUAAACUCACAAUUCAUCGGAUCUCGACAAACACACCGCAAAAAGAGUUUACAUCGAAUAGAUCUCCACGAGAGAGGGGGAGAACAUUGUAUUGAGAUCCAAAAAGAGAGAAUAAGCCAUCUAGCUAAUAACUAUGGGCCCGGAGGUCUGUGGUAAACUACUCACAACUCAUCGGAGGGGCUAUGGUGUUGAUAUAAAAGCCCUCCAUGGUCGAUUCCCCCUCCGUCGGAGCGCCGGUGAAGGCUCCAAGAUGGGAUCUCGCGGAUACAGAAGGUUACGGUGGUGGAAAUUGUGUUUCGUUGGCUCCCUGGAUGCUUUCGGGGUACGUAGGCUUAUAUAGGAGGAAGAAGUACAUCGGUGGCCGCCCCAGGGGCCCACGAGACAGGGGGCGCGCCCUAUGGGGGGGGCGCCCUACCCUCUCGUGGCCGCCUCGGCUGCUUCUUGACUUGCACUCGAAGUCCUCUGGAUCAUGUUCAUUCCAAAAAUCACGCUCCUGAAGGUUUCAUUCCGUUUGGACUCCGUUUGAUAUUCCUUUUCUUCGAAAUAUUGAAAUAGGCAAAAAAACAAUAUGGGCUGGGCCUCCGGUUAGUAGGUUAGUCCCAAAAAUGAUAUAAAUGUGUAAAAUAAAGCCCAUAAACAUCCAAAAGGGGUAAUAUAAUAGCGUGGAACAAUCAAAAAUUAUAGAUACGUUGGAGACAUAUCAAGUAUGCAGAUGACACGCUCCUUCUCUUCGAGCCAAACUUGCAUAGCAUUGCAUCAGUUAAGGCUAUUCUCUUGUGUUUUGAGAUUAUGUCUGGCCUCAAAAUUAACUUCCACAAGUGUGAAGUAGUGUCCAUAGGGAUGGACGCGGCCGAAAGUACACGUGUAGCUAACUUGCUAAAUUGCAAGCUUGGGAAACUACCGUUUACUUACCUAGGCCUCCCAAUCGCUGAGAAAAAAUGCUUGAUCUCAGAUUGGGAACCUAUCUGCAACAAGGUGACGGGUCAUGUCUUCCCGUGGAGAGGGAGAUUUAUGUCUUCAGGGGCAAGACUUAUCUUAACCAACUCCAGCCUUUCGUCCCUGCCUAUGUUUGUUAUGGGCUAAUUCCUGCUGGCUAACGAGGUGCACACUAAAAUGGACACUCCUAGGGCCCGUUUCUUUUGGGAAAGGGCGGGGACAAAGCGUAAAUACCAUAUGGUCAAGUGGCAGGCCGUCUGCCAGCCCAAAGCCUGGGGGGGCCUUGGGAUCAUCAACUAGAAGUUGAUGAACAUUGCACUCAUGUGCAAAUGAAUUUGGAAGCUAUCUCAGGGCGAGACUGGCCUCUGGAUGGACCUCCUGCGUACCAAAUAUUUUCCUGGUGGGAAUUUCUUUGAGGCCGCAACCCAUGGGUCUCCUUUCUGGAACUCCAUCAAUCCUUAAAACUGUGCUUUGCCAGAGGGGUGAAAUUCACGGUUAACAACGGUCGCUCCACGCGAUUCUGGCUUGACUUUUGGAUCGGCCAAUAGCCCCUUUGGUAGGAGUUCCGCGACCUUUAUUUCAUCAUUGUUGAGCCCAACCAAUUGGUUGCCACGGCCUUCAACUCCUCCCCUCCAUCUAAUUUCUUCAAAAGGGAGCUCUCAGGGCCAAAGGUGGAUAGUUGGGACCGCCUGCGAGCUCUCAUCGCUGAUGUGCACCUGUCGUCCGACGCGGAUACAGUGUCAUGGAGGCUCACGGGCUCUGGCAAGUUCUCGGUCAACUCUCUUUAUCGAGAGCUGGCUCGCGGCCCUGUCUUUUAGGCUGCCACGGGACUAUGGAAGGCAUGAAUUCCGCUUAAAAUAAAAGUUUUCCUCUGGCAAUUGUGCCACGAUCGCCUUCCUACAUCAAUAAAUGUAGCUAAGCGCAAUGGGCCGGCCACAGGGCCCUGUGCGCUUUGUGGUGUCCCCGAAGACGCGGAUCACGCGUUCUUCCGAUGCCACCUGGCUCGCUUCGCCUGGAGCACGGUCCGUGAGGCCGCGAGCGUGGAUUGGGAUCCAAGCUCACGCUCUGAGCUAGUGUCGUAUUUGUCCUCGGUCCAGGGCUCCUCUCGCCGUAUCAUGUGGACAUGUGCGGCUGCUAUGCUAUGGGCCCUCUGGCGAACUCGCAACAAGUUUACGAUUGAGGUCGUUUUCCCAUCGCACCCCGCUGACGUAAUUUAUAAAUGCAUUAUUUUCUUACAGCAGUGGGCCCCAUUGAGAAGACAUCAGGACGCUGAUCUCCAUCGCCACGCGCUCGACCGCCUCCGCCUCAUCUACUCGGCGGCCUGAGCUCCAUCGUCUGCUGCCUCCGCUACCUAGGGAUGUGUGACUCCUUCUCUUUUGUUGGUUGCCUAUGCCAUGUAACGCACUUUGCUUGUUGGGCCGGUCGACUAUGUGUUUGGUUUCUUAUCCUUGAUGUUGGUACUUGCUCAUGUGUACGCUGCCUAAGUUGUGGGCUUUAUUAAUUUAAAGCCGGACGCCCCAGGCUUCUUCGUUCUAAAAAAACUCACAACACACUUGAUGCACGAAAAAUGAUCCACUGGAAAAUUGUUGUACUGAAGUCCAGCAAACGCGAUGAUAGCAGAAGAUGAACCCGAAGCAUCAUGUGGGGCCAGGGGUAGCUAAUACUCCCUCCGUUCCUAAAUAUAAGGUGUAUUAGUUUUUCAAAAAGUCAACUGUUAUCUAUGUUUGACCAACUUUACAACAAAAUAUAUAAAGAUUUAUAAUACUAAAUAUAUAAAAUGUAAAAAUAUAGUGCAUGAUGAAUCUAGUGAUAAUGAUUUGGUAUUCUAGAUAUUGAUAUUUUUGUCUAUAAACUUGGUCAAACUUAGAGAAGUUUGACUUUUUAGAAAAAUAAUACACCUUAUAUUGAGGAAUGGAGGGAGUAUUUUUUAAAUAAUACAUUUUCUUUAUUAAUUUGCACAAAUAUUACGCCGAUAUUUUUAUUUUCAAAAAUAAUAUCCAAUCAGCCAGCAGCAGGCCGAUUGGCCCUAGUCGGCCAACCGCAGGCUGAUUGGCCUCCUGUCGGCCUACAGAUGGCUGAUAGGCCAGUCGGCCAGGUGGUGGUGAAUCUAUCGACCAGCUGUGGGCUGCACCGUGCACAUUCAAACUCCACUAUCGCAAAAACUUUUCAGCUUCCGUGUGACCUUUCGUAUACCCAUAGUGCGUGGCAAAAAUUUAGACAUCGGCUCGGCUCAUUCGCGCAACCCCCUCUAAACUAGCAAUAUGGGACUAAACUUUAGUAGUAUCCCUUGCCUUGCACAAAUGGGCUAAGUGGGCCUCCAGGAUUUAUUAGGAAUUUCUGAAAUAGUUAUUGGGCUGCCCAAAAAGACUAAAUUCCAGCAAUCCCCCACCAGAUCCGAGAGGCACACAAAAUUUGCCUUUGGUUCCAAAACACUAUUUUAUAUACUGGUACUGCAGUGGAGACUGUUAGGUUGAACUUCCACCUAGAACUCUAUGCUACACUAGUAAGCAACUUGAACAGUGGACUGGGCCUUGAACUGCAAGUUUUCUGCGAAUCUAGCUUCACAUAAAGCCUUAACCAAUACGUGGCUACCGUGGGUCUUCCCCGUGGGUGGAGCUUAUGCGUCAUACUCCGAGACCUUUCAUGAGUUUACUAGAGAGAACCCUACUCUCAUAGAUUGCAACGUUUAACAAUCAGACUCAUAUAGGUGCGUUCUUCAAAAGAUGUUCUGCAGGACAACAUCUCUGCUUCAAAGAGCCACUUAGAACACAUUAAGAUAUACAUCAACCUGCCAUGCAGAUUAGGAGAGUAUUGCAUCUUCAUGGAGUGGUAUUUUUAACAGUAAGGAUACUCUCCUCCCAGUUGACCAACAGCUUGUCUUCCACAUCUAAUUCACGGGAUCUCCGAUCACAAAGAAUAGGUUACCACUGUGAACAACUCAUAUUGUGGGUCUCAUACCCAUCUCCCUCGAUGCAUUAUCUAUCACAUUACAUGAUAGACCCUUAGUAAAAGGAUCUGCCAGAUUUUUAGACAUUUGGAUAUAAUUCAAUGCAAUAACUCUGGAGUUUUUCAUUUUUCUGACAGACUUUAACCUUCUCUGAACGUGUCUUGAUGACUUCAUGUUAUCCUUUGAGCUGCUCACUUUAGUGAUCACAGUUUGAUUGUCAUAGUUCAUAAGGAUACCCGGUACAGGUUUCUCAACUAUCGGCAAGUCAUUCAAGAGCCGACGAAGCUAAUCUGCUUCGACCGUAGCUGUAUCUAGUGCUGUGAGUUCUGCUUCCAUUGUUGACCUCGUUAAGAUGGUUUGCUUGCAAGACUUCCAAGAAACAGCGCCACCUUCAUGAGUGAAUACAUAUCCGCUCGUGGCCUUUAUCUCAUCAGCAUCUGAGAUCUAGUUUGAGUCACUAUACCCUUCAAGCACCUUUGGGUGCCCGGUGUAGUGAAUUCCAUAAUUUGCAGUGCCUUUCAAAUAACGCAAAACUCUCUCUAGAGCUUUCCAAUGCACAUCUCCUGGUUUUGAGACAAACCGGCUCAGCUUGCUAACAGCAAAAGAGAUGUCAGGUCUUGUAGCACUGGCUAAGUACAUAAGCGAGCCAAUGAUCUAAGAAUAUUUCAAUUUGUCUCUAGCAAUUCUCCGAUUCUUUUGAAGCAACACACUAGCAUCAUAUGGUGUUGGAGAUGGCUUGCAGUCACUGUAGCCAAAGCGACUCAAGAUCUUUUCCACAUAGUGGGAUUGAAGCAAUGUAAUCCCACCAUCAUUGUCUCUCAACAACUUGAUGUUCAGAAUGACAUCAGCCACUCCUAAAUCCUUCAUCUCAAAACAGCGAGAUAGGAAAUCCUUGACCUCCUUAAUAACAUUCAGAUUUGUUCCGAAAAUCAGUAUGUCAUCAACAUACAAGCAAAUCAUAACUCCCUCGCCCCCACCAUGGCGAUAGUACACACAUCUGUCAGCAUCGUUCACAACAAAGCCUGCAGCUGUUAAAGUUCUUUCGAACUUCUCAUGCCACUGUUUGGGUGCUUGCUUGAGUCCAUACAAAGACUUCAGCAACUUGCACACUUUCCCUUCCUGGCCAUCUAUUACAAACCCAUCUGGUUGUUCCAUAUAAAUUUCCUCAUCCAACUCUCCAUUUAGGAAAGCAGUCUUAACAUCCAUUUGAUGAACAAGAAGCCAUGUGAGGCAGCUAGUGAAAGUAGAACUCGAAUAGUAGUCAGUCGAGCCACAGGUGAGUAAGUAUCAAAGAAGUCUUCACCUUCCUUUUGGGUAUAACCCUUAGCCACGAGACGAGCCUUGUACUUUUCAAUAGUACCAUCAGGCCUAAGCUUCUUCUUGAAAACCCAUUUGCAUCCUAUAGGUUUGCACCCAUAAGGACGAUCAGUUAUCUCCCAAGUUUCAUUUGCCAAGAUGGAAUCCAUCUCGCUACGAACUGCUUCCUUCCAGUAGUCAGCAUCUUCGGAUGCGUAGGCCUCUGAAAUAAAACUGGGAGUGUCAUCUAUGAGAUACACAAGAAAAUCAUCACCAAAGGACUUUGCAGUCCUCUAUCUCUUGCUCCUAAUAGGAACUUCAUUGUUCUCCUCCACGGGACUUUUAAAGUGUUCCAUCAAAAUGGCAGGUUCGGUAAUUUUAACUGGUUCCUGAUUCGAUGAACUAGGCAUCUCCUGAUUAGAUGAGGUAUCCAUAUCCUUCAUGGGAAAGAUAUCUUCAAAGAAAGUCGCAUCAUUCGACUCCAUGAUCGUACCGACAUGCAUGUCAGGUACCUCAGAUUUUACAACCAAGAAUCUAUAGCCAAUGCUAUGAAAAGCAUAUCCCAGGAAAACACAAUCCACAGUCUUUGGUCCAAGCUUCCGCUUCUUUGGAAUUGGAACAUUGACUUUCGCCAAACAACCCCAUGUUCACAUAUAAGAGAGUUUUAACCUUUUCGUCUCCCAUUCCUCGAAUGCAGUUAUCUCUUUGUUCUUUGUGGGGACUCGAUUUAGGACAUGACAUGCUGUCAAUACUGCCUCCCCCCACCAUGCCUUGGAGAGACCCGAUGUGUCUAACAUGGCAUUAACCAAAUCAGUUAGAGUACGGUUCUUUCUUUUGGCCACCCCAUUUGACUGAGGUGAGUAGGGAGGCAUCCUCUCAUGGAUUAUACCAUGUUCCGCACAAAAAGCAUCAAAUUCAUUAGAAAAAUACUCUCCACCACUGUCAGACCUAAGCCUCUUGAUUUUCUAAUCAAGUUGGUUUUCCACUUCAGCUUUAUAGAUCUUGAAAAAGUUCAAAGCCUCAUCCUUAGAUUUCAGAAGAUACACACGGCAGUAUCUAGUGGAGUCGUCAAUUAACAUCAUGAAAUAUUUCUUUCCACCUUUUGUCAAAACACCAUUCAUUUCACAUAGAUCUAAAUGUAUAAGUUCUAGUGGUGCAAGAUUUCUCGUCUCCGCGGUCACGUGAGACUUACGAGGUUGCUUAGCUUGCACACACACUUGACACUUAGAUCCCUUGACAGUGGUGAAAUUAGGGAUUAAGUUCAACUUCGCUAGUCGCGACAUGCAACCAAAGUUAACAUGACAAAGACGUGAAUGCCACACAUUUGAUUCACUAUUGUUGCAAAUAUGAUUAACAACUUUAUUGCAAACAUCUGAUAAGGAUAAAUGAAACAGGCCUCCUGACUCAUAGCCUUUACCAACGAAGGUUCCAUACUUUGAUAUUACAAAUUUAUUCGACUCAAAGACAAGCUUAUAGCCAUCUCUACACAGAAGAGAUCCGCUAACAAGAUUUUUAUUGACGGAGGAGACAUAAUGCACGUUCUUCAGCCGCACGAUCUUUCCCGAAGUAAACUUCAGAUCGACCGUGCCAACACCACGAACAGAAGCACUUGAACCGUUGCCCAUCAACACGGUUGAAGUCCCUGCGGUCUGAUAAGACGAAAACAUGAAAAUAUCACCGCAUACAUGCACAUUAGCACCCGUGUCAAUCAACCAAUCAGGAGAAUGACAUACCGAAAGAAUAGUGGGAAAUAUACCAUACCCAGCAUCCUUCAUGUCAAUGUCUCCGAUGACAACAUUAGCGGUCUUGCCGCCUUUCCCAGGAUGACGCUUGUCAUAGCGACUGGGGCAACUAGGAGCCCAAUGAUCAGGAUCUGCACACACAUGACAAGCACCUUUCUUCUUGUCACUCUUCUUCUUGAAGUUCGUGUGUUGUACAGCCUUGUUAUUCCCAUCAAACUUUGCUUUACCAUCAAGCUUGCCCUUGUUCUUGAACUUGUGGGACUGGGAGUUUUUCUUCUGUACCAGAUUGGCACUAGAUCCUCCCUCAAUACCUCGAGCACGUGUGUCCUUUGCUCUCGCCUUUUCUUCCACAUCAAGAGUACCAAUAAGAUCCGGGACGAAAAACUCCUGUCUCUUAUGCUUCAGUAAGGUAGCAAAGUUCCUCCAAGAAGGAGGAAGCUUAGUGAUGAUACCCCCGGUAACAAACUUGUCCGGUAGGAUACAAUUGAAGUGCUCAAGUUCUCUAGCAAAUGACUGUAUCUCAUGAGCCUGCUCAACCACGGAGCACUCUUCAGUCAUCCUGUAAUCAUAGAAUUGCUCCACGAUGUACAGUUCAGUGCCGGCAUCCGAGACCCCAAACUUGGCCUCGAGUGUGUCCCACAUAUCUUUUCCAUUGUCAAUUGACGCAUAAGCAUCAACUAUGUUCUCACCAAGAACACUCAAGAGAGCAGCCUUAAACAAGGUAUCCAUUUUCUGAAAAGCUUGUGCCUGUUGGGCAUUUUGCUCUCCUUCAGGUUUGCCAAGAGUGGUGUCAUAGCAACUCAUGGUUUGAAACCAUAAGACUGCUCUCACGCGCCACCUCUUAUAGUGGAUACCCUCAACCAUAGGAGGUCUCAUGGAAGCAGUAAAACCAUUCGAGGUAAAUUGCCUAUAAUAAGGCUUUUGGAUUGUUGGAAAUAUGAGGAAUUUACCGAAUGAUUUUAUUAACAGAAAUAGUAGAUAAAAUAUGGCUAGUAUAGCAGUGAUAAAAUAAGCCAUGUGAUUUGACAAAGAGAAGGUAAACAGCAUGUUCAUAUAUGAACCGUAACUAAACAUAUCUAGAGCAGACAGUAUAGCAGGUUGCACAUAUGAAAUAGAGUCUAACAUACGUAGUGCAGAAACUAGAGCCAAGAACUGUAGCAGGACUUCUAACAGAAAGGAGAAGAACACGUACGGCACAGCAGCAGCAGAAGCGCUGGACUUGGGGUCGGUGUCCUCGCCUGCCAUGUCAUCGAGGAGGUCGUGGACGUCGGGGAAGAAGUCGUCGUCGGGGAAGUAGUCGCCGGCGACCGGAUCGUCCGUGAUGAAGCAGCCAGUAGUCGUGCUGAGCGCUCCCCAAAAACCUUAUCACCCUUCUCCCGUACAGGACUCAAAAGGUGUGGUUCCGGAGGCCUACUGUCCCGACCAGUGGUGCACGCCGCAAGCCGGGAUGAGGAAGAACAUAACAACAGUGCAGUUCUCAGGAACGUGUGGCGAGAGGAGGAAGAGAUUCUGGUGCGUCUCUCUCUGAGAGGAGCGACCUCCCUUUUAUAGGCGCAAGAGAAGAAGGCGAGAGGGCAGCGACGGAAGGUGAAACGAAGAGACGAAGCUGAAGCGAACAGCCAGUAGCCAAAGGGCUGCACCGUGCGCAUUCAAACUCCACUAUCGCAAAAACUUUUCACUUCCAUGUGACCUUUCGUAUACCCGUAGUGCGUGGCAAAAAUUUAGACAUCGGCUCAUUCCCGCAACCCGCGUCGCGUCGUGGCAAGGCGGGCGGCAGAGGAGGAGCGCGUGUGGAUAUCCCUCUUGUUCUCAUGCUCAUAUAAGUGGGGAAGGAGCCUCCCUUAUAAAGAGGUCCAACCCCCUCUAAACUAGUAAUGUGGGACUAAACUUUAGUAGUAUCUCUUGCCUUGCAUAAAUGGGCUAAGUGGGUCUUUAGGAUUUAUUAGGAAUUUCUGAAAUAGUUAUUGGGCUGCCUAAAUAGACUAAAUUCCAGCAGGUUGACGUGGUGCUUCUCGGCUGCGUUGCAGAGCACGUACCUCGGCUCCCCGUCGAUCACCUUCACCACUCCCUGCACCUGCCAUCCAUUCAGUACGUGAUUGUUAAGCAGAGCAUGCAGCAGUCGGCGUGAUCUUGUUACUCGUUUCUCGAAUUGGCGGUGGAUGUUACCGAGUUGGCGGGGCAGACGCGGCGAGCCCUGUCGACGACCUCCUCGGCCCUCCUGCGCAGGUCCGCCUCCACGUACCGCACCACGUCCCCGGCGGCGGCUGAAAUCGAUCGAUCCCCAAAAAUCAGCGCUCCGGCCGGUUCAGAUAAUCAAGAAUUAGUUAGGGAGGGGAUCCCGGACGGCAUGUACCGGGGCCGCCGAGGGUGACGACGGAGGACACGACCGGCUUGGCGUGGACGACGACGAGCUCCGUCGGCGCCCUGGGGCCGGCCGUCUCCGCCACGUACCGCAGGGCCCACUCGAGCGCGCGGUAGCUAUGGUCGCUGUCGUCCACGCCGACCAGUACCUGCAGGCCGCGGGCUAUAUACGUGAGCUGGAGCUGGAUGCUACUUGUUGCCGAUCGGCGUAUGGGAUGUGAAACCGCGAAGGCCAAGUUGUGUGUGGCCGCUGACUGACCGGAGAUAAGGCAACUCUACCGCGCGAUCUCAUCCUGUCCGUGCGCGUCUGUUUGGAAUAAAACGGAUAAACCGGGCAGCCCAGCGCCCGAGAGCAAACGAACUUUUGUCCGUUUUAUGUCCGCUUUCGACCCAUCCUCAACCCAAGUUUGCGCCGUUUUUAGGGUAAACCGGACACCACACGGACGCGCGGGCCGUCUGCGCGUGUCCUCCCCUGGCCCGCCCGUCCGUGGCACAUGGGCGCCUUUUUCUAUCUGCUCCCCUUCCUCCCUUCGGCCGCACCCUCCUCCCGCUGGCAGAUACACGAAUGGCGGUCGGCCAGGCUCGGUGCUUGCCCAAAAGCUCGUCGGCGCACCAUUGCCACUCAUUAAGUGCGAUCACUGCCCAAAAAAGGUCGUGUGCUGCGUGUCUACAACGCUAGAACAUUCCGGAUGGGUGUUCAUCAAAUGCUUAAACGAUGGGGUAUGUGCUCCUUUUAGUUUCGAUUUGUGCUCUAGAUUUGGCUAGUUGUGCUAACUUCAAAUUUUAUUGUGUAGCAUGGAAUCAAAUUUUGAUAUUGAGAAGAAGAGUACAUCGAUAUAUUGAUAAAGCGCAAUUUAGUAGAUGUUUGUGCACUUUUAGUUAGCAUAGAGGCUGUAGAUGAGACAAGUGCACUUGUUGCUAGAUUAGAGGCUAGACACGAGACUAGGUGUGAGGAAGCAACAUCGACUUCUUUAAACUCGAAGAAAAAGAAGCAUGCAAGAUCGAGCCUCCUCCGCAGAUCAACAAUGAGUGCAUCGAAAAGACCCUAGCCCAACUCAAGGGGGCAGUUAUGAAAGUUGGAUAUCUUCUAAAAUGUAUUAGUGUUGUUUUUGUUUUCUUUGGUCUUGCUUUUCUAGUCAAAAUUUGGUGAUGUAUUCUCAUGUGCCAAAAAUGAAUGAUGAAAAAAAGUUAAGGGCUUGCAAAGAAAAAUGUACGCGGAUACGAUGCGGCUGGGAUACGUCUCCGCGCUGGGCGUACGGCCACCGCAUCCCAGAAACUGCCCGGACACGACCCCAUCGCCCUAUCCAAACGGACAGAAUUCGGAUAAAACGGACGUCCGUUUGGGAUGGCGCGGUGGAGUUGGCCUAAUGGAUACUGGCGGCACGUUGCCCCGGUUUCCGUUUGGUUUUCUGGCUUUCCACUUCUCGAUCGUGAUCUUCCCGCUGGACUGGAUGGCGACGGCGACGACAGCGACGGCGCGGGGCAUGCAUGGUGAUUGAUUCUUUUCCUUCGGUGCAUGUUGAUUGGUGUUGCACUCGAGAUGCGUGCUGAGGUUGGCAUUUUUCUUUUUGCCCGCCAAUCACGAGGCAACCUUUCCUUGGUGAGGCCAUCCGAGCGAACGAAGGAAGCUCGUUUAAGCGAGGAUCGUUUGAGGAAAUGCGCCAUGUGCAUGUAAAAGCAUCUUCAACAAGUUAAAAAAAACAUCUUCAACAGGCGCGCUUUGCCUCGGCAUGUAUAAUUUUUUUACACCGCUAAAAUAGUCUUUUUGCACGCGGGGGCGACAGAGGUUUUCCAAAUGCAAAAAACACGGCAACCAAUCUAGUGGCCCCACUUGCAACAGCCUAGAUUUGACAGCUCCCUCUUCCCUAUGAUGACAUUGUACUGGAGCAUCCCCGAAAGGCUUGUUGACCUGGUGAAAGAAACAUAUGUGUGCUCUCGGCUUAGUUACUUUGCCACUGCAAUUCAUGCUUGAACAUAAGAUUGUCCCCUAUUUGGUGCAUAUUUCAUUAGUUAGGUAUAUUUGAGCAGGAAAUGCACGUUCCUGCUAUUGUACUAUGCUUGAACACACAAGAAAAUCUAUCUCACCAUUUAUAAGUUCAAUGAUCUACAAGUUCAUCCAAUUUUUUUUAUCUAUACCACCAAUGAAUACCUAUCAAUGUUAGGACCAACAUAUAAUGAAUGCAAACAACCAAUUGUUAUUCAACUCUCUAAAAAGAUAAGCAAGAGAGUCCUAAUCAUCUCUACAAAAGCAUGUGUUCUCUACCGUGCUCUAACAUGUAUAAGUGAAGUGCAAGAGCAAUUUUAUAAUUUACCUCCACAAAAGAUAUGAGUGAAGUACAUAGAGCAUUCUAAAAAUUUAUGACUCAUGUGUAUCUCUCUCAAGGUGUGUGACCAAAACAUAAUGAUUGCAAUGACCACCAAACAAAACAAAAAACAAAAGCAAACGAUGCUCCAAGCAUAGCACAUAUCAUACACACAAAUAAAAACUCCGAUCCAAUCAAGACAAAACGGAAGUUGUUAAUGAAGAAAGAGUAGAUGCCUUCCAGGGCAUCCCCAAGCUUAGACGCUUGAGUCUACUUGGAUAUUUAAUUGGGGUGCCUUGGGCAUCACCAAACUUGAACUCUUGUCUCUCCUUGUUUCUCUCAUAUCGAUGUCUCCCCUCGAUCUUAAAAACUUCAUUCACAUAAAACUUCACAAAACUUAUUAGAGGGGUUAUUACACAUAAAAAUAAAUCACCUAUCAUGUACUCCCAAGACAAGAUGCAUAAUUAUGCGGAAGGAUUCCUUGUAUUGAAUGCUAAGGCUUCUUGAUUUUUCUUGUAGAUCGCCAUGGGCCUUCUUAGGAUGGCCCUUUGAUGAACCACCAUGGGAGUCUAGAGUCCGGACACCUGACCGGAAGACGACGUGGUGGAUGACCCCUAAUUCAAGACACCAUCACCUAGUCAAAACUCGUUUGGGGAAAAACUUAAAUGUGGCAAAUGUGGAAGGAAUCUUUAAAUUAGGGGUAAAAAUGUGACCGGUUCCUGAGUUGGGGGUAAUUUCUAUCACAAGGGUCAAUCUUAGGGGUAAAAAUGGCAUUAACACUAUUUUCUAUUUUAUAUUAUAACAAACAUAUAGAUGCUCAAAUAUUUUCCGUCCGAAGUGUGCUCACAUCUGUCCAGGAACCGGAAUAUGAUGAUCAUGAUUGGGAGGUGUUACUGUAUCUGUGUCCGAUUUACCCCUUGGUGAACACCCAUCCUGUGUUUAAAAAUAAAAAAAUCUACUAUGUGAAGUUAUAUUUUGUUGUCAUUUAAGGGUUUAUUCAAAAUCAAAGUAGUUAAAAAAUUUGUGAGAUUUGACACAUUAAUUGAAGCAUGGAGCAUGAAGAUUCCAUUUAAUGCAACACAUUAUUUUUUGGGCAUUCUUGUGCCAUAUCGAUGUGCUCUCAUUACUACUAAUAAAAAACAUAAAUGCAACACGUCCAUUUUUUACACUCUUGCACUAUGAUGUGCCUGAUUCAUGGACGAGUAUUAAACUAUUUGCACGCACGAUUUGCCACAUUAGUUGGAGAUAGAGCACAUAGAGUCCAUUUAGUGCAACGUAUACAUUUUAGGCAUUCUUUCACCAUAGGGAUGUACUCUCAUUACUACUAAUAAGGAACAUAAAUGCAACACAUCCAUUUUUGACAUUCUUACACCCUAGUAUGAUGUACCUCAUUUACGGAUGAGUAUCAAACUAUUUCGAUGCAUAAUUCGACACAUUAAUUGGAGUGUAGUAGGCUUCUAUUUUGAGAGAUCACACUCUCAUUAGUACUACUAAUAAGGAACAUGAAUGCAGUGCAUCCAUUUUCGAUAUUCUUGUACCCGAGUAUGAUGUAUCUCAUUUAUGGACGAGUAAAACAAUUACACAUUAAUUGGAGUGUAGUAGCUUACGCAUCAUAAAUUGGAUGCAGCAAAUCCAAUUUAGAUACUCUUAUUUAUGGAAAAGUAUCAAAUUGCUCCUUCCAUACACAAUUUGACACAUUAAAUUGGAGUGUAGUAAGAGUCUAUUUAAGGUAGGACUCCGAGGGAGUGAUCCAUCCCUGCUCCCCCUGUAGGACUUGCAAUCAUAAGUCAUUAGCCAUGUCUCGUUUAUCUGUUUCCAUGCUAUGUUUCCUCCUUGCUUUGCUAACUCCUACCAACCUCACUUCAGCCACCGGCAAUAUCGGAUUCAGCCUGCCUCUCGUAUCCAGCCACCACAAGCUCAACCACACAACCGGUGAAAUCGGGGAGCUCUUGCUGCCUGAGGGUGAUGUGAACCCCAUGAACAUACGACCGAGGGUAGCCCCUGCCGGUUGGCCGAUGUUCAGUGUCGUCGUCGGAGUCGGCAGCGGCAGAGGCCAGCACUUCUAUAAGCUCGCGCUGGACUUCGUGGGCAACCUCACAUGGAUCCGGUGUAAGCCUUGCACCCCAGAGGAGCAGCAGGAGGGCCCAAUCUUUGACGCCGCCCUCUCCCCAAAGUAUGCGCUUGUCAAGCCAACGAGCAUCCACUGCAAGCCCCCCUUCGUCGGCCACGGUCAUGACAAGUGCAGCUUCUCCGGCACCACUUCGCUCGCUGUCGUGCAAGGGUACCUGGCCAGUGACGUGUUCACCUUUGGCGACACCGGCACCGGUCAUAGAAGCUUGGGCGGACUCAUAUUCGGGUGCGCACACAGAGCAGAUGAGUUCUGGAACCACGGCAUUGUCGCUGGUGCCAUGAGCUUGAACAAAAGGUCGACGUCGUUCAAGUACCAGCUUGCCGGGCACGGGUUCGACACUUCAAAGUUUUCUUACUGCCUCUUCUACCACGGCCAACACACCGCCAAGCAUGGCUUCCUCAGGUUCGGCAGUGACGUCCCCAACCACGACCACGCCCACAGCACGGCGUUGAUGUACCA
rnacentral:lncRNA from 1 species